ACAUAUCACCAGAUAAGUAACCAUUUACGAUGAAUAAUGUAUGAAGCGAAGUUGAUAGACUCUCCAAAAGUUUUUCUCUGUCUUCUCCACCACCAAAUGAGUCUGUUGCAAGGUAACGAAUCUGAUUACCAUUGUCUAUUAUCUGAGCAUCCCCACUAUUAAAGACUUUGGUAGACUUUGAUAUUAACUCUACAAGGUCGUGCACUAGAUCAUGCAUCUUAUAAGAUGCUGAUGUUUCUGACUCAUCUAUUAUUUCUUCCAACAACGAACUCUGCAAUAAAAUUCUCAAAUAAUUCAUUCCAAUUUCCUCCAUCAUCAUUUGGCUGUUGAGAUCUCCUUGGAGGAAACCUUCUGCCAUCCAAAGUUCGAUGAGCAUAUCUCCUUCCAUCUCAGUAUCCUUGGGAAAAAUAGAACAAUAUGCAAAACAUUUCUUAAUGUUUGGAGAUGGCAAAUUAUCAAAACUCAACUUAAGUAUUUGCAUGACAGGAUCUUCAUCUCCACUAAGCCUAAAGAGCCUAUUCUCCAAAAUUGAUUGCCACUCCUCUUUUCUCUUUAAACGUAACAGACCUCCGAUUACACUUGCAGCCAAUGGUAGACCAUCACAUCUUUUGAUUAUUCUCUCUUUAAUUGCUUUUAGUUCAUAAGGUACUUCUCCCCCUCCAACUACUUUUUCUUUUAGGAUAGACCAGCAAAGAUUAUCAGGUAGCCUUCCUAAGGCAUAGGCUUCAUCAUCCAUCAUCAAAGCUCCAGACACAAUAUCUGCCACCUGACCAAUACGAGUAGUGACAAGACACCAGCUUCCAUUGGUUGGAUUGAGUCCCCUCAAGGUGGUGAAAAAGUCAUCCCACAAUGCCUGAUCAUCAUCCCACACAUCAUCAAGAACUAGGAAAUAUCUUUUUCCCCCAAGUUGAUUCCCAAUUUUUCCAACGAUGACAUUCCUAUCUUCCACUUCAACCUUUUCUUCCACUUCAACCUUUUUUUCGGUCAAUUGCAAUAAAAUGAGUUUGAAAAGAUCCAGUAUCGGAGCUUUUUUUGAUACACAAACCCAAAUUUUUUUGUUAAAGUGCUCAUCAAUUUGCUUGUUGUUGUAUAUCGAUUUAGCCAAAGUUGUUUUGCCUAGACCUCCCAUACCAGUUAUGGGAAGACAAGAAACAACCUUCUCGGAUGGGCUCAACAGCAUCUUGACUAUCUUUGAUUCAUCAUCGGCUCUUCCAAUCAUUGGAGCAACAACAGAGUCGGUCUGCCGAUUUCUUUUGUCUCCAGCAUCAGCAGCAGCAGGGAGGGCAGCUGUCAUGACUGCCCUCUCGAACAGUCCCAAAUCACUGGCUUCUUGAUUGAUCUCAUUCAGCUUAAGUUUGAUGCCCCUGACCUUAGAAGCCAUUCUCCAACGGAAAGCAAGAUUAGUGUUAGAGAAGGAGAAGAAGCAGCAUACCUUUCGCUUGUGCUGGUUUCGGGACUCCACCUGGUGACGAAGAGAUUCAUAGUUGAGCUCAUCCAACACAUUGCCAGCAUCAUAAGCCACUUCCUCCAGACUCUUCAACCAUUCUUGCACUCCCCGGUCCUGGUUUUGUUGCCUUUCCUCAGCAUCAGCCAAGAGAGCAUUGAUAAAGCGAAGAGAUCGUGUCAUGCUGGCCACAUCCUUCUUGAACCCAACUAACAUACCAAUCCUAUCAGUGGCAAGAGAUACUGCCGUCUCCAAGGCAACCUGAAUAGUGGCACUAAUGACAGCGUCAGCCAUUUUUCCUUUCCUUGUAUGGAGCUUAAUUGCUAGGAUGUUUUGUUGAUAUCAGAUUGGUGAUUUCCUUGUAUGUAUGUAGCUUGCUAGGAUGCUUUUGGCUAUCAGAUUAUAAAGAUGGAGAUGGACAGAAGGGUAGAGGCCUUGGUCAAAGUUACAGUAGAAAAGUUAUUAACAAUAGUAGGUACAGUAGAAUUGACAUUUCCGUCUAAAAUAUUAACAAUAGCACUAGUAGAAAAGAUACUGAAGUGUUUGUGUCUCAAUUCUCCAUUGUUAUUAUAUGAAUAUUAGGGCGGCUUUGCCAUCUCAAUUAUUUCACCUGCACCUACAUAUUAUCUGUAUAGACUACCAUGUCCAUUGGGUGAGAAUUUUGGUGCCUUAAUAAUAUAAACUCAUGUGAUGUUAAAAACAAAAAAGAAAAAAAAAAGAAUAGGGAGAUUGACGGAUAAAGUAACCUAUUUGUCAAGCUAAAAACAGAGAAACAAGCUGAAAAAUGACGCUGUUGACUUUUGAGUUGCUGAAAUUUGUUCCUUAAACAAUCUCUUUUGUACAGUUUGGUAUGAAACUUUUUUUGUUAAUUUAGUUUUUUUGUUAAUGGAAGGUAGUAUUUCAUUAUCUAUUUUUGGACAACUUUGAAGUACAUAACUAUUUGAAAUCAUGGGAGCCAAUACUCUUCUAAUUACUUAGAAUGAAUGUUUCUUUAUGCCUAUUUCAGUUGGGGUUAGUUUUGGAAUAAAAAACGAUAAUGUCACUCAGAAUCUUGAAAUUAUUAACAUUGGAGGUAAAUGAGGGGUAAAAUAUAUAUAUAAAUGAAUAAUAUAUAUAUUUAUAUAGAAAUGGAUGGGUCAGGUUCGUGUCUCAACAAGUGUAUACAGAAAAUUCCUAAACAAAUUAUCCAAUGGAUUUUCCACCGAAGUUACCUGGCGUUUCACUUGAAAGUUUCUUAAUCAAUGCUGGGCUUUUCUUCUGUUUCUUUUUCUUUUUUUUUUUUUUUGAAUUGCUUGCUCCUUUUGUACUUGAAUGGUGGGCCUUUGAUUGUGGAAAAAUAAAUAAAUAAAUAAAUCUGCAGUGCUGUUGCGACAUUGAUUAGCUGACAAACAACAUUGCGACUAGAAAAGUAGUAUAUAUAUAGAACUGAGAAAAGUAGUCACUUUUGCCUCUCAACUCUUAAUUGUUAUAAUAUUAGGGCGGCUUGGCCUUCUCAAUUAUUGCACCUGCACCACCAACAAGUGUGUCCAGAUAAAAAAUCUAAAGAAAUUAUUGAGGUUUCACGGUCUGUGAAACGAUGAGAGUACUGAGUGUUCGGAUCAGGAUGAGUUUUGCAGCAUGGAAGGUAUCAGUAGCAUUGCAAGGGCUUGCUCUUCGCAAGUAAAAGUCUACUGAGUGUAAAGAUGCUCGGCUAGUCAAGUCAGCUCCAUUUUAAAUAUUUUUAAUAAUUUUUAUUUCGUGCAUUCCUCUAAUAUUUCUUUUUUUUUUACAUUUAUUAAAGUGAAAUGUUCAAUUUAUCCAUUUUAAAAUAGGGAGAUAGUUUCACAAACCUCCCUUGAGGUUUUUGACAAUUUUAUUGCACUGCUUCAACGUUUUAAAACUGACACUUACCUUCCUUAUCAACAUAAAACGACAAUACUAAUGUUAACAUUUUAAUAAAACUCCCAUAUUGGGUGUGCAUAUACAAAGAAUGGGAUUUAUAAUUGUUUUUUCUUUUUCUUUUCCUUUUCUCUUCUUAUUCCUUUUUUUUUUUUUGUAUUUUUGCUAGUGAACCCAUAGAAAGCUAUAAUCACCGACUCCAAAUGUUGAAUUGGUGACUUUUUUUAACAACUUUGAAUGCCAUCCAAUUUUUAUUUGUCAAUAUUUUUUUUUCAAUCAAAAGGAACACCAGCUCAAAAAGAAAUGCUCAAAACGACUACCAAAAUAUGGUAAUUCCAUCAACUAAAAUGCAGUAUGAUGAUGAUAAUUUCUUCUUCAAUUUAGAAAGAAAAUGUAUCCCCUGUAAAGCACCAUUCUAUCAUAAUGUGAAGCUAUUGGUCGUAAAUGCUUAUCAAACAAUAGAUUUGGUAAUGAAAACUUGACACCCUUUCCUUAUAUUUGUGCUAAGAAUUGCUAAUUGAGGAAAAUUAGCAUCACGAAUAAAAUUCUUUUUUUUUUUUGGUAGUUGCUAACAUAAUUAUUGACAGUUUGAAGGCCCCAUAUUCACAGCAACAAAUCACAAGCUUAGGCCAGCGGAGACAGAGAGUAUCAAAGGAGGUUGCCAUGAUGUAUUAUUUCAACAAGGAAUCCAAGGAUUUUCAAAUGUAAAAAAAUACUGGAAAAAAUGGUAGGGACAAGUACAACUGCUGGCAUUUCCACAUAGAAUAUUAUUACACCAGUUGAAAAAUUACAGAAGUGCAUGGCUAUAUCAAUUAUUGCACCUAAAAUAUAACAAGUGUGCACAGAAAAAAUGUAAAGAAAUUAUUGCAUCUGCAAUAAGAAGUGGUAUUCUCAGCGUAGAAGAAGAUUGCUUCUCUUCACAAACUUGAAUACAUUUUCCACCGAAGUUGGUUGGCGUUUUACUUGGAUUGUUAUUGCUUGAUCUCAUGGUGUUAGCAAAAACAAUCCUUCAACGAUCAACUCAAACUCAAACACAAAUCAAAAUGCACUCAACAAAAUAAAAUGAAAUUAGAAAUAAAUAAUUAUUGUUACAGCUGGAGGCUUCAGUUCACGCUGAUGCCACGCCAGACCAGGCCCCUUGGGUUGCUGAAAAAACUCUUGAUUGUUAUAAUAUUAGGGCGGCUUGGCCAUCUCAAUUAUUGCACCUGCGCCAACAAGUGCGUCCAGAAAAAAAAAAGGCUAAAGAAAUUAUCGAAUGAGGUUUUAUGAUCAGCCAAUUUUGUUCCUGUGAAAUGAUCCGGAUGAGUUUUGCAGCAUGGAAGGGCUUAGUAGCUCGGACUUGCUCUUGACAAGUAGAAGUCCUCAUGGGAAAUCCUAAGGAUAAUUUCGUAUAGCUGCGAACAAAUCGCCCAAAGUUUGACUCGGCAGUCGAGGUGAGUAUGCCGAAUGUAGAGAUACUCGACUCUUUAAGCUGGCUUGAUUUUACAUAUUUUUAAUGAUUUUUAUUGCAUGCAUUUCUCUUAGAUUUUUCUUAUUUAUUAGAGUGAAAUGUCUAAUUUACCUAUUUUAAAAUAUUAUAAAUACUACUUAUUAUCUUCAGUCAAGUUCAGUGUAUUCUUGUUUGAUUGGAACUUAAUACAUCAUCAAAACAUCAUAUUGUGCACGCACAGAAUGUAGAUAUCUUUGGAAAAUAAUUUAUCUAUGCAAUACAAAACCACUCACAACUCAGGACACCAUAGAGCAGAUGAUAAGGCUAACUGGAAAAUGGCAUGACACCUUUGUUUAGUCAAUUAAUUAUUCACAGAGCUAAAUCAAUAGUUGGUGUUGCUGUUGUGCUUUUCUAACCUGAAAUUAGUAAGCAAAUACCAAUUCUUUCUGCUCAGAGAGUAGAGAAAAAUUGGACGAAGAUACAAAAGAAAAGGGUCGAAGUUUUGGUCAAAGUUUCUUUUUCUUCUUUUUUUUCCCCCUUACUUGGUAUGAAUUAUGAUGCCACUUGCUUAAUUAUACACAAAGCUAAAUCAAUAGUUUUCUCUUGGAUAUUAAGAAAGACAUGUUGCUACAUAAACAAAAAAAUUUUCUUACUUGGUAUGAAUUAUGAAGCCACUUGCUUCUUCAUCGAAUCUUGCUUGAUUUUAGUUAAUUAUGGUUACAGAGGCUACUUAGUUUACGCUAAUGCUGGGGCCUUGGGAUGCUCAAAAGGUCUAAUCCUUGGUAUUUACAUAAAAAGCUGAAAACAAAGGUAGGUAGAGUACAACUAGCAUUUCCACCUAAAAUAUUAGCAAUAACAAUUGUAGACAAAUUCUCAAUUGUUACAUUAGAGCGGCUUUGCUAUCUCAAUUAUUGCACCUAAAACAACAAGAAGUGGUCUUCUCAGCGUCGAAGAAGAGAGUGCUUCUUUUGACAAACUUGAAUGCAUUUUCCACCAAAACUGACUGGAGUUUUACUCGAAUUUUUCUAAAUCAAUGCUGGGUAUUUUUUGUUCUUUAUUACUUUUUUUUUUGAAAAAAAAUGUUCCUCACAUUUCAUUAGAUGAAUUUUUUUCAAAUAUAAUUUUUAAAAGGGCAAAUUUCACUUUAACCCCUGUGGUUUAGUGCUUUUUUACAUAACUCUCCUAUGGUUUUAAAAACUAUACAUAACUCUCUCAUGGUUUGGAUUAAAGUGUCAAAAUAACGGAAAUGAUCAUUCAUAAUGGAAUCAUUUAAAAUGUCAAAAUAUUCUUGUGUAAAGUUGAAUAUUUUUUAUUAACCAAGGGGAGUUAUGUAUAUAUUUUGAAAAUCAUAAGGGGUUAUAUGGUAAAGUAUUAAUGUGACGACCCCACCUCCCCAUAAGGCGAACCAGAGGGUUUGGCGAACCGCCUGCCCAACUCUCGCCGGGACUCAGUCGAUCACUUCAAGCAACCACCGGAAUAACCAUAAAAUAACAUGAUAACGAUCCAAUCAAAACAAAACUUAUGUACAUAGAUAUCUUUAAAAGGAAGUACAACCGUCAAAUAUACAGAGGUUCUCAAUUCCAUACAACCAACCCGUGCCAAGCACUAGGGCGAGAACCACUACAAAAGAUUCAAAAGUACUAGUUCGGCUAGUCUAUACUUAGCUUCCGUCCUCGCACGUCUUCCCCUGCUAAGGAAAACAAAACUAACGGGGUGAGCUAUAAGCUCAGUGAGGUUCCGAACACAUAGGCAAACAAGAAGUUCAUUUCAUUCAUUACAUGUAACCAAUAAUUCAAGAUACAAAUAUUAGAUAAAGCGAUAAACACAUUCAAUAAAAGGAUACAAUCUCACAAGGAGCCAUUCAUUCAUUCCUUCAUUCAUUCAUUCAUUCUCCUUUCAUUCCCUUAUUCCUCCAAUCAUUUGAAAAUGCAUUUUCUUUUGUAAUUAAAACCCUCAAUCAUUCAUGCAAUCAUUCAUUUCAUUCACCCCCUUCCCGGACAUUGGCCAGGCUCCACCAGACUUCAAGGUAAUACUCGAGUAUACCGAAACGUUCACCCAAGUCCCUAAUUGCCCGACCGAGUCCGCUUCUGGCUCGAGACGACCGGUAACAAGGGGCAAUGGCCAGUUCAGCCAAAAGGCUUACAUUCACGCACAAUUAACAUUCCAAUCGUUCAAUCAUUGAAAACUUCACAAUCAUUUAGGCUAAGUGCGAUAAAGUACACACUUGCCUAGAAAACUCAUUUUAGCAAUCAUUGAAAGCAUUUAACAUGUUAUCAAUCAUUCAUACCAGCCAUGUAAUCAUGUAACAUAACAAACAAGGAACACUCACCUAUACACGCAAAACAACGUCCAAAAUACCCCACCGGGUAUUACCCUCAGUCACCAAGGAAACCUAAUAUCAAACAAGAGAAAAUAUUACCAUUUAUCUAGUAAAACAAGUAGGUGAAAUCAAGGGACUCGACUAAUUACGAGUAAAACGGAUAAAGGUGGCUGUAAGGUGAUAAGAGAGUAUUUUGACCUGUGGUCGGAAACAACUAGGGCUUCAUACACCAAAUACAAGACCAAAUCAAAAGGAUUAUGAAUUUCCAACGGAAACAUUUGACCAAAGAUAAGUCAAAAUCCAAAUAGAUAGGUCAAGGAAAUACUCUUUCUAAAUCGUUUGUGUAGCUAAGAGUCAAUAUAUAUUCAAGUAGAGGUUAUAUAGUAAAAGGCUAAAUGAAAUCAUAUAGAAAAGGACAUUUAAAACCCUUAUUUGAAAGUAGUCCACGUGUGGCCGAGACAACCUUAACUUGGCCGAUAAAACCCCUAAUUCACACCUCUUUAUUUUGAAUACGGGGUAAGUAAACAUUUGGUGGUUCAAACCGAAGAGGUAUCAUGUUUUCGAAUGGUAAAACGGUCACAUUAGUUGCCUUGCGGAAAUAUACAAGUUUAACUAGAACUUAGCCCUCGAAUCCCUAUUUGAAAGACCCAAUGAAAUUCUCAAGGAAAUACACCCAAUUUGAUACAAAAUACAUUUCCAAAACCACUUUAACUCAUUCAAUUUCCAAGAAAAUAAAUGGACGGCAUAUCCCCUUAAAUUUUACAUUUUCACCCUAUAAUACAAAAACCCACAACUCAUAGCAAUUAACCAAUAUCACAUACACAAUUAACAAGCAAUAAAACACACUCAAUUAGGCCACAAAACCUUUCAAUCAAGGCCACUUACAAGCUUAUAAGCCAACCUUAGAAAUUCCCCAAAUGAAACCCUAGAAACCGGAAAUUCACCAACAAGCGGAAAUUUUCCGCAUCCAACCGCAAUUAACGUAGAAGAGCUUCCAUUAACACCAUUUAAACCACUAAUCCAAGUCCAAUCCAAGACUAUCAUAUAAAAUCAGAAAAAUGCUCAAUAAAUUGGAAAAUCACCAUAAAUUCCUUAAACCCAUAAAAUACUCCACACAAUAGCAUAAAUACCAUCUCUAAACCACCAAUCGGUUAUUAAUUGAAGAAAAUAAGAAGUUCUUAGCAAAAUACCUUCAAACCUCAAGAAAAGUGAUAGCUUGGAGCUUCCUCUCCCAAGACAACUCCACCACUAGCUUUAAACCUCUAUAAUACACACUUGUAUGGAGUGAAUUAAAAAACUAACGGUUAAAACUUGAGAUUCAAAGAAGGAAAUCAAAGGGAAGAAAAUGGAAAAGUUUCUCUUGUUUUUCCCCCAAGAGAGCCGGCAAGAAGGAAGCAAAAAUGAGGACAAACAGCAGCCAAAAUCAGAUAUUUAUGAAGGAAACAGCCGGUCAAAGCUUCUGACCGGCUGUGACACGUCACAAUCCGGCCGGAAUCUGGCCGGAUUUCCGGCCGGAUUCCUGGCCGGAUACAGGGCAGAGACUUCGACCCUUUUUUUUUCAAAACUGCACAACAAUCCGGCCAGCAAUCCGGCCAAGAACUGGCCGGAUUUCCUGCCGGAUUCAGUCCUGCAUCCUUUUCAAAAAUUUUUUCCUUUUCCCCAAGUUUGAUUGCCACGCUCAAUCGUACUUCUAACACAUACACAUACAUACACAUCUCACACAUAAAUGCACACAACCACAAGGCCUUCCUUUGAUUCAAACGAUUAGUGAACAAAUUUUCAUUUGAACGGGAGCGAAACUAAACCAAAACGCUUGGAAAAAUAUGCAAGGUUUGGGGUUCUCACAAUUAAACCAUAAAGAGAUUAUAUAGGAAAACAUAAAAUUCAUAUGGAGUUAGUGUGUCAUGUAUUUAUAAGGGUAAUUUUGAUAUUUUCAAAAGUUUCAUUAUGAAUGACUAUUUCCAUCACUUUGACACUUUAAUUCAAAUCAUAAGAGAGUUAUGUAUAGUUUUGAAAACAAUAAGGGAGUUAUGUAGAAAAACACUAAACCACAAAGAGUUAAAGUGUAAUUUGCCCAUUUUAAAGUAUUGAUUUUAUGUCGCUUACAAAAUCAAGGCAGCCAAUUUUAGUUGCAACCUGGGCCUUCAACCACUGAAUACACGAAGUGAUCCACUACGUGAUCAUUGUUUUAGGUGCAAAAAUAUUUUUUUCUAAAAAUUAAAAGAAACUACAAAAAAUUGAAAAAAAAAAUACUAGCAAGGAGGAGUGAGAUGUAAGAAACAUUUAAGUAGCAGGAGUUUUAAACCUAGGACCUUUAAUUCUUGUAGUUUCACCUUUAACUAAUUGACCAAGUCUCUUUCCCACAUAAAGGCUAUUAUUUCUGGGCAUUAAUAUGAUUUCAUUAAAUUUUUGGACCGAAUCUUUGUGCUGUUAAAUAUUUUAUACAUCCAUCUUGGGGAGCAAAUCGUAUAUAUCUUUUUUUUUUUUGAAAAAUAAAUUGUAUAUAUCUUUAGUUUCCCUCGCCACUUUAGUUUCCUUUUCUCUUCUAUUUCCAAUUUCUCUUUAGUUAUGUUUCCUUGUUGCAAGGCUUGCAAAACUAUAUAAGAUAUUUGUUAUCGAUUUCUUUGAUUCCUAAAACACAAGAAAUUUUUCAUUCCUAAUAUGUAUUCUUGUUUAAUUGUUUAAUUGAUUGUUAAAAGAUAUUAGUAAAGAAUUUUAGAUCCAAUUCGGUGCAGUGCUCCUUUGACAAACUGAAUCGGAUGCUUUUGCAACGGAAGUCGAUUCGCAUUUUCAAUUCACCUUUCUUAAUGGUAUGGUCGUUGCUGGGAUUCUUCAUCUGCUUUUGAUCCGCACGCUUACAGAAAAUGCCAAUCAUCAUUGAGACUCCUGAUAAAUCUCACGAUGAAUAAUUUCUUGGGACAUGAACCUACGAUGAAUAAUUUCAUCUAAAUGGCUGAUCCUUGGUGGAUCAGAUUUCAAACAUAAUUUAAGUACGCCUUACUUUUUGGUUUGCUUUCUGCAGGGGAUUAUGCUAACAGUACUGUGGCAGUGUGGCUUAAAAUCCUCCAAUUUCUUUAAAAUCCAGAGACACCCACAGUUCUCCAUUUCCUUUUGUGAAUUUUGCAACAUUAAUUACCUCAUUCUCUAAUCCUUGGGAAAUAGGCUAAAAACUGAAAAAAAAAUAUAAUAAUAAUCGCUAGUUUAGUUAUCAAAAACAUGAAGUGGAGCUAGUAAUCAGGCUUGACACGUAGCUACAUAAUUGUUUCUUGGUUAGAGAAGUAGUUAACGGGCGCACUUUAAUUAUCGAGACACUAAUGAAAAACUGGUUGUUUAUCACGUGUAUGACAACUAUAAUCGAUUUAUUAGCAAAUAAUUGAGAUAAUUAUUGCAUUGAUGAUUAGUUAUUUGAACCACUUUCGGAGUUAUGUCUUUGGCUAGAGCUUGUUUAUUCUUAAGUUGAAUUUAAUUUGCUUUAUUUUAAUUAUUUUCAGUCACAUUGAUUAUUGACUUUAGUUUUAAUUCUCCAAACCUCCCUCCCCCCCCCCCCCCCCCACAACACCAAUUAGCUUUUACUUAGAAAGAAAUAGAUUUUUUCUCUAAUUCCUGUGGAGACGACCCUACUUGUCAUUAUACUCGUUUAUAUCUUUUUGUGAGUAGAAAUUUAUUAUUGCACAGACAACACUCUUGUCAUCUAGCACUUUAAAACAUCAGACAUUUUGAAGCAAAUGUCUCGUUUAUGUACAGUAUACAAAAAUUAAGUGGUGAAAAUUUGAGUUUGUUUAUUAUGAAAAAUUGGAGAUCCCUUGUAUUCAUCUUUGUUCCUCCAUUUCACAAUUAGUUUGCAUGCAUUUUAAUGGUGAAUUUGUCCACAAUUUAUAAUCAUUUAAUAAAACAUUUUGUAAUGACAUCGAAAAUCCACUUUGAGGGUAAUUGAGGCAGCUCUCUUUUAAAUAAAUCAUGAAAAAGAAAAUGCUACAGCUGAUUGACAGUUUGAACUUUGGAGGCACCAUAUUCACAGCAGCAAAUCACAAGCUUUGGUUUAUCCAGCUGAGACAUGAAGAAAAAAGAUAGCGCAGAGAUGUGAUCCAGCUAAGAAUCAAACGAAUUUCAAAAGGCAGUAAUACUAAUUAGGGGCCAACAAGGUUUAUCCAAUAAGCUUUCUCGAUCGGCUUAGAAAAAAGAGUAAUGCUUCAAUUCCUCCAAAGCUCCUACUGGGCGUUUCACUUGAAAGUUUCCAAGUCAGUGCUGGGCUUUUCUUACUGCUUCUUUUCCUUUUUCGAAUUGUUCGCUCCUUUUGUGCUCGAAUGCCGAGCCUUUGAUUUGUGGAAAAAUAAUUUAGUGAGUAAAUUCCAGCACUUGGUUUUCAAUGUCAAAGACCUCGAAUGUUCUGGUGAUUCUUGGAGUAGAAAUCAAAAGAGGAAAACUAUUACUUCGAUCCUUAAUUUUUUUUUUACUUCGAUCCUUAAUUAAUAAAGGAGUACAAUUAUCCUGUUUUGUGAGAAAUUUUAAGUGGCAUGGCACAAAUGUUAAAAUCCCAUGCUUCAGCUCAACUUCUAACGACUAGUAACAUGUCAUGUGCUUUGCGCCGUGAUCAUAUUAACCUAACAUAUAACAUCAUAGAGAUACUAAAUCCUUUGUUAAAUUUUGACUUUAAGCAUCAAAAUAGAGCAAUUCUUUUGGUUUUCAGUUUCUUUAACUAGUUCUUUGAAAAAUACUAGUUUAGAUGUACAUGUAUUGCACGCUGCAGUUGCUAUGACUAAUAACUUAUUCAAAAUUCUUUAAACAAUUGAACUUUAAGUAAAUGAAACAAACCUUCAACGAAGAACUCAAAUUCAUAUAUAAAUCAAAAUGCACUCUUCUAGUAACCACUCCAACACUAUAUAGUCUUGACAAAUAGACCAUAGAAUUCAAACAGAACAGUAAAAUGUAAUAAGAAAUAAAUGGGCUAUGGAGGUUCUGAUUUAAUGAUUAAAGUACUUAAAGAAUAAAAGGUCCUAGAUUCAAUUCUCUGAAUUUUUACUUCUCAUGUAUGAAAAUAAAGUAUGAACAUAAAAAUGAGCUAACCUAAUGUUUCAAAAAAAAAAAAAGAAAAAGAAACCACCUAAAAAUACAAAGGAUCCUCCGUUAAGAAUUUAUCUUCAUACCCUUUGCAAGGUCAUUGAAAACACACUUUGAAGGUACUUGACGUUACCCUGUUUUUAAAUAAAAUUAUUAGACAUUAGAAAAUAUAGAGGCAAGAAUUAUUAAAGCCGGAAAUUUAAGAGGUACUUUGAAGACAUCAAAAAUACGCUUUGAAGGUACUUGAGGCAAACCCUUUUUGUUAAAUAAAUCAUUAGCAUUAGAAAAUUAAGAGGCAAGAAUUAUUAAAAAAAUCUACCUAAUAUUCCUUUUAGGAUAAAUUUUGUAUACACAGAUAGUAUAUAUACAAUCGAGGCUGAAUACAUGCUACCUUUACUGUGGAAGAAAUAAGUACAUCAGCAAUUCUUUUUGUUCCUUGGAUACUUUUUGCAGUGGAAGGUUUUUGCUCUGGGUGGAAGCAGUAAGGAACUAUUCUUUGCUUUAGCAGAAGCAACAAGACUUACAAGACUUUGACAAGCUUGUAUGCUUUUGCAACAGGGAAGAGGUUUCUACUUGAUCCGGGGCCUCACAAUUUAUGUUUUAUACAAUUUUGUACAAGUUGAUCUUUGGUGUAAAUUAGUCGGAUUUCGGUGUAAAUCAUAUCCAGUUUAAUGUAAAUCAGGUGCAGUUCAGUGUAUAGUAAUUUGUUAUUAUUUGGUAUAAAUCAAAGACACUUGGAUAUAAGUUGAUUAUUAUCAUUUAGUGUAAGUUAAGGUCAAUUUGAUGUAAAUUGAGAGUAAAUUGUUAAUUUACAUCAACUUAUACAUAAUGGAACUUGUGAGGCCUAUUUCCUUCAUAGAACUUGUCAGGCCUGUAAUUUUGGUAUCCAAAUUUUGAUACGUGAGCAGUUUUAAUCUCCAAACUUUGGACAAACACAAAUAUGGUACUCAAACUUUCAAUAUUUGAACACAUUUAGUAGCCUUAGUGAUUUUUUUCCAAAUUGUUACUUGAAAGAGUCGCGUGAUUACACUUUACCCUCCUAUGGUAUAACUAAUUUUCACAUAACCUUCUGUAUUUUUAAAAGCUAUAUAUAACCUCUUUAUAGUUUGGACUACAUUAUCAAAGUGACGGAAAUAAUCAUUUGUAAUAAAAUCUAUGAAAAUGUCAAAAUUACCAAAAUAUAGAAAUAUAAUAUGCAUGACACUCUAACCCCAUAUGAUUUUAUUUUUUACCAUAUAACCCUUUAUAAUUUAAUGUUUUAUCAUAUUACUCCCUUAUGGUUUUCAAUAUAUAUACAUAAUCCCCUGUGGUUAAUAAAUAAUUUUCAACUUUUCAUAGAGGUAUUUUUAUAUUUUAGUUGUCUCUGUUAUGGAUUGCAAAUUCCGUCACUUUGAUAUUUUAAUUCAAAUCAUGAGGGGGUUAUAUAUAGAUUUUGACACCAUAGUGAGAUUAUAUAAGAAAACACUAAAUCACAAGAGAGUAAAGUAUAAUUUGUCCUAAAUUAAAAUAUUAAGUUUUUUGUUAUGGUUAACAGUCAUAGAGGGUAAGUUGGUUAUUUGACUAUAAGGCAAUUUAUAUUAUAUAAAAUGGGAAAAUAGAAAAUCUUUUUCUCUUCUUUCCAUCCAUACGCCUUACAAUGUAUCUCUUUUUUGUAUUUUUUGGUUAAAACAUUGUAUCUCCUUCUCACCACUUGACCUUCCCUUUUCUUUUUUUUUCUUUUUUUUAAACUUUGUUCCCAUUCACCUCUGAAUCACCCAUAAAUUAGUACUAUUCAAACCCAAAAUCUUAUGACCCAAAAUGAUGGCGUCUUCAAAAUUUCAGAAAUGGAUGGAAUCCUUGAUCUACUUCUUCAUUCGUGCAUAUAUGAUAUUUCUGUCCAUGGCGCCAGCCUAUUUAUGCCAAGUAAUUCCGUGCGGUGGCUGCUUGUGGUGCACAGGAGCGGUUAUAUGGAGAAGAUGAUAUGAGAAAAGAUGACCGUACCUGUGAUUUGGUAUUUUACUACAUAACCCUUUUAUAGUUUAAAAAUUUAUAUAUGAUUUCUUCAUAAUUUGAAUUAAAGUGUUACCAUCAUUUUUUUCCGUUAAAACUAACAGUCAAUAGUAAAAAUCAAAGUCAAACUAAUAAAUAGACAAAUUCACAUUUUCACUACAUUUCUUUCCUUUCUUUCUUUUUUUCUUUUCUUUUCUUUCUUUCUCUCCCUCUUUUUUUUUUUUUUUGGAAGAGAAGAGAUGAUUUAAAAUCUGUACUUUGGCUUAUAAAAUCUUAAUUUUCUCCGGGUAUUAAAAAAAAGGAAGGGAAAUGAAAAAUAAAUAAUUAAGAAAUCGAAAAGAUGGAAGGAAAGUGAAAAAAAAUAAAUUAAUAAGAAAAAAACAUAGUAAAUAAGAAACGAAAGAUACCAAAUCAUUAUUGACUGCAAAUACCAUUAUAGGCUUUUAGACCAAAUCUUUUCUGGUAUUUUCUAUUUAUUAUUUAUUUAUUUUUACUUAAAUUUCUUCUUUUUUGUAUUUGGAGGAAAAAAAGGAAAGUAGUGAAAGAGUAAAUUUGUCAAUGUAUUAUUUUGAGUUUGAUUAUUUUUUCCUAUUGAUAGUUUUGAUGGAAAAACUAACGGUGACCCAUUAAGUCACACCAUGAGGAGGUUAUAUAUAGGCAUAUUAAGUCAAACCAUGAGGGCAAAAGGUAAUUUAUCUUAAUUAUUAUUUUGUUUGCUUAAAAUCUUUGAGAAUUUGGUCAAAGUCCAGAGACCACAAAGUGAUCAUUUCCAUACUACUUAUCUGGCUGGUUGGUUUAGUAUGGAGGAAUAUGUGUACUGGAUGUCCACCUCAAUAAUCAGACUCGGUCAUACAUCAUGUAAUUGGCCGCGAAUUGGAUUCUUUUCUUUGCAUUUUAACUUGUGAAAAUUGUUCAAAUAUUCGCUCAUACUUUAGGAAGUUUUCUAAAGCAUCAGCCAAGUGGAGAGAAGGAAUUUAAUAACUCAUAUCUUAGACCGUACUCUUCCGUUAGCCCCCUAUCCCAUUUAUAAUUAGUUUUCACACUCAAUGUGUCUUGGUUAUGUUUCAUGUGCAAGAUUUAAGUGGUGAAAAAAAUUUGAAGAGUUUUGUUUAACUGAAGUACAAUAUGCUUUUCCCAGGGAAGUUGCUUGGCCUUUUACUGAAAAAAAUUUCCCGGCUCAAUGCUGGAUUCCUUUUUUUUUUUUGGAUAAAAAACAAAAAAGCCCUCGUGGUAAAUCUAAUAUACAGAAAAGUCCCCAUGAUUUCAAAACGUACAACACGAGAUUUCAUAUUUUGAACUAAAUUGUAAAAGUAACGGAAUCCGAUAAACUUAAUGGAAAUGGACAAAAUGACAAAAAUGCCCUGAUAUAAUUGAGCAAAAGACAGCUCAACAAAAUCAUUUAUUUUAUUCUCUAGAGAGAGACAAUUAAGGGCUAAGGGGUAGAACAGGUAUAUUUGUUAAAAUUUAGGUAUAAUUUUUUUUUUUAAAAUUCCAAUAAGUCAUUUCCGUUAAACUUAACGGAUUCCAUCACCUUUACAAUUUAGUUCAAAAUAUGGGGUGUCGUGUUGUAUGUUUUGAAAUUAAGAGGAACUUUUCUGUAUAUUAGCUUUACCACAGGUUUUUUUUUUUGGCUUUUACCCUUUUUUUUAAGUUGCUUGUUUGUGUUAUCAUCUCCAUUACUUAAAACAUAUAUUAUUUGUUUGGGCAAAUUACAUUUCACCCCCCUGUGAUUUAGCGUUUUUUUACAUAACCCCCUUAUAGUUUCAAAAGCUAUACAUAACCUCCUCAUGGUUUGGAUUAAAGUGUCAAAGUGACGGAAAUAGUCAUUCGUAACGAAACUUCUAAAAAUGUCAAAAUUACCCUUAUAAAUACAUGACACACUAACCCCCCUUAUGGUUUAAUACUUUACCAUACAACUCCCUUAUGGUUUUCAAAAUAUACACAUAACCCCCCUUGGUUAAUAAAUAAUUUUCAACUUUACAUAAGGGUAUUUUUGACAUUUUAGGUGACUCCGUUAUGAAUGAUCAUUCCUGUCACUUUGAUACUUUAAUUCAGACCAUAAUGGGGUUAUAUAUAACUUUUGAAACUAUAGGGAUUAUGUAAAAACGCUAAACCACAGGGGGUAAAGGGGAAUUUGCCCUAUUUGUUUUGAAGGGACCAAAGUCCUGCAUUUGGUUUUGUGAAAAAGAGACCUCCUCCACAGUUUCCCAUGUGCAUUGGAUUUUGACUGUUGGCUAGCACGUUCAAACUUCCAAGUUUCUUAAACACAAGUACCUCCAGGAAUAGAGAAAAUACCAAAUUGAGGGUCGACUUCUACUUUGUAUAUUAUCAGCAAUCAGGUUUGGUUAGGCAGAGCCAAAGAAGAAGGAAGAUUUUCAGCAACUAGUAGGCAUUGUUCUGAAGCCGCGGAUUAAAAUGCAUACACAGAGUCAUGCCAGCAAAGAGAGAAUAUCUGAGAGCAUUCCAAUCAAAUAUCAGAGGAUAAAUUACAUACAAUCCCCUUGUAAUUUUGAAUAAUACCACAUUCAAAAUAGUCAUGCAAAGCAACAAGACGUUCAAUUCCAUCUGUAUAUAUAUGGCUAUAAGUGAUGUCCUGAAUCGAAAAAUGAUGGAGGAAACUGAACUGCGACAUGGACCGAUAAGAAUCAGAUACGUGAUAAUUGUUGAUUUCUUGCAAAAUGGCUACCCAAGAUAAUCUUGUACAUUUGGUUAUUUGAAACAGGACAUCGAUAAACAUCAAACCAAAACGCGAAUCCAAGUGCUAUUAAACAAGAAUCACAUUUUGUCAUGGAACUGAAAUGUUUCCUUUCCCACUUUACUUCCUACAUCGCCAAGGUGUACGCAGCCUCGAGAAGUACGAGGAUAUAUAUAUAUGUGUGUGUGUGUGUGUGUGUGUUUGCUGAGAAACGCAAGCCAAACCAGUACUGCCUCAUUCAUAAAUCAUAACUCCUUAGUCCUCUCCUUCCCCACCAAACCAAACGAAACCAACCAAAACCUACCCAUGGCUUCAUCUGACAAGCAAUUUAUAUCUAUAUAGCGGCCACAUACGUACGCCACCCUUUCAAAAUCUCAAUCUUCUCAUCCGCUUUUUUAUAUUCUGAUCGUUUAUCUUCUUCCUCGAAAAGACCAGCAUUAUUCUUCCAUAAACCAAGUUGUCUUUUGCUCAUCACCCCAUGGAUGAAUUACAUUUUUCUUUUUUUUUUGGGGCUUCAUGAUUGAGUAUCAACUAUCAGCUAUCAAUCUAAUGCUUUUCUAUGAUUCCAACUGCUAGUAACUUGGUAUUCUGAACCUUUAUAGCUUUCUUUAAUUCUUUCUUCCGUGUGUUUUUUUAUUUUCUUGUGACCAUAAAUAGCUGGCUUUAUGUUUUGUAUGUUUUGUCAAGCCGCCAUAGUCGAAAAAGUUAUUAGAAACGAUUCAUUAUUAGAGAAAAGACACAAGAAUUUGGGCUGGAGAAAUUGUCUGUGAUUAUGAUAAGUGAUAAUCUGUUCUAAUCCUUAUCAUAGAUGGAGACACAGGAACUUGAAAGUAUUCAACAAUCUCUCGUAUUCUCCUGAGUUUGAUCGUUAGCGGGAGUGUACAGUAUGGCAGUAGUAUGGUUAGUGUUUGGAAAAAGGUACCGCAGGAAAACUUGCCCUCAUGUUUUCUGAGUUUCUGGGGGUAUUCCUUAUUCUCCUGUUUGUAUAUGUAUAUUGUUUGAAAGUUUGAAAAUAUUAGCUUAGGAAAAAAGAAAAGUCUUCUUAUUUCCACUCUGAAUUGUUCCCUGCUGGAUGGAGGAACAAUGAAAUUCAUCAUCUAUCAGAGCAUACUCUUGUCAUAGAAAUUAUAGUUGAGAUUAGCUGAUUAUUUGUUGAUAAUGUAACUAGCCAUACUCUACUCUUGCAAUCCUCACGAUGGAUGAGGAUCUUGUUUCUGAUGAAUGCAAUUGAUUUAACCAGCAGAACGCCUGAAGUGAUGAAUAAGAUGACAAUUUGUUGAAUCUAACACGUUCAAUCUAUGGAAAAAAAGCAUCAUAAAGAGUGUUAUCAUGCACUGCAGGAAAGCAUAUUUGUGAGGCUAAGAUUUGGAGUGUAGUGUAAUGCAUUUUGUUUUUGCUUUGGCAUUGCUUAGGGCCUGCUUAAGAGCCAAGACAGACGAAGAGUAAGAGGAUUCACCUUUCAGGGGCAGCCGUUCAUGCCCUUUUUCUUUGGAGAGUAUGACAGUAAAGUACUAUUCCUUUUCCACACCUGUAGAGUCAGUUUGAGCUCCUUCCCAUUCCAACUUUGUGAAGUACUAAAAUCACAUCAUAAGUUCUUGAGCUACUCUUCAUCACUUCAGUCCUUAGCAUUGGAAAAAAUGGCUCCUCCAAGAAAUAGACGCAAAACGGUCUGGUUUUUACACUUGCAUCUUUUUUUUUUUCCUUCUGCAUUUGUUUAUUCAAAGAUUGAAUGUUGUGUGUUAUAUUGGUCUAGAGUUUACUGAUACGAAUUCAAUCAGGAAGUUGAUGUCGGUUUCAUUAAAUUAACAGAGAGUGAGCAUCAUACAGGGAGGCAUGACAAUAACAUUUAGUUCAGCAUAACGACAUUCAACACGAAUAGCCAAAUAUCUGAGGUUUGAGAAAUGACAGCAAUUGUUGCAGUCAAGCAAUGGCAAUGAAAGGGGGGACUACACAUCCAAAAGAAGGCACAACAAUAUGAUCAGCGUGGAACAAAAUUUGCAUUAUAAACUAAUUCAGAGCCAACUACAACGUCACAGAAGAACAGGCAAUAGACAUGAAACUUCCAAUACAAGCCCGUACACAUAAACCCCUGAUUACAAGGCAAACUAAUUUAAUCCUUUUCUUUGUAAUAUAGGGAGAAUUGGAAUACAGGGAUAACAACACUUUUUCCGUUUCCUAUUUGGUCUGACCACGGACAAAAGGACAUCUGGCCAAAUUAAAACAGAGAGGUCGAAGCUGCAAUCUUUGUGAUUUCAAGAACACAUCAUUAAAAAUAAUGUUCAUUACUACCAAUGAUGGUCAUCUUUCAUUUAAAUAGGUUUUGGGAACAUGUUCUGUUUCAAAUAUGUCUGGAAUUUUCUAUAUUUCUGCCUGAUUUCUUUCAUAACUUUUCACAGAAAAGAAAAGCACAUAUAAUAAGUAGAAAACACAAAACAGCAUUUCAGCUAAAAAGAGAGAUGCAUUUCUACAUUUCUGUGUAAUUUCUUUCCAUAAAUUUUCAUAACUAUCAUUAAGGGGAAACAAAAUUUCGAAUGAGUGAUCAAUACUUGAACUUUAUAAACGUCCAUGCACAAGUCUAACGUUGGCAAAUUUUGGGACUUGCGCAUAAUAUUUACUGUAGUUUCUUAGUUUGCCAGUGGGUGAAUAAUCUGCUAUCAUUCUAACCAUCAAAUGCUUCUAACCAUCAAGGCAGAUAGGCUGGAAAAGUUCUUUUGAAUGCAGUCCAAGAACUAAGUAGAAAUUGCUAAAACCAGUUACAUUGUUCGAAAAUUUAAAAAGAACAGAAAAAAAAAAGAAGGGAAAUUGGAACUGCUUAGAAUCAAAGAGAGAAGAGGGUCUUCUGAGAGCAGCACUAAUCGGAGGGGACAGCGCUAAUCCCUUCCCUUUUGUGUACUGAUACAGAUAUGAGAUGAUUUACUUAUAUUGGCCGUCAAAGUCUUAGAGGCAUAGAAAAGUAGAAAUGCUUUAAUUGUAACAUAUCCUGAGCUACAAUGAAAAUGAUUUGAGGCCAAGAUGUGUAAGAUCCAUGUCACAUUAUUGCUUCAUGGAACAAUACUGACGUACAAGGAGACAAGUUCACAUAGAAGUAAUUUUACAAAUAGAUGCAAUGUAAAAUGUCAGUUUGAUGAACUAAGGUUGACCUUGCAUGUUCCUAUUCCAUAAUUUCAUCUCUCCAACGUUCCCAUCCACCAAGCGGGAUCCUUUCUUGAAUAGAAAUUGGUGCCUUGGCAAGUGGGAUCCUUUGUGCUCUGAGGCCUGUCUGAGAUUUACAGAUACAAAGAGCAAUGGAAAAAGUAUCAUUGGGCACAACUUGUAGUCGACUGCAGAACAGUGAGAAAAAAUAUGUCGCCUGUUAUAGAGCUAAGAUACAACUUCAAGAAGGAUGCAAGCACCUAUCAGGGUUCAGCUAAUCCACAUCUUUCUGCUACUUUGAACUACAAGCAGUAUGGAAGAUAUGGCAAAUUGAGUUCCAAAAGAAGUAAAAUAGCACCUCAUUAACAUGUCUACAAAUUUGCUGAAUUGGUUGGACAGUUUAACAGCACCAGACAGAUAGGGAAGAUCUCAGGCUUUGGCCAUCCGAGGCAGAGAGCAAAAGGGAAUUCCAUCCCGGAUGUUUUCAUCUGAUCUGACUGAAACAGGAUCUGGUUCAACAAGGGAUCAUAGGACUUCAUUACAAAUGAUAGUAAGAGUGAGCUAUCAAGGUUAAUGUUGAUCUCUGAGUGCAAAAUCACUGCAAAACACAAAAACUCAAACUUAAGAGACUCGAGACAGCACUCGAGAAAUUGUAUAGUACGGUUAGUUGAGAUUGAUAUGGAACCAUGCAUGGCUUAUUAGUGGUAAAGGUUAUGAAAUAUUUUGCUUAUUAAUGAUAAGAUUUACCUAUAACUUUCAAUCGUGAUGAAGAGGAAGAAAGGGCCGACCCUGCGUCCAACUUGGCAGACCUGCUCUGUUGUUGCUCCAAUUAUCAGUUGAUAUACUUUCAAGGCAAGAAAGACUUUCAAAAGUAAAGUCACUGCAAAACAGAAAACUCAGACUCAGGACUUCGCAUAGCAAAUCAUGAGGCAAACAGGAAAUUGCAUGACAUUUUUGUUUAGUCAAUUAUUAAGAAAGCUAAAUCAGUAUCCGUUUGUUUUUGUUGUUCUUUCCUAACCUAAAUCGGUAAGAAGAUAUCAAUCUUUCUGGUCAGUCUACAAGUACCAGAAGUAUCAUAGAAACUAUAUUAGUAUUUGUUCAAAACACUGAAAAAAGAAAAUUUCUAUGACAAUAGCGAUAAUGAGUGUCACCCACAAGCAUGAAAGGCAGAGAGCCCCACAACUACCGUGAAGGCAGACUCUUUGAGACUGCGAGAUGCGACAGGUUGAGCUAAUUACAACUAUUUUACUCUUAAAAUCUCAUAUUAUUGCAUUUGAUCUUAAACUUCAGUAGAGGAUAGUCUACCAAGUCUUUGCCGCUUGAAAAACGUCUUAACCCAACAAUAAGUAAUGGAAGAAGAUUGUUGGUAUUCUAAAUUAUCAGACCACCAAUCCCACAACCAAGGGCAGUGAGAGUAACUCGAUUGACCAUUGGAUUUAGGUCAAGAGAUCAUAGCUGAAGAAAGCAGAAUCCCAUUAUUUAAGAGACAUAAUAAAAAUACCAAUAAUCAGAUAAUUUGGAGCAAGAUGAUAAAUACAUUUCCAAGAGAUGGAAGUUCAGAGCAAGCAUUUCCAUCCCGGUAGAAUCUCAAGUUUAAAGAGAAUUAGCUCCUUUCAGCAAUCAUGAUAUACAACUGGAAGUAGCAGACAUAUGAGAUGAGCAAAAGUAAACUGCUAUUUUUUAUUUAAAACAAAGAAUUUUUUACUGUGGAUGUAAAUACAAAAAUUUUUCAGCUUUGACAUCAUGUUUAACUGUCCACAUCAAAUAAUCUCCUCUUGAACAUCUGUAUUCCAUAAUUGAAUUUAAUAUAUGGUUAGCGAUAUUGUUUUCUUCCCGGAACAACGCUUGUUGAGUUUUUCUGAAUCAGACUGAAAAGGCCAAGAAAAGUUCAACAAAGUAGACAACUGACCUUACUGUUACAUUACUAGACAACAUCUUGGAAGCAGACGUUUUAAACCUUCAGAUAUUUUGCAACAAAAUCAUCUUAUUGUACAAUUUCUAUCACCUGAUAUUGGAUAGAUUUAAAAGAAUUUAGUAAUGAUUUUACUGGAGUAUAUUGUCCUGAAGAAACAAAAAACUAGAAAUUGACCCCUAAAAUCUUUGUCCAUCAUUGCCUAUCUAUAAUUUUCUGUGUUCCAUCAAACUUUGAUUUAACAAUCUAUUUCAUGAAUGUAAACGCAUUUUCAUUCUUUUUUAGCAAAUUGAUAACCAAAUGAACUUUUAGAGUACUUAGUUGGAUGAGGAGCUUUUAGAUUGAAAAUCUCAGGAAGGCAUGUUUGCCUGCAUUACAAUAAAGAUAGAAGAGCAAAUUCCAUGUCAUUUUUCACUAGGAAUCUUACAGAAAGAAAGGUUUUUUUUUUUUUUUGUUACCUUUGUUCUAAAACUAAUGAGCAGGAAAUAAGACUUGAUACUAAGUACAUCUACUAAUCCAUUUACAACAAAUUCGCUAACCUUACAGUACUUCUUGAAAAUUUGCAAGCUCCUCAUUGUCAAUCUGUUUCUUUGAUACAAGCUCUAUCGCCAACCAUACCCCCCAUGAUCAUUAGCAGAAAUUCAUGGUAAUGAUGGCUUUUGAUCAUGAAAGGCAUUACAUAAGCUGGGGAAAGAAAUUCUGGUGGACAAUUUGUAGAGGCCAGCUCACACAGAUAGACCAUUUUAUCAGGUUUUACACACUAGGAAGAAAGAAAAGUGUGCCUGUAGUGUGUCAUCCUAAUCAUUUCUGCCCAAUUGAAACAGGAUUUGAUUCAACAAAGUUUUCAAAAGUUACAAGCUGUGUAAUUCAAUCAGUAAGUAAAUGCAAUUGUAGAUUCUAGUUCACAUUUGAGCCUGAAAUCAUUGCAGAACAGAAAACUCGAGUUGAGACAAUAUGUGAACAAGAAAGCUAAUCAGAAAGUUCAGAAAAUUCAGCAAUAAUUUUGUUCUGUCAUUCCUACAAAAGGCUAAAAUAUGCCUUGUUUGUUAUGAAACUAAAUAGAUAAGCAAGUACUAAGUCGUGUUUACAAUUACAGUAGUUUGGUUCCAACCACAAAGCAAGUAAUUACAACUCAUAAAAUGAAAAUAAUAAUGGACAAUUUGUAGUGUGGGCAAAGCAUUUCACAUUGAGGCAUUGAGAAACAAUAGAGCUGUGGGCCACUGAGGCACAAUAGAGAUCCACAUUUAAUUGCUACCAAAACACCAGUUAGUUCAAACCUCUAACUCUGAGCAGUAUGCUGGAGAUGACAAUUUGAGUUCUAAAACAUGUAAAUCAGCUCCUCAUUAUCAUGACUACACAUUACUGAAUCAUUCGAUAGUUUAAAAGAACCAUACCCCAAUAGAUAUCUCAGACUUUGACCAUCUGAGGCACAGGGGAAAAGAGAAUGCCAUCCUAGAUGUUGCUAUUCAGCCGAAGCAGGAUCUUGUUCAGCAACGAAUUGUAGGACUUUCAAAAAGUAAAGACAGUAGGUAAGAGCCAUCGCUGAGGUUCCCUGUUUGUGCCCAAAAUAACUGCAAAGCACAAAAACUCAAACUGAAGACGGCGAAUAGCAUAGAAUAAAGCUAGUGGAAAUUUUCAGAUAAUUGUAGCUUUUCUGUCAUUGUAACUAAAGCCCCAAAAGGAGAAACUUACCUUAAAAAAGAAGCAACCAACAAUCAUAAAAGCAGAGAGAGCUUAAAAGCCUUUAUCAGUAGCAAUGCUUGUCGCAACAAGCAGGUGGAUUCAUUAACAGUAGCAAGUCGCAACAAGCAGACUUGACCAACUACCGGACUGCUUUAAAACUUUGCGCUUAGAGUUAAAUGUUGGAAGAUACUCCACCAAGUUUUGUGCAACUUCAUUGCUCAAACAGUACACACCUUCCUUGGCUACCUCAAAAAUAUGAAAGUUCAUUUAUGACUGAUAAAGCAAUUACUAGUCAAAUAGUUCAGAUAAAUAUGCAAGUUCAUUAUCAAGAGGUAAAAGUUUUGUCCCCUUAGAAUUACAAUUUUAAACAGAGUGAGAUGACUUUAGCAAUAAUAACUUGAAAUCCACAGAAGCAGAGCACGUAAAAUAAACAAAAAUAGACUAUUUGUAGGCUAUGCAGGCCAAAAGUUGAUAGGCUAUGCUAGUUGUUCUAAACGUUGAUAGGCUAUUUGUAGGAAAUGCAGGCCAAAAAGUUAUUGCGGUCUAGCCAUAUAGACGGUGCUGAAGAAGCUUCAAAAUUCUAACCUCUGUUCGUGAAGCUAUUCUUCUAUCAAUCCUACAAAAACAAAGCAUAGAACAGAAUAUGAACAGAGGUAUAGUAAAACAUCAAAGCACGAAACAGAACAUAUGCUUGGGGUCAUUCUAAUUGAUAGUUUCAAGAGUAUUACUAUUAUGUUGUAAGGAGUAAAUGAAGAGCACCAAUAUUUUGGACCUGAUAAGAAAUGCUAAUGCCGCAGCUUUGAAACAUAAUAAAUAGGACGAUAAAAAGGGAGAAGAGAAAAUUGUGAAAAUAACCACGAAAGGGAGACUUUUUUAGGUUUUCUCACGAGAAGGUUAAUCAGAGGGGGAGGUGAAGAGAAGGUGAGAUUGAUUGUAAAGCAAAUUAAGAGCGUGGUUAUUGAAGGCAAUCUUACAUGAUUCAAUUUGAUCCGAAGAUGAAAGUUGGUUAGUAAUCGGUUAUGCGUAGGUCUUGAAUGUGAGAAACUUUGGACCACUGGGAGUCGGGGCCGCUGCUCUCAGGAGUGCAUCUUUCUUCUAACAGAGGAGAACCAAAAACCACCAGAGAUUUUAGUUUGGUGAGACUUCUCAUGGCAUCCGCAGAGGGUAGAUGUCCAAGCUCUUUGAAACCAAAUAACUGCAGCUCUUCAAGAGCAGCGAAGUUUCCGAACCAAUCUGGCAGAGCUUUUAUACCUCCAAAGUCGUAUAGCGAUAGUGACGUCAGAGCGGUCAAGCAUUGGAUCUGAGGUGGCAGGGACUCCAUGUGUGGCAACCCACAUAAGUAUAAUCCACGGAGUGCGGAUGACGAAGAGGAGGAUAUCAAUUCAGACCAAUCAAACUCAUCGUAAAUUGAAGAAUUUUCAUGAUCAUCACCAUCAUCUGAGAAGGGACCAAUUGUAAGCUCCCUUAAGCUGGUUAGGAAACCAAAUCCUUUGGGCGUCAUGCUUGUUUUCAGUUUGGAACACUUGACUAAUUCCAGCUCCAAGAGAGAAGGCGUUUGUUGCAAAUUGAGCGGAAAGGAGAUAAGAUUGUCGCAAUAAGCCACCCGAAGCUUCUGGAGAGAGGUACAAGAGUGUAGCAUGUCACCUGGCAGAUUCGUCAACCCAUCGAAAUGAGCAAUCACUAGCUCUUUAAGAGACGCAAAGUUUUGCAGGGGAAGGAGUUCUCUGCAUCUGUCGCAGCUAUAAAAUCGCAAACGCGCUAACUCGGGGAGUGUUGUUGCUGACUCGGGGAGUGUUGUUGUUGUUGUUGGCAAAUCCAUUAACCAUCGAGGAAAUUGAUCGCCCAUAAAAUUCCAAAUUACCAACUCCUCCAAAUUUGGGUGGGGUCGAAGACCAUCUAACACAUCUUCGUCGUUGUAGUUGUCGCCUUCUUGAUCACUAGCCCACCUAAGUUCCAGCCUAAAUAGAUUUGCCUUUUCAGAUAGUUUUGCUUCCUCAGCUCCUUCUUUACCCUUUACUAGUUCCAGAUUGCUUAUCCUCAAAUUGCCUUUGAGAUUCUUCAAGCUUCCAAGCUCUCCAAUUCGUCGACCCUUCUCUCGACCCACGUUAAAGAACUCUAGUGUCUGAAGGCAAGUCAGUCGUCCCAUCUCUAGCGGCAUUUGAAAUGCUUCAUCAAGGGUGUAAAAGUGGAGAUGUCUCAAGCUAAUCAAAUCGCACGUUCCCUUCAGAAGAACCUUAAGAGCGAAACUAUUUAGCCUCAGUGUCUGCAAAUUAUAAAGUUUGCAAACAGAUUCCGGCAAAGUUUCACUUGUGGAAUCCUCAAAGUUAAUGUACCUCAAGUGUAUCAGUUUGCCAAUUGAGAUUGGCAGAUUCUGAUUUUCUUCACCGGACAAAUUCAGAAUGUGCAGAUUCUUCAACUUCUUUAGCAUAUCAUCAGAUAAGCUACCCUGACUCAGAAACAAUGUAUGAAGCAAAUUUGAUCGACUCUUAAGAAGAUUUUUUGCGCCUUCUCCAAAUGAGUCUAUUACAAGACAACGAACCUGAUUACUAUUGUCUCCUGAACCAGUCUCCGAAUUAAUGAAUCUAGUAGACUUUGACAUUAUUGAUUUUGCGACGUCGUGCACCAUAUCAUGCAUUUUAUGCCACCUUGUUCUCCCAUAUUUUCUUGCUUCUUCAAACAACGAACUCUGCAAUAAAAUUUCCAAGUAAUAUUCUCCAAUUUCCUCCAUUGUUUUGUUCUCAAGACCUGCAUGGAGGAAACCUUCUGCCAUCCAAAGUUCGAUUAGCAUAUCUCCUUCCAUCGCAGUAUCCUGGGGAAAAAUAGAACAAUAUGCAAAACAUUUUUUGAUGGCUGGUGAUGGUAGAUUAUCAAAACUCAACCGAAGUAUUUGCAUGACACCAUCUUCAUCUCCGCUCAAAUUUGAAAGCUCAUUCAUCAAAAUCAAUUUCCACUCCUCUUUUCUCUUCAUGCGCAAUAAACCUCCCAUUACACUUGCAGCUAGCGGUAGGCCACCACAUUUUUUUAUAAUUUCCUUUUUCAUGACUUGUAAUUGUUCGGGAAUUUCUACGCCUGCAUUGGCUUUCUCUGUUAGGAUAGACCAACAAUCAUCAUCAGAUAGCUUUCCUAACACAUAAGGAUCAUGUGUGGCCACAAUGGAUGCAGUUCGUUGUUUGCGAGUUGUCACAACACACCAAUUUCCAUUAGUUGCAUUCAGCCCCCGUAACGAAUGUAAGAAAUCAUCCCACAAGAUUGGGCUUUCGGUCCAGACAUCAUCAAGAACAAGAAGAUAUUUUUUUCCCACAAGUUGUUCCCGAAUUUUCCGGACGAUGACAUCCCUGCUGGUCAUUCCAUCAUUUCUUUCCGUGAGUGAUUCUAAAAUCAUUUUCAAAAGCCUUGUCACUUCAAAAUUGUCGGACACACAAACCCAAAUUUUUUUUUCAAAAUGGCUAUCAACUUGCUUCUUGUUGUAUAUCGAUUUAGCCAAAGUUGUUUUGCCUAAACCUCCCAUACCAGUUAUGGGAAGAACAGAAACAACCUUCUCAGACAGGCUCAACAAAAUCUUCACUAUCUCUGAUUCAUCAUCGGCUCUUCCAACCAUUGGAGCAAGAACAGAGUCAGUCUGCCGAUUUCUUGUGUCUCCAACAGCAGCAGGGAGGGCAGCAGGCACGACUGCCCUACUGAACAGUAGCAAUCCGUUGGCUUCUUGAUAGAUGCCAUUCAACUUCAGUUUGACGUCCCUGACCUUAGAAGCCAUUCUCCAGCGAAAAGCAAGAUUAAUGUUAGAGAAGGAGAAGAAGCAGCAUACCUUUCGCUUGGGUCGGUUUCGGGACUCCACCUGGUGACGAAGAGAUUCAUAGUGGAGCUCAUCCAACACAUUCUGAGCAUCAUAAGCCACCUCCUCGAGACACUUCAACCAUCGUUUCACUCCGCUGCUUUGGUUUUGCUUUUCCUCAGCAUCAGCCAGGACAUCUUUGAUAAAGCCAAGAGAAAGUGUCAUGCUGGCCACAUCCUUCUUGAACCCAACUAGCAAACCAAUCCUAUCAGAGGCAAGAGAUACUGCCGUCUCCAAGGCAACCUGAAUUGCGGCCUGAACAGUGGCACUGAUAACAGGGUCGGCCAUUUCUUCUUCCGUGGAUAUACAGCUCUGAGAUCAAGAUUUUUUUUUUUUUUUAUGGAAGGUUUUUUGCAGCGAGGAACUGGUAAUCUUAUCUAGGCUAGUAUAAUUGGUUAUGAAGAAAGGAGCAUUAAUAAUUAUUGCGCGUAGACGUGGAGUUCUUCUCUGACAAAUUUGUAAGCUUUUGCAUUGGCAUGUUUACAGAGUAACUUUCUCAAUUACUAAUCAGGCUUGAGAUUUUAAAUUAACAUGAUCGGUAUGAAGUCCCUAGCCUUCUACUCCUCUCUUUAAAAUCUGCUAGCCUUUAAUUCAGAUCGGUAUUAAUCUUUUUUGUUAUAUUAUUUCUUAUUACUUUCUUUUUCUAGUUGAUUUUGGAUCCUUUUUUUUAUUACUUUUCUAACUUUUUCUCCUCAAACUGGAUGUCUCUCAAUCUCUCUUGUGGGAAUUCAACGUACUUUAAGAUGAAUUUCAUUUUGCCAUUAUCAAGUUUGCACUUAAAGAAUUAAAGUUCAUAUGGGGUUAAGUCAUAUACUAAUUUCAUAUCUUUGACAUUUAUUUAUCACAAACCUCAAUUCUUCUUUCCUCUGGUGUUUCUUUUCUAUAUCAACUCUCCUUAAUCCCAUUAUUGUCUCGCAGCAUAAUCCAGAAAGUGUCAGUAUAUAAGAAUUCUUUUGAAGUAAUUAUUACUAAUAUAUAGUUCCCGUUUCUUGUGGAAUGUUCUGAAUCUUUCCUAAAGCAACAUUUUCCAAUUUGAGUUCCAGAAUUGUUGCAAAAUUUUUGGUUUGCGCAUCACUUUUGCACAGGGGCGGAGCCAGAAAAAAAUCUUAGUGGGGGCAAAAGUAACACUAAAAUUUUUUAUCUACUCAUUUUCUAAUUUUUUAAGCAAAAAAAAAAGUCUCAUGCAUCAAAUCACCAUUUCACAAGUUAAAAUAUUUAUCAAAUAACCCAUUUAUUAGUUAUUACAUUAACUAAUCAAUUUUCAAAUUUCUUUAAAAUAGUAAUAGUCUCAAGCUCUAGAAAUAUAUUUGCAAACAAAUUUAAAAUAAUAAUAAUAAUAAGUAAUUGUUUAGAACCUGAUUUUGAUGGUCUCUUAAAGUUGGUGAAAAGAGCUGCAAAAUGUGGCGGAUCCAAGUUCUAGAAGAUCAAUUGAUUCUGGUGCAAUCUCUAAAUAGGAUAAAGUGAUCAAAAGAAAGAGUAACAAACUUUGGUUGUGGAAAAAAAAAUGGCUCUCGUAUGUAUGUUGGGGAGUGGGGACAACCAAGAGCCAGAUGAGCAAAGGGAAAUUGGGGAGUGGGGACAAAGGAAGUAAAUGAUAAUUGGAUAAAGUGAUAAAAAGAAAAAGUAGUUGGCUUGGGUGUGGAAGAAGAGGAGCCAGUUGUGAAGGGAAAUAGGGGACCACAGGAGUAAAGGGAACUUGGGGAGUGGGGACCAAAAGGAAUGACUGAUAUAAUUGGUACUUGGCCCUGUUGGUGGGAAAAUGGGAACUAGAGGAGGAAAGUGAAUGAUAUAAAUUUUGUGACCCAUUCUUUCACAUUUUUUCUAAAAAAAAUUCUGGGGGCACCUUUAAAAUUAUGUCAAAAUUGUAGAUGUAUUAUAGGAAUCACUUUAAAUCCGCCCCUGCUUUUGCACGUAAGAAUUCAAAAUUUCACCACCAAUUAAAUAGUUUUCCUCGCAACUUGUCCCGUUUGCAUUGCUAUUUUUAGAAAUUUUUGUAAAAAAAUAUACUAUAGAGAUUUGAUGUAUAUGAGGUAAAAAGGCUAUUGAGAAAUAUAUUUACGAAAAAAUUGCUAGUUUCCUUUUCUCUUCUAUUUCAUCUUUUUCUGAUUGAAAGCUGGCUGGCCUUUGGUUGUGGAAAAUAUCUCAAUGGUUUGUCGGAGUUGUGGUUUGACCCAAGACUGAACCCCGCCAAAAAGGAAAAAACUAUGUUCGACGAUCAAAAUGUAAAGGAGAAAGAAGAAAUGACAACCAUAGCUGGUGACUUUGCAACAUUAAUUACCUCAGCCAUUAAUCCUUGGGAAAUAGACUAAAAACGUUAUUUUGUGGGGGAAAAACUUAAAAAAUAAUCCGUGGUUCACUUAUCAAAAACAUGAAGUGGAGUUAGCAAUCAGGUUUAGCAUGUAACGACAUAAUUGGCCAAUGGUUGGGUGCUUUCUUAGCUUUUACACUUGUGAAAUCGCCAAAAUAUUCACUCGUAAUUCCACAAGCUUUCUAGCACUUUAAAAAUUCAAACAUUUUGUGUCAAAAUGUCUUGUUUAUGUACAGUAUACAAAAUUUAAGUGGUGAAAGUUUAAGGAGUUUCUUUAUUACUAUUUUUGUUUUGAGUACGAUAUACAAUCAGUUGGAGUUAGAAGUGAAAUAGACCUUUAGCUCACACUAUGAUUAUAAACUUUGACUGAAUUGGAUGUUUUGGGAAGGGGAAAAUGAGCAUGUUCUUGUGGAUUUCAAUUUUUACAAUUGAGUAGUUUGCCUAUGAUAUGAUCACAAGUUUAACUUAAAUGGAGUUGCGAUAAUAGAAGAUUCUCGAAAGAAGACUUCAAAAAGUGGAAAUUGAAAAUGAGUGGAAAUUAAUGGGGAAUUAACCAGUUAUUUGGAUACUUGAAUUAUUUGUUCUUAUGGUUCCUCUCUCUUCUAAAAAUAUGGUUAAUUUGUAUAAUUUUUUUUAUCCAUAUGGAUUAACUUAGUGUUAAAAAAAUUUUAACUGUUAGCUGAUAGAUUUAUCAAUAUUGCUGGAAAUUAAAUAUUUGUUGAUGUAGAAAACAAAUCGCAAAAUAUAUUGUGCUCAGUUAAGUAGGAAAAUGUAACUAGGUUUAUGGUUAUUAUAAAAAUUGUAAUUAUCUAAAAAAUAUCCGUACACAAAAAGGUAGAAUAUCUAUUGAUUUUUUUAUAUGUGUUAUAAUAUUUGAUGAAUAUUAUUAUAUUAUAGUAAAACUAUGUAAAGAAGUUUUUAAAAAUUAGUAUGAUAGUUAAGUAUAAUUAUUCCAUUAAUUUUCUAAAAUUAAUAUGAAUGAACUUGUAAGAUCAUCAUUAAUUUUUAUUUAAAUUAGUCAUGCCUGCACGAAUUCAUAAUAAAAUAAAAAAAUAAACCAUGCCAAGGCACAUGCAAGAUGCUAGUUCAAAUUAAUGUUGUACACGUAUAGGAGUCACAAAACGGUUUGGUGCACUAGCUAGCAGACGAAAGGGGACAUCUAAAGUAUUAGGACAAGUUUUACAUCUAGCAGACGAAUUCAAUCGAUUGUGAUGUAUUUGCUGAUUUUCUUGAAAUAAAAAAUGCAUAGGAAAAAAAUAUUAGAGAGUUAUCCUUUGCAUGGAGUUCAUAUCGUUGCUACUUUUGCUACGCUUGUCUGAUGGAUGUCUGCUUGAAAUAUGCGUUCCACAUAUUUUGUAUGUUUAUCCUAAUAUAAAUCAUCUUAUAUUGUGCUAAUAUUUCAAACAGGUUUUGGAAUUUUGCUGCAAGUUUAUCUUCUCAAAAGAUAAGUCAAUCGAUUUGAUUUGCGUCAAAAAAAUGUGGGUAGAGUUUUGGAAUUUAUGCUUUGCCUGAGGCCUAGAGCCCUUUCUGAUUGACAGAUCUUAAAUGCUGGGGCCUUCAGUUGUGGUAAAAAACUCUCUGACCCAAGACAAGACGCACAAGAAACUGUUGUCUUUAAGGAUAAAAAUGUACCAAAAAAAUAAUAAUAAAUAAAAGGAAAAUAACAAUCUACUUUGGCUACAUUGUUCAGCCAAUUUCCAGUUCUUUAGAAAUAAAAUAGACGUUCAACGUCCAUUUUCUAAUUCGAUUCAGUACUGUGACCCCUUUUUUCAAUUUUCUAUAAUUUGAGGUAUAUAUAUAUAUAUAUAUAUAUAUAUAUAUAUGUAUAUGCCAAUCAUAUCCCAAUGCCAUUUGGUGGCUUUGCUUGGUCACUAUUCAACGCUUCCCUAUAUUUGUUGUAUUGUUCCCGUCAUUCAGAAACAAGGGAACAAAUCCUUAUACUACUGUAUAAGAAUAAAUUGUGGUCAAAUGGAUUUGAAUUUCAGCCGCAUGAAUAUGGACUUUUUGAAAAUAUCAAAUAUUGUGCAAUUUUUUAAAAUCUUUUGGUAUAAUUGAGGCAGCAUGUGUUUAGAUAGAUUUAUUGAAAUACAGCCAUUUUGGUACAUUUAAAACUUUGAUUUAUGGGGACAUUCAGGUAUUUCUGGAAUAUGAAAUUAUUUUACAAUCAUUUUUGCAUCGAGUACAACUCAUAUAAACUUAUGUGUUGAUAUAAUUACUGAAAUGAUAUUAUUGACAUAUUUAAUUAAAGUGUGAUUUUUGUUGUACAAUUAAUACAAAGAUAUAUUAACACAUUGUGCAAUUAAAACGUUGCUAUAAUUAGCCAUUAGAGGAUAUUUCUUUGUUUAAAACAAUUUAUAUCUGCUCUUGGACAAUUUUCAACUAACAUCUGUAGGGAUUUUUUAAGAAUGGUAAAAUUGUAAAAGUAUUGAUAAAGUAAAAUAUACAAGUGUGUGUUGCAAUUAGAAUAUACUAUUAUUAGUUUUGUCAUAUUUAAUGACUAUUUCUUUUCGAAAUGUAUAAUUAUUUAUCCAAUAAAAAAUUCUCUCUAAUCACAAGCACCAAACAUCAGCACGAUGCACUGGCACUCCCUAGUAAUCACAACAAAGAGAGGAAGGCAACCAAAUUGAUCAAGAAAGUGGAGCGAUUGAUUACAAGGGUGAAUUCUUAGUUUAUGAUGGAAAAAAAAAAGAAUUCUACAACGAGGGCGGUUCUUGGAGUGUGUUCUGCAAAUAGGGGUCUUCGCAUUCCGGAAAUGCGAGCUCACUGAGCUCACAUUCCCAGAAUGCGAGCUCGUGAGCUCGCAUUCCGCCAAUGCGAGCUCGAAUUGGAGCUCGAAUGCGAGCUCACUGAGAGCCAAGACAAGGAGGAAAUCAUGCAAAUAUUGAAAAUACUUCAUGCAAGAUGGUUUGGCAGCAGGCUCGCGGCACAGCUUUUAUGGUGUCUGAUGUAGUUUCCUUUCAUCCGACUGCAACUAAUGACUUGAACAGUCAACAUUUAGACUAUAGUAAUAAAAAUUCCAAACAUUUUCCAUCUUUUAGCCGCAAAAAUCCUUAUGUUUAAGCACAAAACAAAUUAGAUGAAAGGAUCAUGCGAGCAUCAAAGAACAGUUUUUUCUUCAACAACAAUGCUUCUGCAAAUUUCGAUGCAGAAAAAUCAUGCAAAGCUUCAAACAAAACUAGUGAACCUAUCACCCCAAAUACCCCUUAACACUGAACACUUCACAUGAAACCAGGGUUAUUGAUUAUAAACACAAAUCUCAGCAGAUCAGAACUUGCGGCCAAACAAAGACAACCAAACAGCAACUGAAGUAGAUAAAGUUUCAAAGCCGCAAGUCUGGGGGAGCUAGUAAAAAAAAUUAAAUUAGAGCUCGCAUUUGCGGAAUGCGAGCUCAAUAAGUAGAGCUCACAUUUCGCGAAUGCAAGCUCUAUUCUAACCUCGCAUUCGUGAAAUGCGAGCUCAGUAGAGCUCGCAUUUCACGAAUGCGAAGACCCCCGGACGGAAUCCAUUACCAAAAUCACCCCUUUUGUAGAAUUUUUUAAAAAUUCAUCACAAAAUUAGAAAUUUCUCUUGAAUACAAAUGAAUAAUGUCAUAUUGCCGCAUAUUACUACUGCCUUAUUACCAUUAGAUAGGCAAAAUAUUUGUACUUUUCAAUUUUCUAUUUGAGGGUAACGUCUAAUAUCCCAUUUUUUUCCUUAACCCUAAUCGUCAAUCCUAAAUUUCAUAAGGAUUAGUAUAAAUAAUUUUGAAUUAUUUUUUUAACUCUUUCUUAUUUUCAACUCAAAAGUUCGAAGUAUCAAUUCAAAUAUUAGAUUAUUUUUAUCAGAUUAUCGCUAUCGAAAAUGCUCUACAUUUUUACUCAUAUAUAUGGUCAUCGAUCUAUUACUCAUCACUUUAUCAAGCAGUGUAGAUGUUUACACUUUUUCACAAUGUUUUUAGAAUUUUUUUUUUUACUUCAAUUCAAGGACCGGAUUUGAAAUUUCGUUUUUAUUCCCUUCAAUGCAAGGACCGCAUUUGGACUUUGUUUAUGCUCGCUGUAUGUGGUCUGUAAUUUCUUACACCUUCUUCAUAACUAGGUCAUUGUAAUUUGAAUUUUCUAAGUCUUCAAAAGUUACAGUUUGAUUUUUAUUUCUGGCAAGGUUUUUGUAAUUAAUUUGUUAUUUCAAUUUAUGGAUUCACUCUUCAAUUCAAGUAGAACACAUAUUGCUUUUUUGGUUAGUGAUUUAAAUUAAAGUGGCCUUUUGAACUAUGUGUUUUCACACGAUUUUUUAAUUGCCUUUGAUAAUUUAUUAAUUAUCUUCAACAACGUAUUAAUUUUUUUUAUUUUCUAGGUUUCUGGGGUUAAAAAAAUUUUGUGCAGUUUUCGAUGUUUUCUUUUAGACUUUGGUAGAAAGCUUUUAAAGAACAAGAAAGUGUCACUGAUUACAUAAAUGGCAAGGCAUCAAGUUCAUUCUCAUACAGCAGUUCACGUCAUGCAAUGUACAUCAGACUAUUUAGAUAUUUUAUGUUUUUGACUUAAUAGCAAAAUACAUCUUAUGUUUUCGUUUUGGUUUCUAUUAGCCAUGAACAGAUUUAGAAGGUUGCUGUGUUCCUAUGACUUGAUUGAUUCUGAAUCUUUCAUUAAUAUUUCAUUCGGCUUCUUUUUUUUCACAUUAACCUUUAAGCCAUUUAUAUUAAGUACCAUGGAAGUUGCCAUGGAAGUUGCUUGGGAUUUUGACUUGACCUUUCUUAAUCAAUGCUUUGCUGAGGCCUACACCUUUUUCUGAUUUUGGGGCCUUCAGUUGUGGAAAAAAUCCCAGAGGGUUGUUGGAAUAGUGAUGAACCAGAGGGUUGGGACCUUUGGUAGAAAGCUUUUAAAGAACAAGAAAGUGUCACUGAUUACAUAAAUGGCAAUGCAUCAAGUUCAUUCUCAUACAGCAGUUCACGUCAUGCAAUAUACAUCAGACUAUUUAGAUUUUUUAUAUUUUUGACUUAAUAGCAAAAUACAUCUUAUGUUUUCGUUUUGGUUUCUAUUAGCCAUGAACAGAUUUAGAAGGUUGCUGUGUUCCUAUGACUUGAUUGAUUCUGAAUCUUUCAUUAAUAUUUCAUUCGGCUUCUUUUUUUUCACAUUAACCUUUAAGCCAUUUAUAUUAAGUACCAUGGAAGUUGCCAUGGAAGUUGCUUGGGAUUUUGACUUGACCUUUCUUAAUCAAUGCUUUGCUGAGGCCUACACCUUUUUCUGAUUUUGGGGCCUUCAGUUGUGGAAAAAAUCCCAGAGGGUUGUUGGAAUAGUGAUCUGACCCAAGAGGCACAAGAAACUGUUGUCCUCAAGGAUAAAAAUACACAGCGGUUGAAUGCUCGAAUUCAACAUCUGCUUUUGAUCCACACCCUUUGGGGGGGCCCUUGGAUGCGGAAAAUUCCACCCAAGAAGUGCAAGAAACUGUGUGUGUGUUGAAUGAUGAAGAAAAGAAAAUGGCAAUCAUCAUUGAUCAUUGAGAUUAAUUAAUCUCACUCCUUAAUUCUUUGGACAUCAUCGUACAAUUAAUCAUGUCAUCUAAAUUGCUUAUACUUAUUUGAAAAUUAUUUCAGUACUCCUUAUUUUGUUUGCUUUCUGCAGGGCAUUAUGCCAUGAAAUAAUUACUGUAAUACUUUUUAUAAUAUGAUAUAUAUUAAAUAAAAAAUAAUAAAAAAUAUAAAAAAUGAAUUAGAAAAAAAUAUAUAUAUAUGAUAUAAAUAAAAUAUUAUUUAAAAUAAUUGGGUAUUGAAAGACCCCCGGAGUUCUCCAUUUCCAUGCUAGCUAUAUAUUUUCCCUUUUUGUCUAGUUCGGAAUAGCUAGAAAUUUACAGUGGAUGCUUUUGUUUGCACUUCAACCACCGGAAAAAGUGCUGCAGCAUUACAUCUUUGACAAACUUGCAUGCCAUUAUUGACUUGGCCUUUAUUGAUCAAUGGUUGGUUAGGUAUUUCAUCUUUUUCUGAUUGAAAGCUGGCUGGGGCCUUUGGUUGUGGAAAAUAUCUCAAUGAUUUGUCGGAGCUGUGGUUUGAUCCAAAUACUGCGCCACCCCUACCCCCCCCCCCCCCCGGCCCCAAAAAAAAAAAGCCCAAGCACGCCAAAAAAGAAAUGUUCAACGCUCAAAAUGUAAAAGAGAAAGGGAAAUAACAACCAUAGCUGGUGACUUUGCAGCAUUAAUUACCUCUGUCAUUAAUCCUAAUAGACUAAAAACGUUACUUUGCAGGGGAAAAACUGAAAAAAUAACCGCUGGUUCACUUAUCAAAAACAUGGAGUGGAAUUAGUAAUAAGGGUUUGGCAUGUAGCAACAUAAUUGGACAAUGAUUGAGUGCUUUCUUAGCAUUUAUGCUUGUGAAAUUGCCAAUAUAGUCACUCGCAGUCCCACAAGUUUUUUAGCACUUAAAAACUUCAGACAUUUUGUGUCAAAAUGUCUUGUUUUUGCAUACCAUACAAAAUUUAAGUGGUGAAAGUUUGAGGAGUUCCUUUGUUAUUAUUCUUUUUUCUUUGGAGUACAAUAUACAAUCAACUGAAUUAUAAGUGAAAUCGACCUUUAGUUCACAAUAUAAUUAUAAAUUUUGACUGAAUUGGGUGUUUUGGGAAGGGGGAAAUGAGCGUGUUCUCGUGGAUUUCAAUUUUUACUAUUGAAUUAUUUGCCUAUGAUAUAUGACAAGUUUAACUUAAAUGGAGUUGUGAUAAUAGAAGAUUGUCUAAACUCGAAAGAAGGCUUCAAAAGGUGGAAAUUGAAAAUUAAUAUGAAUGGACUUGUAAGAUCAUCAUUAAUUCUUUAUUUAAAUUAUUCAUGCUUGCACGAAUUCAUAAUAAAUUAAAAAAAAUAAACCAUGCCAAGGCACAUGCAAGAUGCUAGUUCAAAUUUGUACAUGUAUAGAGUCACAAAUCGGUUUGGUGCACUAGCAAACACAAGGGAACAUCUAAAGUAUUAGGACAAGUUUGACAUUAAAGUGGAAGAUUUGUAGAGCAAUUGAGCGUAAACAAAUGAGGUUGAGGAAAAAUUUAUAUCAAUUGCAAUACAAUCAUGAAGCCCCUGACACAUUCGUUAAAAUAAGAAAUAUUUAUUAAUUUGAGGUAGUCUAAUAGCAAACCAAGGGGAAAAAAAUAUGAAUGAUCCGUAAGGAGGAAAAAUGUCAUUUUACUUUAAAUAAAAGUAUGAAUGGAUAGGGGUUUACUUGAACAAAAAAUUUAGACUAAUAUCGUAAUUUGGUGCAGUCUAAUAGCAAACCAAGGAAAAAAAAAAUACUGAGUACCCGGGUUUGGUGAAGCCAAGAAAUAAUGAGAAAGUGAUUGGCUGGUCCACGCACUUACUUGUAUUAGCGGUAGAGUCGUGCAGCACCCUUUUAGCAUGUCCGCUGUUGGAAGAAGGGAGAGAAAUGACAGGGCGGUAUGAUGUGAGCCAGCUACUAGAUUAGAUAAACCUCUUUUUUUUCUUUCUUUUUUUCAGGUAGUGGAGUGAUUACACAGACUAUUUAAGAGGAAAUAUGUUAUAAAAGAAUUUUAACAAACACAAGAAAAUUUUCUUAAAAUGCCCAAUUAUUUUAGUGGAAAAUUUAGCAUGAAAAUAUUUGUCUGGCGAAAAAUUUUAAAUUGACAAACAAAAAUUAUUGUAAAUUUAUUGUUCAUGUUUCUCGGGACGGGGUAAUUAUGAUAGGGUGAAGGGGUGUACUGUGGUGAGUGAAGGUGUGCCUCUUGCUAUCAGUGAGUGGUUGAAAUUUAAAGGGCUACCAUCACCUUGAGUCAUGUUCACGUAUAGAGAUAUUGCACCUUUUGGAAAUGUACAUUUCAUUUAUUCAUGGACCUGCCAGUGGGCAUGAAAGUUGCCAUGAAACUUAAGGGUGAGCAAAAUUAUCUACUUAUUUGAAAAUCUGUCGUAUUCGAUUCGAUUCAAUCCAAAAAUUAAGAUACCCUAUUUAUAUUAUUUGAUCGGAUAGGAUUGGGUACCCGCUAAGAUACGGGACGGAUUAGGAUCACAUACCCGACCCGUCCAACAUAUAUAUAUUUAUUUGUUAUUUUUAUAUACAUACUAUAAAAUAAUAAUUUAGAACUAAAUAAAUAAUUUCAUUGAACAAAUUUUAUUAUAAAUAUGAGAGACUAUAGUUUGUUUACAAGAUUCAUUUGUAUAGAUCAUGAUUUUAUGUUUUAUAGAAAAGAGUUUAAUUAAUGUGAAACAUAUAUGUCAAAUUUUUAUUGAUUUGAAUACUUUUAAUUUUUUUCCUUUAUCUUGUAUUCUCUUCGCAUGUUUGUUUCUUGGUGAGAGUUUUUUUGAAAAAAAAAAAUCUUUAUUAAAUUUUAAAUGAAUGUGUAAAAUAUAAAUUUAAAUUAGUAUAAAUCUUUUUUUUUUAUUUUAAUGAUAAGUGUGGCGGAAUGGAUACCUGUUGACCCGAUCCUAUAUCAACGGUUACCCUAUAAAUGGAUACUUACUAAUAUACAGUGCGAAUAAAGGUCAGAAAAUAGUUGACUUGCAAGAUGCGAGUCGGAUCAGUUAAAUGGUGCACGGGAUGAAUAUCCGAUCCGUGUCCACCUUUAAUGAAACUUGGAUGCUAUUCUAUUAAUUGCCAUGCACGUUGCUUGGGAUUUUGACUUGACCUUUCUUAUUCAAUGCUUUGCUGAGGCCUACAUUUGCUUCUGAUCGACAGAUCUUACUUGUUGGGGCCCUCAGUUGUGGAAAAUGUCUCAGAGGGUUGUUGGAAUGGGGAAAUGGGGCAGGAAUGGGGCAAGAAAUCUGGAAAGCAAGAAAUCUGGUGAUCUUCCAUGGAAAGCAAGAAAUGUUUUGAGAGAUGACAAAGUUUCGUAUAGAUAUGAUUGGAAUAGAAGAGUAUAUAGCUGAUGUAAAGGUGGACUUUGCCACUGUGUAAGCACCGCUUCUUUCUAUCAAUAAAAAUGAACAAGUUUUGCUCAAAAAAAAAAAAGAAAAAAGAAAAGAAAAGAGCCAAUCCAUACAACCAAAGAGAUGCAGAGAUUAUGAAGGUGCUCAAUUACAAAAUAGUAGGGAAACUAAUAGCUGUUGUUGUAAUUGCAACUUUACGUAUCAUCAGAACAUCAGAUUAUGGCUAGAAAAGGGAAGCACAAAAAAUGUAGAUAUCUCUGGUCAAUAGUUAAAGAUACUACAACAGUUUUUGGCAACUAAGUAGAUGGUAAUUUCAGAAACGAAGAGUCUGCGACAGAAUAGCAGAUUCACUACAAUAAUCAGUGAAUUAUUAGUACUACCACAAAUCAUGACUAAAACUGCAACAGAUGAUUGACAGUUUGAAGGCAACAUAUUUGCAACAAGAAAUCAAGAAGCUUUGGCCAGCAGAAACAAAGGGAAUGAAAAAGGCAGUGCCAUGAUGAAAUUCAAGAAAGGAUUAUCCAAAGAAAAGGCAGUAAUUAGGAGCCGUCAAAAUAUCUGUCUGAGCUUUAAGCCUACUGUCACUGCAAAACAGAAAUACUAGCAAAUCAUAAGGCUAACUGGAAAUUACAUGACAUUAAUGUUUAGCUAGUAUUCAGAAAGCUAAUUCAGUAUUUUGUUUUUGCUGUUCUUUUCUAACCUAAAUUAGUAAGCAGAUAUCAAAUCUUCCUGCUCAGUCUACAAGUACCAGUAGUGCCAUAGACAUUACACCAGUUUGUGUUUGAAAUACUGAGAAAAGUGUUGUUCUAUAACAAUAUAGUUAUAAUAUGUGGCACGUACAAGAAUGAAAGGCAGAGACAGUUCCAGAGUUGCCAUGAAUGCGAACUCUUUCAGACCUGCAAGAUGCAAACGUCUUAAACAUGACAAUUUUUUAAGGUUUUAGUUAACUCAUUGGAUAUUGAACUGGUUAAAACCCAACUAUUAAGUAGUGGAAGAAGAUUAUUGGUACUGUAAAUUAUCAAACCACCAAUUUCACAACCAAGGGCAGUGAGAGUUCCCUCAAUUGUCCGUUCCGAUUUAUACCGAGGAGAAUCGGUAGAAUCCCAUCAUUCAAGAGACACGAUAGAGAAUGCCAAUAACCAGGUAAUUUGGAGCAAGAUGACAAUUACAUAUUCAAGAGGUGAAAGUUUAGAGCAAGCAUUUCCACUUGCUCCCUUCAGCAAUCAUAGCGUACAACUGGAAGCAGCAGACAGCUGGUAAAAGUAAACUGCUAGUUUUUAUUUAAAACAAAGAAUUUUGUACCGUAGACGUAAAUACAAAAAAGUUCUCAGCUUUGACAUUGUGCUUGAUUCUCCACAUCAAAAAAUCUGCUCUUGAAUAUCUGUAUUCCAUAAUUGAAUUUUAUAUAUGGUUAGUGACAGUGUUUCCUUCCCUGAACAGCACUGAAGUUCAACAAAGCAGAUUACUGAGCAUUCAACAAACUAAAGUUUAACAGUUGCAUCAUUUCCCAAAUUGCCAAUUUGCUUCCAUGAUUCACAGCUUCAAAGAUAGCACAAUUAACGAUUGAGAUCUCGAAUUGCAACCUACAAUCAACUUGUAGAUGCAAAACAAUAACUCAACGGUCCUUACUGUUACUUUACUAGACAACAUCCCUGGGAGCAAAUGUUUUAAAAAUUCAGAUAUUUUUGCAACUAAAUCAUCUUACCAUACGAUUUUUAUCACCUCAUGUCAGGUAGAUUUGAAAAAAUAUUAGUAAUGUUUUCACUGUAGUAUGCUGUCCUGAAGAAACAAAAAACUACAAAUAAAGUUAAAAAAUCAUUGUCCAUCAUUGCUUAUUUAUAAUUUUCUGGGUUCCAUCAAAUUCUGUAGCCUUUCCCUGAGUAGACUAGCUCUACAAAGCCUUACUGCUUGGGAGACUGUCCCAUAUAUGGGAAUGGGUCCAUAAGCAGGAAAUAAGACUUGAUACUGAACACAUCUAUUUAUCCAUUUUUUUUAAAAAAAUUGUAAACCUGAGGGUACUUCCUAAAAAUUUGUAAGCUUCUCAUGGUCAAUCUGUUUUGCCAAUACAAGCUCUAUGUGGUGGAACUCAGAAAAUGAGCCAUUAAGUCACAGCAAAAUCCGCAUAUAACUGCAACCAAAACACCAGCUAGUUCUAAUUUCUAACGACGAGCAGUAUGCCAGAGAUAGCUAAUUCAGUUACAAGUAAAUCAGCCCCUCAUUAUUGUGACUACAAAUUGCUGAAUCAUUUGGACAGUUCAAGGUGGAUUCACUAAGAGCAGCAAGUUGCAACAAGUAGACUUGACUAGCUUUUGAAAGGCUUCAAAACAUCCUGCUUAAACUUGACCAUGUUGGAAGAUACUCCACCAAGUACCAAGUUUUGUGCAACUUCAUUGCAUGAACAGUACAUCGUCCUCGGCUACCUCGGCAAUAUCUUCACAAUGACAAGAUUUCUUUUGUUUUACAUGUAGCAUAUUAAAAAUCAAAGCGAUUAAAAGUCAAAAUUGAGUAGUGAAAAAAGAGAAGCGUAUCUUAAAUUACCAGAAAUUUGAACCAAAACACCAAAGCGAUGAUGCGAAAACCCCUUGAUUGACCAUUGUCUUCAUGGCUAGAAAAUCAUAACCGAGAAAAAGUGAGUCAAAAAAACCAUUAUUUUGAGACCCAGAGCUAUUACUAAUCAAAUGGUUCAGAGAAGUAUCUAAAUGCAUUUUUGAGAGGUAAAAGUUACAGAGAAACCAUUUCAUCCGCUUAGAAUCACAAGUUUAAAGAGAGUGGGCUGACUUUAGCAAUAAUAUCUUACAAUCCACAGAAGCAAAUAUGGAAAAUCAACAAAACUAGACCCCUAGUUGUUAUUAUAUGUCGAUGGGCUAUUUGUAGGACGUGCAGGCAAAAAAUUAUUGAGUUCCGGCAAUAUAUACGGUGCUGAAGAAGCUUCACAAUUCUAACGUAUGUUCAUCUGAGCAAGAGACCACAAAAAUCAUCUUGGGAAGCAUUGAAGAAAGGAGUGCGGCAAGAAUUGCUGGUCUAAAGGUGCACAAUGGAAUCCUCUCAAAUUCCAGCUAUUGCACUGCUAGACAACAUCCUUGGAAGCAGAUCCUCCUAAACUUUGCAACUUAAUCGUUUUAGUUACCAUCUAUAUCACCUCACAAAAGGUAACAAAUAGAAAUCUUCAUAAAAGUUUCAUUAGAGUAAGUUCUCCUAUAGAAACAAAAGAAGCUAUAAAUUAAGAAGUCUAAAAUCUUUGUUUGCGGUUGCUAGUUCACAAUUUUUUUUGCUUUGACAUACAUUCAUUUGAGGAUUUACUCCAUGAAUAUAACGCAUUAUCUUUUUCCUUUUUUUAAACAAAUCAAUAAGAAAAUAAAAUUUUCACAGUAAAUGGUGGUGUGUAUGCCUAAGUUUGAUGAAAGCCCUCAUAUUUAAAAUCUCGAGAAAGCUUGUUCCUGCAUUAUAACUAUGAAAGAACAGGAAGUUCUAUUACAUUUUCUUGUGAUGGGAAUCUUACAAAAAGUGAGUUUCUUUUGCCACUUUUACCCUAAAGAUAAUGAGCAGGUACUAGGACUCGAUACAAUGUAUGUAUAUUUUUUUGACUUACAUAUGCUAACCUUGCGAUAACACUCGAAAGUUUGCAAAACCUCUUAAUGGUCAAUCUAUUUCUCUAGUAAUGGUCAUCAAACUGCCAAUAAAGAUCAUCAAAAAGUCCUGGUAAUGAUGGCUCUUCAAAAACAUCUGAUAAGCUGGGGCAAGAAAUUUUUUCCCAGUAGAUUGUACAGGCCAGCUGACAGUCAUUAAGCAAUCAAAACACAGACAGAAAACUUUCUGCAAUUGAGGUACAACUAGUUUCAAUGACAAAAAGCCAGGGAAAAAAUUAAGCAAAUUUAUAGUAAUAUAGCAGGUAAAUUCUUACUGCUGGACCUCGUGACUGAAAAGGCAGAUAGACAAUGUGCAAGCUCCGACAACAAGGAUAUCAAGUGUUGGCUAUAUAAGGCACCGAUACGAAAGAAAAAUUGCCAUCAUAAAUAUUUUUGUCCAAGCUACUGGCCUUGCAAUUCAAUGAGUAAUUAAUGGCCAAUGGAUAUAUCCACUUAAACCUUGAGCCUAAGAUCACUGCAAAAUAGAAAAUUCAAGCUCAGACAUUAUGUAGUAAACAAGAGAUCUAACAAAACAAUUUAGAUAAUUUCGUGAAGCUAUUGUUCUGUCAAUCCUACAAAAACAAAGUGUGGAACAGAAUAUUAACAGAGUUAUAGUAAUACAUCAAAGCACAGAACAGGAUAGGUGCUUGGUUUCAUGUUAAUCGACGGUUACAAGAGUAUUAUGUUGUUAGGAGUAAAUGAGAAGCACGGUAUUUUGAACUUGACAAGAAAUGCUAAUGCCGCAGCUUUGAAAGAUAAUAAAUAGGAUGAGAAAAAGGAAGAAGAGAAAAUUGUGAAGAAUAACCACGGGAACUUUUUAGCUUUUUUCAUAUAAUUCCCCCACUCUUAAAUCAUUGCUUGUCCUCGAGUAAUAAGAAAUACAAACCAGCAAUAAUUUAAGAAGUGAAAUGAAUCAAGUGAACUUGAAACUCAAUCUCUCUUAACUUUGGCAAGCUUUGAUUAUGCAAUUUUUUUCCUAUUACCUGUAAUACUCAUCAUAUCAUGUAAAAGAGAGAUAAUUACACCCAAAAUUCAACCAAACAAAUUUAAUCUCUCUAUCUUACCUAAUUUCACAAAUAACUAACAUAUAUAGUUACCUUGGAGAUUUUCUUCCUUCUAAAUGAGAUGUUUAGCUUCACAAACUUAAGAGGGAACUAUUCACUUUCUUUUUUCUUUUAUUUACUCUUAAAAUUGUGAAAAUGCCUUUUGAUGUGAAGAUUGACAUUUUUAGAUAAAAAUCUCCAGUUACUCAACACUUCACUUAUUACUCCCAAUUCCAAUAUCUUUGGAUGCAAAAGUUGAUAUAUGUAGAUGAAAACUCUGGGUUACUCAGUACAAGAAUUUAUUGAAUUUUUUUUAACAUAAAAUUCCUCAAUAAGGUCACAUUUGGAAGAAAAAUAUUCUAGCAACUAUAUAAAUCAAUUACUUUAAAAAUAAGUAAGAUGAGAGAUUUUAUUUACUAUGCAAAAUGUAGGCAUAAUUUUCUCUAUUUUACAAGAUAUACUUUCUCACAUGCAAUAAUUCUAGUCAUAUGAUAAUUGCUUCCAAAUCAAGUGAGAAUUGAAUUGUCCAAUUACUAAAAUCAUCUCACUUGUAUAGGAGAAUUUUGAAACAAAAGGGACAUGAACUUCAUCCACUUGUGGAUUCAAAUGAACAAUUUAUGAAAGACUUGGGGCAAAUUUUGAAAUUUGGACAAGAUUUUGAAAAAAUUUUGAUAGAGUUUCCCUUUAAAACUGGAUGAAACUUUCUGUCAGCAAACCCAAAAAAACAACAAUUUUAAGCACAAGGCAAAUUUCUAAUAUCAUAUCCAAGCAUUUACCAUAUAAGCACCAAAGUAACUCCUACUUAACAGCAUUUCCUCCCCACACUUAACAUACACAUUUUCCUCAAUGUGUAGGGAAAGCAAAGAAAAAAAAGUAAAAACAAGUUACUCCCCAAUUCAAUGGCUGAGAUCCAGCUCAAUCUUGAAUCACGAGCCAUCGACGAAUCUACAACCAUCUAUGAAAACUGCCACAAGUCCCAAAUGCAAGAUGAGAAGUUCAAGUUAAACUUGUACAAUAAAAAGAGUUAAAAUAAAACUACAAGGAAAUAUGAAAGCAAAAAAAAUGCAACAAGAGGUCGGCGAGUCUUCUCCUUGCGCAUCACAUCACUGUGGAAAAGUGCUAAAUGAUUCUUUCAUAUAUAGUGCUAAAUACACAUCACGUCUUCUCCUUGCGGUGUUUCUUGUCCCUCCUUUUCUCUUCUUUCUCUCUUUAGUGAUUCUUAAAUAUAUAGUGUUCAAGAGAGUCAAAAAAUGGUAACUAAUAUGACAUAAAGUUUCUUUUGCACUUUUCUAGAGUUUCUUGAGCAUGUGUAGCCUAAAUUCUGUGCUAGAAUUGAGCAGAAAAGAAGUGUGAAAAUAGGGCAAGUUGCAAAACAAGUUACAAAAAAAUAGGGGAGAAUAAGCAGGCUUGGAAUACGUGACCUCAACUCGUGUAUUCAAAGCCUGUGUUUUCUCUUUUGUUACGUUUUCUUGUGUCUUUCUAUCCAAUUCACUAAGAUCAUAAGCAAGAUGUCCCAAUGUUUGUUCAUGCAAUGAACCAAUAAUACUUGCAUUUGAUGCUCUUCUAAUUCCAAAUCAUCAUUGAAUCAGGCACUAAUGAAUUCAAAUGAAUUCGCCUCGAUCCAAUAUUGAUAAUUCUCCUCAAAUCCUACCAAUAUAACCACAUUUGCACAUUCAACUUCCUAAAUGAAUCUUGCAAAAGUUAGAGACUUAGAGAGCAAGUUACACCGUAAAAACAAUAAAUUAUACCAAACAAUAAGCACAUAAUACUACUUAAAAGAAUGUAUAAUACACUUAUCAAGAAGGUUGAUUAGAGUGGGAAGUGAAGAGAAGGCAAAGAUGUCUUAUGCGUAGGUAGCAAGCAAUCUUACAUGAUUGAAUUUGAUCUGAAGAUGAACUGUUAAUCGCUUAUUAAUAGGAGUUGAAUAUGAGAAAUUUUGGACCACUGGGAGUCGAGGCUGCUGCUCUCAGGAGUGCACCUUUCUUUUAACAGAGGAGAACCAUAAACUAGUAGAACUUUUAGUUUGGUGAGACUUCUCAUGGCAUCCUCAGAGGGUAAAUGUCGAAGCUCUUUGAAACCAAAUAAACAUAGGUAUUCAAGAGCAGCAAAGUUUCUGAACCAAUCUGGCAGAGCUUUUAUACCUCCAAAGUCAUGUAGCCGAAGUGACGUGAGAGUGGUCAAGUAUUGGAUUUGAUGUGGUAGGGACUCCAUGUGUAGCAAACCAAAUAAUUCUAGGUCACAUAGUAUGGAUGACAAAGAGGAGAAGGAUAUCAAUCCAGACCAAUCAAAUUCAUUGUAAAUUGAAGAAUUUUCGUGGUCAUCAUCAUCUGAGAAGGGACCAAUUUCAAGACGAUUUAAGCUGGUUAGGAAACCAAAUCCUUUGGGCGUCAUACUUGUUUUCAGUUUGGGACACGCGUAUAAUUCUAACUCCAAAAGAGAAGGCGUUUGUUGCAAAUCAAGCGGAAAGGAGAUAAGCUUGUCGCAAUAAGCCACCUGAAGCUUUUGGAGAGAGAUACAAGACUGUAGCAUGUCACUGGGUAGAUUCGUUAAUCCACGGCAAAACCAAAUCACCAGCUCUUUAAGAGACGUAAAGUUUUGCAAAGGAAUGAGUUCUCUGCAUCUGUGGCAAUAAUAAAACUCCAAACGCACUAACUUGGGAAGUGUUAUUGGCAAAUCCAUUGACCAUCGAGGAAAUUGAUCACCCAUAAAACGCUGAAUUACCAACUCCUCCAAAUUUGGAUGAGGCCUAAGGCCAUCUAACACAUCUUUGUCGUAGUUGUAGUUGUCACCUUCUCGAUCCCAAGCCAAGGCCCACACAAGUACCAGCCUAAAUAGAUUUGCCUUUCCAAAUAGAUUUGCUUCCUCAGCUGCUUUCCUAUCCUUUACUAGUUGAAGAUUGCGUACACUUAAACUGCCUUUGAGGUUUUUCAAGCAUCCAAGCUCUUCAAUUUGUCGACCCUUUUCUCGACCCACAUUAAAGAACUCUAGUGUCUGAAGGCAAGAUAGUCGUCCCAUCUCUAGUGGCAUUUGAAAUUUUUCAUCAAAGGUGUAAAAGUAGAGAUGUCUCAAGCUAAUCAAAUUGCACAUCCCCUUCGGAAGAUCUUUGACAUACAUGCCAUCUAGUGCCAAUGUCUGCAAAUUAUAAAGCUUGCAAAGGGAGUCUGGCAAAAUACGAAUUCUAGAACUAGAAAGGUUAACAUAUCGCAAAUGUGUCAAUUUGCCAAUAGUGAUCGGUAGCUCUUGAGUCGUUGCAUGAGACAAAUUCAAAACAUACAAGUUCUUCAACUUCAUUAACAUAUCACCAGAUAGGUCACCCUUUACAAACAAUGUACGAAGCGAAGUUGAUAGCCUCUCCAAAAGUUUUUCUCUGUCUUCUCUGCCACCAGAUAAAUCUACUGCAAGGUAACGAAUAUUGUUAAUAACUUUAGUAGACUUUGACAUUGACUCUGCGAGGUCGUGCACUAGAUCAUGCAUCUUAUAAUAAUGUGUUUCCUGAUAACUUUUGGUUUCUUCAAACAACGAACUCUGUAAUAAAAUUCUCAGACAAUUCAUUCCAAUUUCCUCCAUCAUUAUUUGGUUGUUGACAUCUGCUUGGAGCAAACCUUCUGCCAUCCAAAGUUCGAUUAGCAUAUCUCCUUUCAUCAUAGUAUCCUUAGGAAAUAUAGAACAAUAUGCAAAACAUUUCUUAAUGGAUGGAGAUGGUAAACAAUCAAAACUCAAUUUAAGUAUUUCCAUGACACCAUCUUCAUCUCCACUGAAAUUUGAAAGCUUAUUCUUCAAAACCAAUUGCCACUCCUCUUUUCUCUUCAUACGCAAUAAACCUCCCAUUACACUUGCAGCCAGUGGUAGACCACCACAUUUUUUUACAAUUUCCUUUUUCAUGACAUGCAAUUGUUUGGGAAUUUCUCCACCUGCAAUGGCUUUCUUUGUUAGGAUAGACCAACAAUCAUCAUCAGAUAGCUUUCCUAGCACAUAAGGAUCAUGUGUGGCCACAAUGGAUGCAGUUUGUUGUUUACGAGUAGUCACAACACACCAAUUUCCAUUAGUUGCAUUUAGUCCCAGUAAUGAACCAAAAAAAUCAUCCCACAAGGUAAGAUUUUCGGUCCAGACAUCAUCAAGAACAAGAAAAAUUUUUUUUCCCACAAGUUGUUCUCGAAUUUCCUGGACGAUGACAUCCCUACUGGUCAUUUCAACAUUUCUUCUCGUGAGUGAUUCUAAAAUCAUUUUCAAAAGCCUGGUCACGUCAAAGUUGUCGGACACACAAACCCAAAUUUUUUUCUCAAAAUGGCUAUGAACGUGACUAUUUUUGUAUACAGAUUGAGCUAAAGUAGUCUUUCCCAAUCCGCCCAUCCCAAGGAUGGGAAUUACAGAAACGGCUUUUUCUGACAAGCUUAGCAAGGUCUCCACCAGCCUUGUUUCAUCCUUAGCUCUUCCUACAAUAUAAUGGCCAGCAAUAGAAUCCGUCUCUCUAUUUAGUGUGACUUUAGCAGUAGUAGAAGGGGGGAAACUUGCUCUUUGGAAUCUGAUCAGUCCAAAAUCAUUGGCUUCUUUAUUGAUCUUAUACAACUUCUUGUUGAUGUCCCUGAUCUUAGAGGCCAUUCUCCGUCGGAAAACAAUAUUAAUGUCAGAGGAGAGGAUGAAGGAGCGCACCUUGCCCACAAGUUGGCGACGAAGAGCUUCAUAAUUCAGCUCGUCCAACAAAUUCUCGGCAUCAAACACCACGGCUUCUAGCCUCUGGAGCCACAGUUGCACGGCCUGGUCAUGCGUUUGCUUUUCCUCAGCAUCAGCCAAGACAGCUUGGAUCAUGGCAACAGAUCCUUUCAGGGUCUCCAAAUCCUCCUUGAAUUGGAAUAAGUUGCCAAUCCUUUCAUUGGCAAGGGAAAGUGUCUUCUCCAAUGCUACCUCUAUUGUGGCAGCUAUAAGUGCAUCAGCCAUUCUUCUUGUUCCUUGGGUACAGUCUUCAGAUAAGAAUACUCUUUUGCAGUGGAAGGUUUUAGCUGUAGUUAGAAGCAGCAAGGAACUGCUUUGAUUCAAAUGGAAGUGACGAGUUAUGAGGAUUUUUUGGUGCAGCGCUUCUUUGACAAACUGGGUGAGAUGCUUUUGCAACGGAAGUUGCUUGGCAUUUUCAGUUGAAAAUAAAAUAUUGUCAUUGCCGGGAUUCUACGUCUACUUUUGAUCCACAUUCCACAUGCCUGGGGCCCCCAAGAAGGAUAAGAAACUGUGCUGAACAAUGAAAGGUCCAAAAUAAUUUUUAGAUAAUUCAAAUUAAGCGAUUACAUAUAAUUCAAAUUAAUGUUGCGCAUGUAUAGUAGUCACAAAAUGGUUUGGUGCAUUAGCAAACAGAAGGGUACAUCUAAGGUUACUACGACAAGUUUUACGUUAAAGUGGGAGAUUUGUAAACCACUUCAGAGCAAACAAACGGUGUUGAGGAAAAAAUUAUGUUAGUUGCAAUGCAAUCAUAAAAGCUAUGAUACAUUUGUGAAAGCAAGAAACAUUUAUUAAUUUGGUGCAGUCUAAUUGGAAACCUAGAAAAAAAUAAAUGAAUGAUCCGAAAGGGUGAAAGGUAUCAUUUUACUCAAAUAAAAGUGUGACCGAAUAGGGGAUUAGUUAAAUAAAAAAAAUUAGAUUAAUAAUGUAACACUUUUUGUAUUUUUAUAUAAUGCAUGUGAGACAGGAUGGUGGCUGGAAAAAUAAAAAAAUAGUGAGUGGAAUAAGUAAAAACUGUUUUUUCAUAUAUUUAUCUAAUGAUAAUAGUGACAGGGUAAAAAAACAAAGGUGAUAACAAUGAUAAGUGUGGUGAGUUGAGAUGGAUAACGCACAAUUACUUCUUGCAAUUGAUUGCACCAUGGAAUCUAUAUUUUACAUUGGGUAAAUUUGAAAUCGGAUGAAUAGAAUUGAUUAGCACAAAAAACUUUUAAUGAAUAAAACAUUUAUUGUGCUUUUGUGUAUUGUUAUUUUUUUCUACAUUUAAUAUCUUAGUGUAUAGGUCUAUUGUGUCGGUACCUGAAUUUAAAAUUCCUCCUUUCAAUUUUAAAUACUACUACUUAUCUUACUUAUAAACUUCCAUACCUACAGUUGGACUUUUGAUGCAAAAAGAAGGGGAAAAUGGCAAUCAUAAUUGCUACUCAGGCAACCUUUUUUUUUUAAUCUAAUUUGGUAAUUCUUGGGACAUAAGGAUAGAAUUGACUUCAUCUAGAUUAAUAAUUCGUUGACAAACUUGGAUGCUAUUAAUUGCCAAUCUGCCAUAGAAGAUGCUUGGCAAUUUCGCUACGUGGCCUUUCUUAAUCAGUGCAUGAUGCUUACAUCUUGGACAAACUUGGAUGCAAUCUCAAGUGGUAAUUAGAAUGGUGGUUUGACCCAAGAAUAACAAAUAGCUAUGUUCAACCGCCAAAAUGUAGAAGCGAAGUGGGAUAUUGAGCCGAGACGGUCAUCAGGCGGACUGUCUCUGAGUACUCCUCUCACAAAAGGAAUUGAAAGGACUGCAAUAGACCACAUAUAAUGGGAACAGUAGCGAAGGAAAACGAUACUGUUUUACUAAGUGAGUAGGGAAAAAGAUUUUUUUUUUAAAAAAAAAUAUGAGGGGCUAACGGACUCCUUUAAAAAACCUCAGCUUCCGUAACAAAAAUUUCCGCUCAAAUUAAUGAGCCACGACUAUUCUUAUCAAAUCUUCAAAUGAAAUAAACUUUUGAUCUCCCUCCAAAACUUAUCUUUUGAACAUUCCUUCACAAUUUCAGAGUAUCAAUAGAAUAAUAUCCUUGCCCCAAAUUGGGAAGUUUCAGAUGAGAUUCUAUUUAUAAGUAUUGUACAUUUAGUUAGUAUUUAAGUAGUAUUUGUUGUUAAUUUUUCAAUGUUAGCUUGAUCUGUUUUACAAUAUAUCCAAAACAAUAACUUCUAUUCUAUCGAUUGGUUAAAAAAAAUUUACAAUCUAUUGCUAAUUAGUAACAUACCGAUGUUGUACCCCGUGUUGGUAUUUAUUGACUUUCCAUUGCUAAUGUCUUACAAACUAUUUAGUCCAUUUUAUGAUAUGUUUAAGGAAAUAAAGAUUUUUGUUUCACAAAUUGGUGAAAACUAAUGACAUUUGGUUACUUAUGAGUUCAUGUUGAUUGAACAGAAAUUUAACUAGUCAUUUACCACUAUUAUGAAAGUAGUGGCUUUAGGUAAGAUUUUAGUUGUCAAUAUAUUACAAUCUCAAAAAGUAGAGAAGUUACCCAUCAACACAUUUGUAACACCCAAUCAUAGUGUGACUCGUUUCCAUUUUUAUCAAAUCCCAGACUAAAAGUCUUAGAAAAGUUGUUGGGAUGUCAAUUUUGGCAUACUUCUAUCAUUUAAUUGCUCAUUGAACAAAUAGCUUUGGGUUGGUUGAGAUGUCAAUUUUACAUACUUCUAUCAUUUAAUUGCUUUUCGAAUAAAUAUUCUUGGGUUUAUUAGAUAUGAUGCAUAUAAAAAUAACAUAUACAUAAAGAGGGAUGAUGUGUGACUUAAAAUGAAGAAUGGAUUUCUCAAAAAAAAAAAAAUGAAGAAUGGAGCAGUUUGUUAAGUUUAUAAAUAUAGCAAAGUGCCUCUUUGUUAGAUAAUUUUAUUACUUAUAAAUAUUUCUAAAAAUGAACAAAAAAAUUAGUCAAAUGUACACAAUCAUAGUUGGUGAUGUUGGCAACAUCAAUCAUGUCAUCUCUUAAUCCACAAAUAAAUUUGAAAAGAAUAAUAAAUUGGUCUUACUAACUAUCCUUGAGAAUUAGACUUAUUUUAGGAGUUUAGGAUAGACAAGAAAGGAAGGGAAAACUUAAGUUAUGAGAGAAGAGAAGAGAAGAGAAGGGAUUGUUAUGUUGUUUGAGAGUUUUAAAAAUUAGUGGCAUGAUUUUGGAUAUGGAAGUUAUUAAAUAUUUGUUCAAGACCUAUUUAAGGACAAAAUAGGCAUUUUGAAAAAAAUUGACAAGUUUUCUCAAAGUUUCCUUCCAUUUCUAUCUAAUUUAGGAGUAAAAGUUUUGGCUAUUGUUGCAGUGCAUUUCAUCCUUUUGAAUCUUCCCAUUUCUUUCUUUUACUUCUUGCUAAAAACUAAAGGAAAGCUAACUCUCUCUUCUUUUCCUUUCAUUCCUAUCCAAAAUCCCAACUCCCAAACGAAGCCUUAGACUAACAGCAUAACCAAUAUUUCAUUUGUAACUUAGAAGCAAAAUUGAUUUUGUUUUCCUCAACUGGCACAAAGAGGAAGACCUGCAAAGGCUAGAAGAGCAAAGAGGAGAGUGACACCUGCUAGACAAUUUAUCAUUGCACAGACUAACAAUGCAAUUUCUGAAUCUUUUGGAAAUGUUACUACCACUGGUGAUGAAAGAAAUCGGUUUUGAGCAUAUAGAGUCAAAUUGGUACAAGUAUAUUUCUUUGCAAAUACCUUUUUUAUUUUUUAAAUUUAUAUUUUUAUGGGUUAUUGCAUUAUGAUGUAGUUACUGCUAGAAAUUUUUUUUUAUGUAAUGGUUUUUUUUAAGCAAAUAAAGCUGUUUAGGAAUAUUUUUAUUUAGCAAGUAAAAGGGUAAUUUAGAAUUUUUAAAAAUUUUGUUACACAAAUAACAAAGUAAGGUAGGUAAAUUAUAUUUUUAAAACUUUAAAGGUAUUAGGUGAUAUUAAGAGAAACAUCAGGGAAGGCUUUGACAUCAUCCCAUAUCUCAAUGGUUGUUGCAUCGACGAAGGACAACCAUUUACGUCCAAGAUAAAAUUGAAUUCAGAAUUCCCUACUUAGAAUUCAUCCCAUCUUAGCAUCCAAUCCAAUCUUCCGCCAACGUGAAUCAUAAUUUGGUCUUAAUUACUGAUCCUCAAGAAUUAAAAUUAGAACAUGCAUAUUAUUUUGUUUGGUUUCCUCAAGUGCUAGCAGCAAGUGCCCUCAGGGGCUUGGUCUGGUGGUUGAGGUUGCUGAAGAUGGAGCCUCAGGUCCCUGGUUCGAACCUUGCUGCCAGCAAGUUGCUGAGGGUGGUGAAUAGUCUGCGGGGUCCACUCCCUGCGGGACACACCUAAAAAAAAAAAAAAAAAAAGUGCUAGCAGCAAGAAUUUUUAUAGGAUCAGCUAAUGGUUAGUUUUUUAUUAAUACAAACAUUCUAAAUAAGCUUGUGAAAUCAAUUGAUUUCAUAUGCAAUCCAAAUAAGAUUAUGAACUCCUUAUUUGUUUGAUUAAUUUCAUAUACUAACGACUGUACUUGCCAAAUAAUUGAUGGUGACCGUAAUAAAAUUUCUUUGCUAGGGGUCAAAGUUCUUCCUUUCCGCACUGACCAUGUUGCAUGCUGCUUCUUGGCUUAAAUAAUCCGGCUUUGUGACUUCCAAUUUCAUAUUCAUUAACACACAAACACAGAAACUCUCCCUAAUUAUUAAUGAGUGAGAAAUUUCACUUGUAGAUAAUAUAGUCCACGUUCUGCCCAUCUGAAACUCCCCAUAUUAUUUCUAGGUUCCAAACAAUUUUUUUUUUUUUUUUGUUUUCGAAAGAAAAAGUUUGAGUGAUUUCAACUCUGGUUAUCACCAGGGUUGAAACAUGAUAGACUUCUGUAUUUAUUUAUUUUUUUACAAAAAGAAAAUACGACUAAGAAUUAGGCUAACUGACAAGAAAAAAGCACAGUUGAUUGAUUUAAUUCUAGCCCAGGGCCUGGUUAACCAAGAAAAGUACAUAGCGGUUGAAUGUUCACCCAAUAAAAUGAACACUUGAGAAUCUGAAAGGAGAAGCAAUGAUUCUUUUUCUUAAACCUGAAUCAAUUUGCUAUGCUUAGACAUGCUUUAACAUAAAGCUUCAUUUCUUUUAGGAUAAAUUAACUUUUACCUUCUUAUGGUUUGUUGAUUUAUCACAUAACCUCUCUAUGGUUUAAAAUUUUAUAAUGAUAUUUGUAGUCGAAAAAGAUUUUAUUUUUUGUUUUUUGUAUUUAAUUGUUUUAUAUUUCCUUUCUAUCUUUUUUGUUUCUUAUUUAUUUAUCUUUUAUUUCCCUUCCAUCUCUUUUGGAUUUAGAGAAAAUUAAGAUUUUGUCGGCCAGAGUAUAGAUUUUCAGAAUCAUCUCUUCUUUUCCCCAAAAAAAAUGUGAGAAAGAAAAGGAAAAAAGUAGUCAAAUGGUGAAUUUGUUAGUUUAUUAGUUUGAUUUUGACAUUUUAUUAGUAAUCAUUAGUUUUAACCAAAAAACUAACCAUGACACAUUAACCUAAACUAUGAUGGUUUUUUAAACCAUAGGAAGAUUAUAUUGUAAGGCAUCAAAUCACAAGAGAGAAAAGGUAAUUUACCCUUUCUUUUAUACGAACUCAUAGUUUGUUUGGACAACAAGAAUUUGGCCAAAAAAUUUCAGAUUUUGUUUUGCUUGCAUCAUACACACAAUUCCCAAUCACCUUUUUAUCUCACAUACAUCACAUCACAAAAAGUGCUACAGUAACUGGAUCAAAUAAAUCAUCUAAAUGAAUUCUUAUCCAAACAAACUCAUUGUCUUCCUUUUUUUGGCAAAUCAACAAUAAAACCAAACUUUUUCUCCAAGAGGCCUCAAGACAUUGGCAAUUGUAGGUAGCACGCGCAAAAGCAAUAGAACAUUCAAUUCCAGCCAUACAUGUACAUGGCGGCAAGAGUUGCUGACCUAAGAACAAUGAAUGUACUCCUGGCUACAUGCAAUGUCCUGAAUCGAAAAAUGAUGGACGAAACUGGACUGCAAGAAUCAGAUAAGAUGAUUGCUGAUUUCUUGCAAAAUGGCGACCCAAGAAAAUCUUGUACAUUUGGCUAUUUGAUUUCUUGCAAAAGCUCAAUCAAUAUUUGUUUUCGUUGUUCUUACUGACCUAAAUCAGUAAGCAGGCAUCAAAUCUUUCUGCUCAGUCUACAAGUACCAGAAAUGCCAUAGAAACUAUAUUAGCUUUUGUUCAAAACACUGAAAAAAAGAGAAAGUGCUAUAACAAUAACGAUAAUGAGUGGCACCCACAAGCAUGAGAGGCAGAGAGCUCUAGAAUUGCCAUGAAGGCCAACUCUUUUGAGACAGCAAGAUGCAACAAGUAGAGCUAAUUACAACUAUUUGACUCUUAAAAUCUCAAAUCAUCGCACUUGAACAUAAACUUCAGUAGAAUGUGAUUAGGGCAAAUUAUAUUUUACCCCCAUGUGGUUUACCCUUUUUUCUACAUAACCCCUCAAUUGUUUCAAAAGCUAUACAUAACCCCCUCAUAGUUUGCAUUAAAGUGUCAAAGUGACGAAAAUAGUCACUCGUAACAGAAUUUCUAAAAAUGUUAAAAUUACCCUUAUAAAUACAUGACACAUUAACCCCGUAUGAUUUUUAUAUUUUAUCAUAUAACCCCUUAUGGUUUAAUACUUUACCAUAUAACCCCCUUAUGAUUUUCAAAGUAUACACAUAACCCCCCUUGGUUAAUACAUAAUUUUCAACUUUACAUAAUGGUAAUUUUGAUAUUUUAGGUGACGCCGUUAUGAAUGAUCAUUCCCGUCACUUUAAUACUUUAAUUCAAACCAUAAAAGGGUUAUGUAUAGCUUUUGAAAUCAUAAGGGGGUUAUGUAAAAAAACGUUAAAUCACAUGGGGAUAAAGUGGAAUUUGCCCAUGAGAUUAUUGGUAUUAUAAAUUAUCAGACUACCAAUCUCACAACCAAGGGCAGUGAGAGUUCCUCGAUUGACCAUUGGGUUUAAGUCGAGAUCAUAGCUGAAGAGAGUCAACAGAGUCCCAUCAUGUAAGAGACAUAAUAAGAAAGCCAAUAAUCAGAUAAUUUGGAGCAAGAUGAUGAAUACAUUUCCAAGGGGUGGAAGUUCAGAGUAAGCAUUUCCAUCCCAAUAGAAUCUCAAAUUUAAAGAGGUUUAGCUACCUUCAGCAAUCAUGAUGUACAACUAGAAGUAGCAAACAUAUGAGAUGAGCAAAAGCAAAGAAUUUUGUACUGUAUAUGUAAAUACAAAAAGUUUUCAGCUUUGACAUUGUGCUUGACUGUCCACAUCAAUAAUCUGCUCUUGAAUAUCCGUAUUCCAUAAUCGAAUUUAACAUAUGGUUAGUGAUAUUGUUUUCUUCCCUGAACAGCACUUGUAAGUUUUUAGAAAAUGUUAUCAUUGGUUAUUACACUGGAGUAUGUUGUCCAGAAGAAACAAAAACUAGAAAUUAACUCUUAAAGUCUUUGUCCAUCAUUGCUUAUUCAUAAUUUUCUGUGCUCCAUCAAACUUUGAUUUAACAAUCUAUUUCAUGAAUGUAGACACAUUACCAUUCUUUUCUAGCAAAUUGAUAAGCAAAUGAACUUUUAGCGUACUUAGUUGGAUAAGGAGCUUCUAGAUUCAAAAUCUAAGGCAGGCACGUUUGCCAGCAUUGCAAUAAAGAUAGAAGAGCAAUUUCCAUGUCUUUUUGUUGCCUUUGUUCGAAAAGUAAUAAGCAGGAUAGAAGACUUGAUACUAAGUACAGCUACUUAUCCAUUUACAACAAAAUCAAUAACCUGAUGCUAUUUCUAGAAAAUUUGCAAGCUUCUCACGAUCAAUAUGUUUCUCUAUCACCAACCAAACCUCUCAGGAUGAUCACCAGAAAUUCACGUUAAUGAUGUCCUUGAUCUUGAGAGACUUUACAUAAGUUGGGGAAAGAAAUUUUAGCGAGCAGUUCAUAGAGGCCAGCUUAUCAGGUUUUAGACACUAGGAAGAAAGAAAAGUGUGCCUGUAGUGUGCCAUCAUAAUCAUUUCUGUCCAAUUGAAACAGGAUCUGAUUCAACAAAGUUUUCAAAAGUUACAAGAUGUGUAAUUCAAUCAGUAGUAAGAGCAAUUGUAGAUUCCAGUUGACAUUUGAGCCUGAUAUCAUUGUAGAACAAAAGACUAGAACUGGGACAAUAUGUGGUCAACAAGAAAGCCAAUAAGAAAGUUCAGAUAAUGCACCAAUACUUUGGUUCUGUCAAUCUCACAAAAUGCUAAAAUGUGUGUCUUGUUUGUUAUGAAACUAAAUGGAUAAACAGUUAUUUCUAUGGCAAUUACAUUAGUUUGGUUCCAACUGCAAUGCAGGUAAUUACAACUCAUAAACUUGAAAAUAAUGAUAGGCACUUUUUGUAGCACAUGCAAAGCAUCUCAUAUUGAGGCAUUGAGGCACAAUAGAGAUCUAACAUCUAACUACAAGCAGCAUCUCAUUAUAGCUGAAUCAUUUGGACAGUUUAAAAGCAUCGAUGAGGUUCCCUGUUGAGCUUUGGGCCUAAAAUCACUGCAAAGCACAAAAACUCAAACUCAAGAUGGCAUAUAACAUAGAAUACGGCUAAUGGAAAUUUUCAAUAAUUGCAGGUUUUCAGUCAUUGUAAUCAAAGCCCCAAAAGAAGAAACUUACCAUAAAAAUCCUAGCAACCAACCAUCAUAAAAACAGAGAGAGCUUGAGAGCCUUUUUUUUUUUUUAUCAAGGUGGAUUCACUAAGAGCAGCAAGUGGCAACAAGCACGAUUGACUAACAACCGGAAUGCUCCAAAACAUUGCGCUUAGACUUGAGCGUUGGAAGAUACUCCACCAAGUUUUGUGCAACUUCAUUGCUUGAACAGUACAUCAUCCUUGGCUACCUCAAAAAUAUCUUCAGGAUGACAAGAUUUCUUUUGUUUUGUGCAUAAUAUAUUAGAUAUCAAAGUGGUUAAAAGUCACAAUCGUGCAGUGUAAGAAGAGAAGCAUAUCUAAAAUUACCAGAAUUUUUGAACCAAAACAUGAAAGUGAUGACCAACAGCUGCGAAUACUCCUUGAUUGACCAUAGUCUUCGUGGCUAGAAAAACAAAACCAAGGAAAAGUGACUCAGAAAACCAUCAUAUAUGACUCUGAUAGAGCAGUUACUAAUCAAAUGGUUCAGAUAAGCAUGUAAGCGCAUUAUCAAGAGCUAAAAGUUCAGAGAAACCAUUCAUUCCCUUAGAAUCACUAGUUCAAAUAGAGUGAGCUGACUUUAGCAACAAUAACUUACAAUCCACAGAAGCAGACAUGUAAAAUCAACAAAACUAGACUGCUGGUUGUUUUAAACGUUGAUGCGCUAUUCGUAGGAAAUGCAGGCCAAAAGUUAUUGAGUUCCAGCCAUAUAGAUUGUGCUGAAGAAGCUUCAAAACUCUAACCUCUGUUUGUCUAAGCAAGAGACCACAAAAAUCAGCUUGGAAAGUAUUGAAGACAGGAGUGUGGUCAGAAUUGCUAAUUUAAAGACAGAGAAAAAGUUCCACGAAUUUUCUGCAUACGCUAUGGAAUAUAAAACGCAAUUGCAUUUUCCACAGGUGAAAGUUCAGAGAACUCAUUUCAUCCUGAUGCAAAUCACGAGUUUUAAGAGAGAGCUAAUCUUAGAAAUCAUAAUGUACAACAGAUUGGCUGACAUGCAUGAUAAACAAAGUAAAGUCAAAUCUUAAUUUCUUUUAUAUUGUUACUUCAUUAGUUGUUUUGUUUCACUUCUCUUUUAUGCAAAACUUGCUUUGGUUAUCCAAGAAAUCUUGUGCAUUUGGUUAUUAACUACGGAAACAAGAUAUUAACUCAAGCUUCCAUUGAAGACAUGUAACUGUCGCCUAUCGAUGGUAAUGUUUAUGAAGUACCUAUGACUUUCAAUCACGAUACUGAAACCUAAGAAAGACACCAAACAAAAUUGAAAAGAACUACUUCAUGCAAUUCUUCAUUUUUGGUUAAGCGACUACUAACAUAAGAUGUAGUACUCAACAUCAUAUAGACCAGGUAAUAUUGGAAUAACAACUAAUCUUAAAGUAACAGAAUCAUUCUAGACAUGCCAUUUUUAACUGCAGAAUGAGAACAUGAAAACUCAGAAAAUCAUGUUGCAUGUAAUGGUGCAAAGAUACAGCUUCAAGAAAGGUGGCGAGCUACUUGUGGAGGAUAAUAAGCAGUCACAAGACAGACCAAUAUUUUUCUGCAACUAAGUUGCAGCUAACUUGAGAGACAAGCAGUCUGAGACAGAAAAACAAAUUGAGGUCCAUAACCAGUGAAUUACUACCUCAUGUCAUGAGCACAAAAGCUACAGCUGAUUUACAGUUUGAAUCACCACAUUCACAAUGUGGAUCUCAAGCUUUGGCAUUGUUUUCUAACAUAAACUGGUACACAGAGGUGAAAUCUUUCUGCUCAGUCUGCAGAUAAAAGCUGCGUCACCAGAACUAUCCUAGUUUGUGUCCGAAACUCUGAAAGAUGACCAGUUGAGUAAUUUAGAAAAAGAGAUGUGGCAGCCAACAAGUAUGACAGGCAGAGAAAGCUAAAGAAUCUUCAUGAAGUGAAUUCCUAGAGCAGCAACCAAUUAUUACCAUUUGAUGCUUCAAAGUUCAAAUCAUCACAGUUAGACUUAAACUUCAGUAAAGGAUAAUCUACCAAAUCUUUGCAGCUUCAUUGCAAGAACAAUACUAUUUUCCCUUGCAACCUCAAAAAAUGACUUGAACAUGUCCUUUUUUUUGAAAGAGGGGAGGGGGCGAGGGGUUAGUUAACAAAUUGAGAAUCAAACUGCUUAAAACUCAAUAUUACAUAGUUGAAGAAAGUUUAUCAUGGAUUAGGAGCAUUUCUUAAAAAAAAAAAAAAAAUUGGUAUUGUAGAUUACCAGUCCAUUUGGCAUGAUGAUAAGAAUAAGAUAAUAACAUUUUCUAGAGGUGAAAGUUCAGAGUAACCAUUUUUUCCUCAUAGAAUCUCAGGUUUAGGAAUCAAUGUACAGCUCGCAGUAGCAGACAUAUGUGAUGAGCAAAUAUAAACUGCUACUCUUUAUUGAAAGAUAGCGCAGGCAUAAAUCUGAGGGCAAAUGGUCUUUAACUAUCAUAUUAUGUUUGACUGUCCGCACCAAACAAUUUGUUUGUAAAUAUCUGCAUUCUAUGAUUGAGGAAGGAAAGGAUGGAAGUGAAGUGGGACUAUUUGCCAGAAGCAAAAUACAAAAUGCUUAUCAAAUGGAUCUUUACAUUUGGACAAGGCACCUAAACCACAAUUAUACCAAAAAGGAUAGAUUGGAUGAUGAGGUCAGUCUCUCAAGGAGUGCUGUGUGUGAGCCGUGAUGCGUAUUCUGUGUGUGUGAGUGUGCAGUUUGUGUGUCGAGAUGCUAUAGUAAGUGAUAGUGUUUACUUUGAUGACUGCAGUUGAACCUUUUCAGACCGCCUAAGACAAGAGAAGUUCAUCAAAGCAGACCUCUGCCUUCAACAAAGUGGAGUUGAGCAGUUACAUCAUUUCCAAGACUGGCAAUUUACUUCCAUGAUUAAAAUAGCUUACAAGAUAAUACAAUCAACAAUUGAGAUCUCUAAUUCCAAUCUAUUAUCAAUUUGAACGUGCACAGCAGAAUCCUCUCAAAUCCUUGCUAUUACAUGGCCAAACAACAUUCCUGGAAGCAGACCCUCGAAAACUUUCAAACUCUUGUUACUAAUCAUUUUAGUCACAAUACAUAUAUCACCUCACCUCAGGCAAUAAAUAAAAAUCUUCUUAAGAGUUUCACUGGAGUAUGUUCUCCUACAGAAAAAAAAAAAGGAGAAAAAAUCCUAUAAGUUAAAUAGUUUGAAAUCUUUCUGUGUUAGAAAAUCCACAAAUUUCUGUGCUGGGACGUACUUUCAUUUGACACUUUAUUCCAUGAAUGCAAAACAUUAUUUUCUUCUAGCAAAUCAAUAAGUAAAUAAAACUUUUCACACUAAAUGGUGGCAUGUGUACCUGAGUUGGAUGAACUCAGAUUUAAAAAUCUGAAGAAAGCAUGCUGCCUGCAUUAUAAAUAAGAUAGAACAAAAAGUUCCAUUACGUUUUCGAGUUGGAAACCUUAUGGAAAGUAAGAGUUUCUUUUUGUUAGUUUUCUCCCUAAAAUUAAUGAGCAGGCAAUAAGACUUGAUACUAUGUACAAAUAUUUAUUUGGUUAAAAUAAAUGUGCUAACCUGAGUGUUAUUCUUGAAAGUUGGCAAAACCUCUGAUUGUUAACGUGUAACUCUAGUACGACCCAAUAAGAUGCCAAUAAUGAUCAUCAGAAGGUCAUGGUAAUGAUGGUUUCAUAAAAGACUUCAGAUAAGUUGGGGCAAGAAAUUUUUGGCCACCAGCUCGUACAGGCCAGUUACAGUCAUUGAGCAAUCAAAAUCCAGACCUACAACUUGUGCAAUUUAGUGUCAGUUAGUUUCAAAGACAAGAAGCCUGGAAAAAAUAAGCAAAUGCAUAGUAUUAUAGCAUGUCAGUUCGUACUACUGCACCUCAUGACUAAAAAGGCACAUUGAAAGUGUGCAAGCUCCCAAGAUCAGUACAUCAGGUUUUGGCUAUCUGAGGCACCAAAGUGAAAGAAAAGAGUGCCAACAAAAACAUUUCAGUCCAACUGAAACAGGAUCUGGUUCAACAUGAUUCUCAAAUAUGCGGGCUCUGUAAUUAGUAAUUACCAGCCAUUAUAGAUUUCCAGUUGAGCUUUGAGCCUAAGGUCACUGGAAAACAGAAAAUUUGAACUCAGAUAGUAUGUAGUGCAAGAUAUUUCAAAUAGUUCAGUCAAUCCAAUGAAAAGCCAAAAGCUGUGUCUUGUUGGAUUUUAAGCUAAAUAAAUAAGCAGUCGCGUUUACAAGUUGCCCUACUCUUAGUCCAUUCUUGUUCCAAGCAAGAAGCAAAUCAUUAAAACUCAUAACCUGAAGAAACGGUGGGCAAUUUGUACCACAAUCAUAGCAAAAAUAAUUUAAUAAGCCAUAUAAAUGGUGCUGAAGAAGAUUAAAUAUAACAAGAUUUACUUUAUUUCUGUAGGCACUAGACAAUCAAAAUCAACUUGGCAGGAACUGGAAAAGAAGCAAAAUCAAGAGUGGCUGGUAUGAACUGGAUGUCUUACUCUGUGACCAAAAAGAAAUGUGCUACUGCUGCAUGUGAUGGGAAUAUGAAAUAAAAAAUAGAUCUUCAAGAUGUUAAAUAUCAAAGCAACCAUUUUCCCCCUGUAGAAUCUCAAUUUUGAAGAGAUUAUUAUGAAGUUGUAGGUUGAUUUCCUUGACCACUUGUUUAUGCAUACAUCUUUGGGGUGACCCAUGAAAAUCUUGUGCAUUUAGAUAUUAACUAAUUUAGAACAUGUAAUGCAGACAUUCAAUUUAUUGGGCCAUUACUUGCUGUAAAGCAUGGAAUUGGAACAGUUGCUUGUUUUCAUGCUAAUUGAUCGUUACAGAGUAUUAAGUUGUCAGAGGGAGAACUUAAAAAGCACCAACGUUUUCAACUGGAUAAGAAAUGCUAAUACCGUAGCUUUGCUAGAUGACGCUAGGACGAGAAAAAGGGAAAACAGAAAAUUGUGAAGAACAAUGACAGAGAGCUUUUUCUCUCUUUUCUAUUUUUCCCAGGAGAAGGUUAAUCAGAGGGAGUGGUGAAGAAAAGGCAUAUCUCAAAAUGACAAAGAGAUUGGUUAUAACGCGCGGUAAGAGGCAUUCUUACAUGAUUGAGAUCAAGAAGCACUUGAGAUUGAGAUUGAGAUUUGAUUUGAUGAUGAACUAUUAACCAGAUAUGCAUAGGUUUUGAAUAUGUGAAACCUUGGACCACUAGGAGUUGGGGCCGCUGCUUUGAGGAGUGCACCUUUCCUUUAACUAGAAAUGGAACAUGUGCUUUGCACGUGAACAUGAUGCUUUUAGAUUUUUUUGCUUUAAAAUUUCUAGAAAAUUAAUUAUUUUGGAGGAAUAAAUGUAAUUGAGGCAAACAAAUGUAAUAUUUAAUAUUUAUAUUAUUUGGAACUUAGUGUGCCCUAACCAAUACAAAUGUACAAGCAAUAAACCAUUCAUUGUUCCAAAAGCACUUUUAUUUUGUAACAAUAUCAAUAUUUUUUGUAUUUUGGUUAAAUUUAGAUGACCUAAAUGUUCAUUUUUAUGCCAUUUGAGUUUAAUUUUUUUUAAUAAUUUGUUGCUCCCCUUUAAAUCAGUCUAUGAAAUGUUUAUUAGUUUUAGUGAGACUUUCUAAUUAUUGCUACUUUUUUGCUAGCUGUGGAUUGUAAAAUGAUCAAUUGUACUAUUGUAAUUAUAAUAGUAUCUAAACAUAUUGAAAUUCCAUUGUUCGAAUUUAAAUAGCUUAACUUUGAAGAGAAAUGUUUUGAUUUAGUGAAACUUAUUUGCAUUUCUUAUUGAUGACAUGCUUUAUGAUAAUAGUGUUUAUAUGAUUAAAAAUUGUAAGAAAUUAAAAUUAUUUAUUAUAUUAUAGUCAACCUGGACUUGGAUAUAUUUUUAUUCAUCUUUGAAGUACUCCUUGAAAUUGAUAUUUAUAAAAAAAAAAUUUGGCUUAAUUCACCAUAAUUCAAAGGGAUGUUUCACCUUUGUAAUUAUUAUUAUGAUUGGCAUUGAUGAAUAUAAUAUUCAUAAAUUAUAGUUUAAUACUGUUAGUUGUUACAGGAAUAUGACUAAUAAAAUUCAUUAAAUUUAAUCUUUAUUGCAAUUUAAAUAAAUAAAUUCCCAACAUAAAACUCUUUGCCUACCUUGGUACUCCAUUUGCUACUAUAUAUUGGAUUAAUGUUUUUUAACUCAGUACCAAUAUACAUAUAUUAAAAAGGUGCUCUUAAAGCUUAAUUUACUUAUAUCCUAAAAAUGAAAAGGCUUGCAAUACUUUUUAGGAGACUCAUAGUACCAAUUUGUUAUGUUUUGUUCCAUAUUUGAAAUACUCUCUAAACUUGGAUUUUGUAAAUAAAUUUGUUCUUCUUUCUUUUGAUAAAUAAAAAAAAAAGUAAGGAAUCUUUCAUUUUUGUAACUGCUUGCAUGUUUGAUAUUAUUUAUUAAUGAUGAAAUGCAACGCAAUUUGUUCAUUUAUUAGAGAGGAGUGUAAUUUUGGCAUCACAAAAACUAAUAUCAUUUUUCGCUUACACUAUUAACCACUGAGAUUCACCAUAUUUUAUUAUAAUUUAUAAAUAAAAUUUGCUCUUCAUUUUUUGAUUUAAUUCUCUUUAACUCAAGGGAAUGUUUUUCAUUCUUGUAAUUGUUAACAUAACAGAUAUUAAUAAUUAUUGAUGAAAUGCAAUGAAUUGGUUGUUUCUUUUUUGGUUUACUUAACCAGAAUUAUCACAAUUCAAAAAAUAUUUCUUUGUAACGGUUAGCAUAAUUCUUAUUAAUUAUUAAGGAAAUGCAAUGUAAUUUGUCCAUUUAUUAGUGUCAAGGGUAAUAUUGGUAUCACAAAAACUAAGACCAAUUUUUACUUACACUCACACUAAAGGUUCAACAUGCUUUUUAUAUAGUAAUAGAUAAUAGAUAGAUAGAUAGAUAGAUAGAUAAUCGAUAGAGAAGAACCACAAACGUACAGACUUGUUAAUCUGGUGUGGCCAGAAUUGCUGGUCUAAGGAGUGGAAGAGGGUUUACAAAUUUACUGCACAUGAUAUGUAAACUAAUCUGAAAAGUGCAAUUAUUGAAUAGGUGCAAUCAUAACGUACGACAGAUUAGCUGAUAUACAUGACAAACAAAGUAAAGUCAAUUCUUAAUUUCUCCCACAUUGUUACCUGAUUAGUUGAAUUGCUUGACUUCUGUAUUAUGCAAAACUUGCAUUGAUAACCCAGAAAAUCUUGUGCAUUUGGUUAUUAACUGCUGAAACAAUAUAUUAACUAAAUCGUCCAAUGAGGACAUGGAACCAUUUCCUAUUGAUGGUAAUGUUAUUUAGGACAUAUGACUCUCAAUUAUGACACAAAAGCAUAAGAAAGACACCAAACAAAAUUGAAAAGAACAACUUCAUGCAAUUUUUUCAUUUUUUAAGAUUUAAGAGACUACUAACAUAAGUAAGAUUUACUCAACAUCAUAUAGACCGAGUAAUUUUGAGAUGGGUAUCAACUGUAGGAUUAGUGUAGUGGCUAGUGUCUGGGUCUCUUAAGGAAUAACUAUGAAUCAUAAAGUAACAGCAUCAUUCUAGACGUACUAUGUUUAACUGCAAAAAGAGAACAGGCAAACUCACAAAAUCAUGUUGUAUGUAAUGGAGCCAAGAUACAACUUCAAGAAGGGUGGUGAUCAGCUUGUGGAGGACCGACUAAUACGAUAAGUAGUCACAAGAUAGACUAACAAUUUUCUGCAACUAAUUGCGGCUAAUUUGAGAGGCAAGCAGUCUGAGACAGAAAAGCAAUUGAGGUCCAUAAUCAGUGAAUUACUACCUCAUAUCAUGACCAACAGUUUGAAGGCACCACAUACACAGUGUAGAUCUCAGACUUUGGCCAUCUGAGUCACUUAGAAGCAAAAGAGAGUGCAUUCUAGACGUUUGUCUUCAGUUUGAAAAUGUUGUGGUUGAAGAAGGAAUAACAGGAUAUAGACAGGUACGGGAGUAAUUAGGCCAUCGAGGUCUCCCGGAAGCUUUGAGCCUAAUACCACUGCAAACAGAAAACUCAAACUCAGGAUAGUGUAUAGGAGAUCAUAAAGCUAACAAGAAAUUUCAGAUAAUUGAAUGACAUUUCUGUUCAACAAAUCUUACAGAAAGCUUAAAAAAAGUUUUUAUCUUUGUUUUCAUACCUAAUUAGUAAGCAGAUAUGAAAUCUUUCUUCUCAGUCUAUAGAUACCAGGUAGUGUCAUGAAAAUUGUUCUAGUUUGUGUAGCGACCAAUAAUUACUAUUUGAUGCUCAAAAGUCCAAAUCGUCACAGUUAAAAUUAAGUUUUCAACAAAUGAUAAUCUGCCAAGUCUCUGGAGCUUCAUUGCAGGAACAACACUAUUUUCCUUGGCAACCUCAAAAAUUAACUUGAAUAUGUCCUUCAAUAUUACAUAGUUGGAGAAGAAAAGUUGAGUCAUAAGUUAGGAUAAUUAUAAGAGAAAAAAAGUGGUAUUGUAGAUUGCCAGUCCCCUUGCCAACACCAAUUUAACAAUCAAGGGGCAGAGGGAAUUUGUCGAUUGACAAGUGUCCUCAUGAUGAGAGAUCAUAACAAGGGAAAGUUGAGUCACAUUUCAUCUCUAAGAGACAUUGCGGAGAAGAUUAAAUCUCAGAUGGUGCACAGCAAGAUGAUGAGAUGACAGGUACAUUUUCAAGAGGUGAAAGUUCAGUGCAACCAUUUUGUACCAUAGAAUAUCAACUUUAGGAAUCAUGUACAAAUCACGGUGGCAGACAUAUGUGGUGAGCAGAUAAAAACUGCUCCUUUUUAUUGAAAGAUAGCAGAGGUAUGAAACUCAGUGCAAAUAGUCUUAAGCUAUCAUAUUAUGCUUGGCUGUCCAUACCAAAUAAUCUGUUCUUAAAUAUCUGCCAAUCUAUAAUUGGGGUGUAUACCUGAGUUUGAUGAAAGCCUCAUAUUAAAAUCUCAAGAAAUCUUGUUCCUGCAUUAUAAUUACGAAAACAGGAAGUUCUAUUAAAUUUCUUGAGCUGGGAAUAUUACAAAAGUGAGUUUCUUUUGUUGCUUUUACCCUAAAGAUAAUGAGCUGGUAAUAAGACUUGAUCUUAUGUAGGUAUUUAUCCGGCUUAGAUAUGCUAACCUCGGAUAAUUCUUGAAAGUUAGCAAAACCUGUAAUGGUCAAUCUAUUUCACUAGUAAUGAUCAUCAAACUGUAAAAAAGGAUGACAGGUGCCGAACCUGUGCAAUAAUAAAUACCUACUCGAGAAAAAUACAGAUUUUGUAUAUAACGGUAAGUAGGGUCGAAUCCACAGGGACUGGGGAUAAUUCGUUUCUUCUAGAGUCCAAAGUAUGGGGGGUUUUGGAUUAAAUACUAACUAAAUAAAUUAACUGCAGAAAAUAAUUAAUUAAAAGAAAUGAUUGGGGAAACUCUAGCCAAGGGUACACAUCAGAAAUGGUUCAUGCACUGAUCAUUGAUGCAGAAAUAAUUCCAACAUUUAGCAAUAGAUUAGUUAUAGUUGUCAUGCACGCGAUAAACAACCAAUCCUUCCUUAAUUUCUCGAUAGCUAAGGUACGACCGUUAGCUAUUUCUCUAACCCACAAAUAACCCUAGGUACGACCGUAGGAUUUAAUUUCUAGAUUGCAUUAAUAAUUAGAAAGAUCCAAUCCUAACCAACAAACACGCUACGAGGGUUUGUUUAAAUUAGAUCAUAUGCUCCCCUGACAUAAACCCAAUUACGCCAGUUGCUACUGAGGUAGAGAUAACGAACAAUUACGGAUUCAAUUACCCCUAUUUAGCAAAAAUAGCCUAUAUGAAUAAUUAAUUAUUGCGCACUAAUCAAUCAUACACAAGGCCAUAGCAAUUAAAAUCAAGGAACAUAUAAAUACCAAUAAAUGAAGAAAAUAAUUAAAACAGAUUCGAUCUCACAGUAAUUGUCGAACCAAAUCGUCAGUUGUCCCCUUGACUAGAAAAGCUUAACCACGCCUCAUGAGAAAAUCUCCCCGUUGGGGAAUAUUGUCGAAUACCUGGCGUGUGUCAGAGGCCAGUCCAAAGAAAGAAAACUAGAACUAAACUAAAAAAACUAAAACUAAAGCCCUAGAUUUCUUUUGCUUCUGUACGUUGUCCCCUUUUAAAGCAACAAAAGAAAGAUGACUAAAAGCUAUCUAGGUGGUCCCCACACAUGUGGACAAAGCCUCCCAAGUACUUCUUGUUCCAAGUCUCUCUACGUUGCUUUCUUUGAAGCCCAAAUGACCAAAUGCCUUUCACUAGCUUGUGGUCCCCCACCAAUUCAAGGGCCCAAGGAUUGAAACCCUUAGAAGUCUCCAUAUUUUUCACAAAGUCCCUCCUUUUUGGUAGUUUUCUGCUUCAUUCCUGAAAUUGAUUCCAAAUGCCAAAUAUGAGUAAAUAUCAGCAAUUAACACAAUAUUUGUCAGGGAUAGAAGGAAAAAUUAAUAAUAAAAAUACUAACAAAUUAUACCCUAUCAAUUCCCCCCACACCUGAAUCAUGCUUGCCCUCAAGCAUGGGGACAAUUCAACUCAACACAGGCUAGCUUUCACAUUAUCAUUGCCAGCUGUGCUUAUACAAAAAAUCAAGAUUUAGUGGCUAAGUGUCAAGUCAUAUCCCACUCGGUUAGCUCCUAAGUUCAUAGACCUGUCCAAUUCAUGGCUAAUUCGCUUAGGAAAUCCAAAUAUUAACUAGCAACAGUCAGUAAUUAAGUCAACUGGCAACCAAAAUCUCAACAUUACGAACCAAGGAUCGGCAGGCCAAUAUGAUAAAAAACACACAUAUUUUCCACCUCUUUUUUUUUCUUUUUUUUUCUCGUUUCCUUCUUUUCCUUUUUUUUUUCUUCUUUUUUUUUUCUUUUUGCAUUGCACGAAUAAUGCUUAGUCCCGAGCUAUUCAAGUCUUUUGACGUGAACUCUGACAUUUUUAGAUAAAAAGCCCAGUUACUCGACCUUUCAUAGCUCCAGGACUAUUUACUCAUAGAUAUCGCCACUUUUUGACGCGAGAGCCGACACUUGUGGUGAAGACUCCCGGUUACUAGGUGGCGACACUAGCGGAGUAUAGCCAUACGUUAUUCACCAUAAAACACCAAGAUACCAAGUAAUUACAGAUCAUAGCCUGCGUCAUGUCCUAAAUAUGGAGAACUAAGGUAAACAGGAGACCAAACUACACAACAAUGCAGGCAAAAUAUUUAUAUUGCCUAAACAAGUUAGCCAUAAGUUGCACCAAGUUGUUAAAGUCAAAGUAUUCACCAAGAAAGCAUGCUUUUACUAGCCACUGAAACUCAACCCAUAAUAUAAACUACAACUAGCAAUAAAGAAGUGAGCUGCCAACAUAUUCACUAAGACAAAAGCAAGGGAAAAACACCCAAAAGGGAUAAAGGAACAACGCCUAAAACAGAAAACAAGAGGAAUACAAUAAAAAAAACGAAAAAACUGAAAAUAUUCAGCACCAUUCAGCACCCAAACUGAUCCCCCCACACCUAAAUGACACAUUGCCCUCAAUGUGAUAACGUAAAAGUAGAAGGAAGGAGAGGGGCAACGGUACUUCCCUGAAGUCAUCACAACAGGGGCAGUUCAGGUGGAAAUUGUGGAUCAAGACCUUCAUGGUGACGUCAAUGUGGAUCAUCCGAGUCUCUAGUCUCUCAACUCGCAUCUGGAGCUGGUGCCAUUCGUGGCUUCACCAUGAACUCUAAAUAUCACUCUAAGCAACAAGAGACUACAAUUGCCAACAAAUAAUGGAAGCCGAAAAUUCAAAGCAAUAACAAUUUUCAAAGCCAUCCCAAUGAGCAAAAUGCACAAUUCAACCUCCCACAGAUUAAACCAGACCCCAGCACUUAUAGCAAAUGCAAUCAAUUAGUACUUAUGGAUGUAGUCAAAUUCAGAAUUAAGGCAGUCCAAAAUGCAACAAGUGUUCCAAAGAGCUUAGUAAAGGAAACCAAAAGGAUAAAAUGCUCCUGAGCAAGGCAAGUAGAGGUAACCACUUCAAUAAGCAAAUUUAAGCGUAACAGGCACCUCUUAAUUUAACCAACAGCCGCAGCAAAUUACCCACAACUCGACACAAAUUAUACAAUUUAGACACAAAUGGACCCAAAACCGUAACAACUGUCUCCAAUUGGACAGUUAAAUACCCAAUUCAACCUGCUAAAAUUAGCAAUUGACCACAGAAAUUGGCAAUUCCAGCAACCACAGUUCAGGAUUCGAAAAACAAUUUAAGCACUAAGGAUCAAGAAACUGUAAGCAACAAUGCAACCAGUACCACUGGUGUAUACACAGGGAGGAUUUAAAUCAAACAGCAGUAACUCAAUAAAUAUCAGAAAAUAUCCCCACGUAUGGCAGCAAUUAAACCCAAUUCCACUCAAAAUCUCAACAAAUAUCUCCAAUGGACAGUCUUACACAACUUAACCAACUGAAAUUAGCAAAUGUCCCCAAGAAACUGACAAAACAAGCAAUAGUAGUUCAAAAUUUGGACUACAACUAAAUCAAAAUGUUCUUUCAGUUUUCAAUCAGGUAGCCAACCAAGUAGAAUCAAUGAAUGUAGACAAAAUACCCCAACCAGUACCACUGGUGUAUUCCACAGAAAAGAAUUAAUUCAAAUGCCAAUCCAAACGACUGAGGAACCCUAACCAAGACCUAACCGCACCAGAAAUUAGAAGAAAUGAAAAUGGGAAUCAAUUGGCAAGCAACUCCCAAAUCAACCCCAAAGAACUCCCAAAUAAAUGAACUAUCAGAGGUGCCUUCAAAAAACCAAAUACCAAAAAUGCAUAGAAACUCCCAACCAAUUCAACGGGAAAAACAAAAUGAAGCAAAUCACCUCCUGUGUUUAUCCAUCAAGGAACCCAAAAGCACAAAUUCCAGCAACCGAGGAUUCAGGAAAAAUGUCAAAACAAGUGUAGAAAGUUAAUACCUCCACCUGUCAAUUUUGACAGGUGGUGACGCGCGGUAAGGAGGUGGUGCACGAGGUGGUGGCCGCGAGCUUUGGAAGAUGAGCUGGCGACAGAGGCUGUCAGCCACGCGUGCAGCUGUGCGCACAAUAGGAGGAGAGAGGCGCGAAGAGAGAGAGAUGAGCGCGGGCAACGGCCUGGGCUGGUAGUGGUUGCGACAGCUGGAGCUGGGCGUGCGGCAAUGGCGGAGCUGCGGCGCUCGGCUGUUGGAGGUGGAGGUCCAUGGGCUCCAGGCGGCAGGCGGCGGUGUGCUGGGGUCGAACUGGUGGUGGGUUGGCCAGGUCAAGGUCGCGCGAUGGAGGAUCUUGCCGUGGGCUGUGGCGGCGCGUGAGCUGAAGGGCUGCUGGUGUUCGCGGCUCCCGAUGGUGUGGCAGACAGCAACGGCGGCCACUUGGCUGCGAGGUUGGGCAGACGCGCGAGGGGAGGGAGAUGGUGGUGUGUGCGGCGCGUGGCUGGAGCCUGGAGGCGCGCUGGUCUGGUGUCGCACUGGUGGAUGGGCGAGGCUUAGGAGGAGGCGAUGGCAGGUCUGCUGCGUGGCUGCAGCUCGCGAGGUGGUGGUGGUCGUGGAGCUUGGGGCCAGCGGCGGCUCUGGUUGCGGAUGACGCUGGAGGCGGGCGAGGGUGAGUGAGGUGGAGCUGGUGGCGUGCGGCUCGGUGUGGAACGACGGCGGACCAAGCAGAAGAAGGAAAAGAAGAAAAGAAAGAAAAGAAGGAGAAAGAAGGAAAGAAAGAAAAAGAAAAGAAAGAAGAAGAAGAAAGAAAAUAGGGUUUCGUGUCUUUUGAAUUUUUUUUUUUAUAUAUAUAUUUUUUAUAUUUUUAAAUUUUUUUUUUACAAAGAAACCCAGUCUUAGGCGUGGGUACGCCUAACUGCUAUAGAAUCCGCAGAUCCUGAACAAAAAUUUCUUCCUUCAGGCGUGACCACCUGGCGUGGGCACGCCUAACUGCUAUAGAGUCCGCAGAUUCUGAAUGAAAAGUUCUUUCCCUCAAGCGUGACCACCUGGCGUGGGCACGUCUAACUACUAAUUUCCUGCCACCAAAUAUCAAACUAUUAAUUGACACUAACACUUAACUAAAACUUCAAAAAUGCAUGAAAACUGAAACAAAUAGUCUUGGGUUGCCUCCCAAGUAGCGCCUUUCUUUAAUGUCUUUGGCUAGACAUGCUAUGCUUGUUCACGGAGGAUAAAAUCCUGUAACUCGCUUCAAUGCUUCAUCUUCAAUGUGAUCCUGGUAACCCUCAUAGAUGGAAUAAUCUUUGAGCACACGAGCUACGGUCUUCCAUGGACUAGUUGAUGGCGCCAAAUAAUCAAGCAUUGAUCGCAAUUCUUCAUCCACUUCUCCAUCAAGAGCAUCCAUCGGUUCAAGAUAUUUGACCAUAGCUACUCUUAACUUAUUUCUGCCAUGAGACUCAAAAACUUCCGGUAAAACAAAAUCAAUCUCAUUAACAGAAAUCAUGGAGUAAGAGUUAAGAAAAUGCGGGUUAGGGAAUGGAGGUGGUGUCACCAUAUUUGAUGAUUUUUCACUGGAUUCUUUCACUUGAAUGGGUUGCGGUUGGGGUUCCAUUUCUUCCUUUUCGGCUUCUUUUUCAACUGCAUCUGUAGAUUUCUCAUUUUGACACUCUUGCAUCUCCUCAUCACUAGUCAAGCAAAUUGCACUCUCAUCUUCUUCUAGAUCAACAAUGGUUUUCGAGGGCAAUUCUUUCCUUUGAGAAGCCAAUCGAUUCAUUCUGGAUGUCAAUAGACAUAGUUGAUCUGCCAGAUAACUCAUUGCAUCCUUCAUCAUCUCAUUCCUCAUUUGUGUCUCCUGUUGGAAUUGGUAUGUAUUAAUAAAUAAUUCACCCAAUUCCUGAAGAGACAUACCUGACAUGGACGAUGGUUGUUGAGACUCUUGCUGUUGAAAAUCCAUUGGCCCGGUCGCAUAAUCAAAAUUGAAAUUAUCCCACCAUCCUUGAUCAUACCCGUUUGAAUAAGGGUCAUAUUGCGUUUGAUAUUGGGGUGGAAAAUCUCCAAAAGUAUCAAUUGGAGCACUUAGAUUAUCUUGAAAUGCGGGGCAUGUGUCAGUUGAAUAACCUGAGUCAAAAUAAGUUCCACAAUUUGCAACAGCCCAUUGAUCAUUAGGAAAAACAUGAGUCUCAUAACCCCAUUCAGGAACAAAGUCCAGUCUAUCAUCAAAAUAUGGAAUGUUCGAAGCCAUAAACUACAUAAAAAAAUAAGACAAAAACAAAUAAAAAAAAUAAAAACAAGAUGAACUCAAAAAGAAACAAAUUAAUCUGGCACCAGUCCCCGGCAACGGCGCCAAAAAUUGACAGGUGCCGAACCUGUGCAAUAAUAAAUACCUACUCGAGAAAAAUACAGAUUUUGUAUAUAGCAGUGAGUAGGGUCGAAUCCACAGGGACUGGGGAUAAUUCAUUUCUUCUAGAGUCCAAAGUAUGGGGGGUUUUGGAUUAAAUGCUAACUAAAUAAAUUAACUGCAGAAAAUAAUUAAUUAAAAGAAAUGAUUGAGGAAACUCUAGCCAAGGGUACACAUCAGAAAUGGUUCAUGCACUGAUCAUUGAUGCAGAAAUAAUUCCAACAUUUAGCAAUAGAUUAGUUAUAGUUGUCAUGCACGCGAUAAACAACCAACCCUUCCUUAAUUUCUCGAUAGCUAAGGUACGACCGUUAGCUAUUUCUCUAACCCACAAAUAACCCUAGGUACGACCGUAGGAUUUAAUUUCUAGAUUGCAUUAAUAAUUAGAAAGACUCAAUCCUAACCAACAAACACGCUACGAGGGUUUGUUUAAAUUAGAUCAUAUGCUCCCCUGACAUAAACCCAAUUACGCCAGUUGCUAUUGAGGUAGAGAUAACGAACAAUUACGGAUUCAAUUACCCCUAUUUAGCAAAAAUAGCCUAUAUGAAUAAUUAAUUAUUGCGCACUAAUCAAUCAUACACAAGGCCAUAGCAAUUAAAAUCAAGGAACAUAUAAAUACCAAUAAAUGAAGAAAUAAUUGAAACAGAUUCGAUCUCACAGUAAUUGUCGAACCAAAUCGUCAGUUGUCCCCUUGACUAGAAAAGCUUAACCACGCCUCAUGAGAAAAUCUCCCCGUUGGGGAAUAUUAUCGAAUACCUGGCGUGUGUCAGAGGCCAAUCCAAAGAAAGAAAACUAGAACUAAACUAAAAAACUAAAACUAAAGCCCUAGAUGUCUUUUGCUUCUGUACGUUGUCCCCUUUUAAAGCAACAAAAGAAAGAUGACUAAAAACUAUCUAGGUGGUCCCCACACAUGUGGACAAAGCCUCCCAAGUACUUCUUGUUCCAAGUCUCUCUACGUUGCUUUCUUUGAAGCCCAAAUGACCAAAUGCCUUUCACUAGCUUGUGGUCCCCCACCAAUUCAAGGGCCCAAGGAUUGAAACCCUUAGAAGUCUCCAUAUUUUUCACAAAGUCCCUCCUUUUUGGUAGUUUUCUGCUUCAUUCCUGAAAUUGAUUCCAAAUACUAAAUAUGAGUAAAUAUCAGCAAUUAACACAAUAUUUGUCAGGGAUAGAAGGAAAAAUUAAUAAUAAAAAUACUAACAAAUUAUACCCUAUCAAAGGAUCAUCAGAAACUCCUGGUAAUGAUGGCUCUUCAAGAGCAUCCGAGAAGUGUGGGCAAGAAAUUUUUUCUGAAUAGCCCAUACCGGCCAGCUGAUAGUCAUAGAGCAAACAAAACACAGACCAAAAAACUUUCUGCAAUGAAGUAACAACUUGUUUCAAGGACAAGAAGCCAGGAAAAAAGGAGCAAAUUUUUAGUAAUAUAGUAGGUAAAUUCUUACUGCUAGACCUUGUGACUGAAACGGCAGAUUGACAGUGUGCAAGUUCCGAUGGUAAGGAUAUGAGGCAUUGGCUAUUCAAGGUACCAAUACGAAAGAAAAGAGUGCCAUCAUAAAUAUUUCUGUCCAACUGAAAUAGGAUUUGAUUCAAAGCAAUUCUUAAAGAUGCUUUCUAAGCGGUUCAAUGAGUAAUUAACAAUUUCAUGUUCACUUUCUUGCUUAGUAAACAAUGUUUUCCAGUGGUUAGUACUGGAACCAAUCUUUACUUUCUAUAGGUUACAUUGUUAUACAGAUAUGCUGUUUGAACAAUGGGAACUAGAAUGCAGCAUAUGUCUAGCGUAAACUACAGCUUGGGCUGGAGAUUUGGUUAAGAACUUUCGAUGCUGCCAUUUUGCUCUGUUAUUGGUCGAAGAUAAGCUGGUCAGAACUUUUGACCAAGUAAUCUUGGGAAGUUUAAGAUAUUUUUAUUGGAUCAUAUUACUUACCUGGUUAAAAACCUUCUUUUUGUCACAUAUGCUUUCUUGGAAAUGAUGCUGUUGAGUUAUUAAUACAUGAGAGUCGUAGCAUGCCUUUGUAAAUUUAAUUCUUGCAAUAGUGGUACAUACAAUGAGAGGAAAAGAAAGAAUCAGGUGUUUCUACGUCCUACCAAAGUACACAAGGUUUUCUGGGCACAUUAGAGGUUUGCCUGUUGAUUUUAUCAAAUGUAAACCAUGUCUUCUUUUCUUGUCUGCGCAGGUUUUUAACUGUUUUGGCCACCAAUUCUGCUUGUAUUUUGAGGCGUUUCAUCUAGGAACAGCUCCGGUUUAUAUGGCAUUCCUGAGAUUCAUGGGCACUGAUGAAGAUGCAGAAAAAUUUUGUUAUAGUUUAGAAGUUGGUGGAAAAGGUAGAAAGCUAACAUGGCAAGGUGUUCCAAGGAGCAUUCGCAACAGUCAUAUAACAGUUCGAGACAGUUUGGAUGGAUUAAUUAUUUAUAGAAGCAUGGCACUCUACUUCUCCGGCGGGAAUAUGAAGGAGCUCAAGCUUAAAGUGUCUGGCCGUAUAUGGAGAAAAGACAUGUAAAAAAAGAAAAAAAAAUUCAUGGUAGUGUUAUGGUGUCUUCUGUUUUUUUGGAAAAGAGUUAAUGGUGAUCUAUGUGUUAAUUUCUAUGAUUGGUGGAUGAAUUUUGCUAGAUAUGUAGUUUGUAUAAAGAUAAUGGAGGCUCUUGGAUAAUUUCAGUUUGAUAGAUUUAUUCUACUGCAACUUAGAGGUGGCUUUUCCUUGUGUAUAAGUUCUAGAGUUUCCUAGCUCGAGGUCUCCGCUGUUUCCACACAUCCUGAGCACAAACUCAAACUAUUCUAUUGCUUCUUACCUUAAUAUAACUACUGAAUGUUGAUUGGUUUAGCAGAGUUCGAAAACAACUACAAAUAAUCUGGAAGGGUGGUGGUUUGGAGGCCUGAUGUUUUCUCUAUGGUGGUUUAGAAGUAGGGAAAGGAGCUAUAAUGGAUGUACCAUCAUUUUAAUUUUCUAGGACGAAAAAUGACAUUGUCCAUUGGGUUACAUCAAAAUCUGCAAUGCCAUCUUUUAACAGAGUUCAGGUUUAAUCAUCUGUAGAAAUUGUAUCAAUAUGUCAAAAACUACAUUGAUUUGUUAUUAAAGCAUCUUCAUUUACAUGUAUGCAUUACAGGCAGCAAGAAGUUCAUCCUUCUGAUCUCUUGAAAAAAGGACUGAUCUCUGUAUUCCUCUGAAUCUGAAUGUAAACAUAAAGAAGUAUUCACAAUCUUCUUUGAUCUAAGACAAGGAUUUUCAGAUUCACAUUUCCCCAGUUCAUCUGUUCUUCCUUAAUCUCUUGAACCAAACUUCCAACAUGGCCUGGACAGCGAUGCACCUGAAUCAAUUCAAGAGUUGGAAUUUCCCCCAAACAAGAAGGGAGCUCCUCCAAGUUCAAGCAGCUUUCCAAAACCAAUUUCUGAAGACAAGGGAGAUGAUCACCGGAGCACGUCCACCUGACAAUGCACAACAACUCCAAUUUCAAGAAUUUGAGUUUAGGGAAUUCCCCUUCUGCCAUGUUCCAUAUUUCUUCCCCACCAGCUUUUGUACCCAGUAAUUUGAGAACCUCAAGAUUAGGUAGGCUUCCUAUUGAGGAAAUCAUACUCCAGGGAAAUGCUUCCAAGGUCAACUUUUUUAGAUUCAUGGGGAAACUGAACUCAUAAUCCUUCUCUUUCACACGGUAAAAAGACAGCUUCAGUGACUCCAGUCGUCUUAGAAAGUCCAUUGCCACAAUCUUGUUCCGAUCCCCACAAGAUUUUUCUGUUUCACGGAGACUGCAUUUCAGUUUGCGGAUAUUUGGAAACUUCUUCAUUAUCUUACCCAUGCUUUGCCCCAAAUCAAGCUCAAGAGCUGAUAUAGUGUCUAGGUUACACAAAUCUGAGGAGCUGUCCAAGUUGUCUUUGGCCAAACUAAGAUCAAAAAACUUGCCGCUUACACAGAGACACCUCAAUGUCUGCAUAUUCCAUACGGUAUCUGGGAGAAAAAGACUACCAUGCAACGAUUUUAGAAUAAAAGUUUCCAAAUUCCAAAGGUUUGCUAUUGAUGAUGGGAUGUGAUUCAUGUUACCCGAAAAUGCCAAGUAUCUCAACUGAACAAGCAACAUAAUUUCGCCGGGAAAAACAAAUCCCAGAUUAAUUUUUCCCAAAUCCAACACUCUCAGAAGUUUGAAGAUGCGAAAAAUGGAUGAGACAUUGUAUGGAGUUCCAUAUUCCUCACUCUGGGUAGUGACCACUAGAGAGGUUAAAAGAGGACAAAAUAGCCGUGACUUCUGAAAAUGCUUUGCUUUAGAGUAAAUAAACAACCGACGUGUAUUACUUGGCUUGUCAAACUUAGGAAGUCCUGCAUCAUCACGUCUCAGCUUUAGAAGAUUUUCUUCUGUGGCUUUUCUCAAACAAAAUUCAUGCAACAAGUCAUGAAUGCGGCAAGUUUUGACUCCACUCGUAGAUUUUGGUUUGUCAACUAUAACCAAGCUUCUCCCAAUUAGAUCCAUUAUGUUGUCCUCAGCUGUGUCCUCUAGGCUCUUUACCUGUGUCUUUUGGACAAAGCCUUCAGCAAUCCACAACCGCAUCAAUCUCCAGAUAGGAAUCUCUUGAUCUUCUUGAAAUGCUCCAAAAUAAAGAAGGCAUGGCUUCAAAUAAUGAUGUACAUGUUUGUAGCUCAGCUCUAAUAUACUUUUACAAUGUUCUGUGCCAGACACAGUGUCCGAACUUAGACUUUCUGCAAUUUCUUCCCAACCAUCUUGCUCUAAAUUUGCAAGAAUUUCAGCUGUGAUAACAACUGUUAGAGGUAACCCUUUACAACCUUUUGCUAUAUGCUUUCCAUAUAGAAACAGUGCUGGAGGAUAUCCACCUUUUUCUACCAGCUUCUUUUGUAGUAAUUCUAAGCACUCAUCAUCAGUAAGUUGGCGAAGAUGGAGAGGUUUACUUGCAGGUUUAACUUCUAAAGCCAACUUAGAAAUUCGACUUGUUAAAAGAAUUCUGCUUCCAUUGGCAUCAUUUGGGAAUGAAACUUUUAACGCAUUCCAAGCCUCAAUGUCCCAAACAUCGUCCAAAACUAGGAGAUACCUGUGUCCCUUUAAACAAUGGUAGAGUGAUAUAGCAAGAUCAUCAGCAUCCAUCCUAGAGUAUUCAUCAGAGUCCAAAGGAUCACUGCAAGCCAAAAUCUGAAAUAACACAUCUUUCUUUCCAUAUACUUGAGAAAUACAACACCAAGCACGAAUAUGGAAGUGACAUAUAAUCAUCGGAUCAUGGUAAACUUUAUUAGCUAAAGUAGUCCUACCCAGUCCAGGCAUGCCAACAAUAGAAACAACGUCCAACUCUCCUGAUCCUUUUGUAAGCUGAUAGAUUAUUUGUCCUGCCUCAUCACGAAAUCCCACCACAACUUGAUUGAAUGUUGGCAUAGUCCAUUGCUACUAUGAAUGGAGUGGAAUCUGAGCUUUCUUUUGAGCUUCAUAGCUGAAUUCAUCAUCACCAAUCCCCAUGUAUUCCAUAUUAACAAGAUUAACCUCUUCCAUGAUGGCACUGGGGGAUUUAAAUGUUUCUAUUACUGCAUAUCUGUCUCCAACUUCCGCCUCAAUAAGCUUAAUAGUUUUUUGGAAAGCAAAGAACACAAGAUCCAUAUCCUUGGCUGAGUCCUCUUUUAAUUCAUGCAUAAAAAGUGAGUGGAUCACAUUUUUAGCUUCACCAACAGCAUCUCCAAUAAUAUCCUUCACGUUUUCAGGUAGCUCAUCAAAGUUCUCAGAAAUUUAAAAAGAACAAAAAAAAAAGGGAAAAAGGAAUUGCUUAGAAUCAGAGGGAGAAGAGGGACUUCCGAGAGCAGCGCUAAACAGCGAGGACAACUCCGGCUGGUGGAUGGCGGUGACCGGCUAAUGGCAGGGGCAGCUGUGGAGGAGAAAAAGGAAUAGUUUCGAAGGAAUUCAAAUGGAAGAGGAGGAGGUGCAAAUCGCAUAUAUAAAUCUUCAAACAGUAUCGUUUCCUCUAUUUAUUUAUUGGGAUAAUUGCAGAAACCUCCCUUGAGGUUUCUGAUAUUUGCACUGACCUCCCCUGUAGUUUGAAAAAUUACACUGACCUCCCUUGAACUUACUAAUCAUUUACAAAUUCAGUUCAAACGAUUAAAAUAUUGUUUUAGGGAGUGAAAUUAGAAUUUUUUACCAAAUUUGUCCUUUGUACUAUAUAUCCAAUGAAUGACAAAGUACUACAAAUCAAUUAACAAUUAAUAAACUUUAAGGAGUAUAAUUUAUAGGCAAAUACACAUUACUUAUUUAAAGUACCGGCUCUUUAUGGGUAUUUUAUUUUCAAACAUUUAAUUUAAUACAAAUAUUUACGCUUAAAUACAGAUUUGUAUUUACUUUCAAAUACAGAUUUCUUACUGCUAGACCUUGUGACUGAAACGGCAGAUUGACAGUGUGCAAGCUCCGAUGGUAAGGAUAUGAGGCAUUAGCUAUUCAAGGCACCAAUACGAAAGAAAAAAUUGCCAUCAUAAAUAUUUCUGUCCAACUGAAAUAGGAUUUGAUUCAACGCAAUUCUUAAAGAUGCUGGCUAAGCGGUUCAAUGAGUAAUUAACAAUUUCAUGUUCAUUUUCUUGCUUAGUAAACAAUGUUUUCAGCAGUUAGUACUGGAACCAAUGUUUACCUUCUAUAGGUUACAUUGUUAUACAGAUAAUGUUGUUUGAACAAUGGGAACUAGAAUGCAGCAUAUGUCUAGCGUAAACUACAGCUUGGGCUGGAGAUUUGGUUAAGAACUUUUGAUGCUGCCAUUUUGCUCUGUUAUUGGUCAAAGAUAAGCUGGUCAGAACUUUUGACCAAGUAAUGUUAAUGUGGCGUUGUCCCACAUCGGCUUUUGUAUAAGGGAAUCUUUCCCUUAGUUGCCUAUAAAUAUAGUGGGCCUGUGAUGGGGUUAAGUGCACCAAAACCAAUAGAGCAUUAGUGGGCUAUUUGGGCCUUUGGGUCGUUAAGCCUUUUGUUUAGUUAAAUAUUUUUUGAACUCUCUUGUGUUUUUAGUAUUAGGUGUUUUAGGCCUAGGAACACUUUCCUAAGGCAUCUUUUGUACUCUUUUCUUCAUAGUAAAAUAUUGCUCCUCUUUCGCUCGUGGACGUAAGUCAAUUUGACCAAAUCACGUAAAUUCUUGUGUUCUUGUUUUACUUAUUUCUGCUUUGUUAUUUGUUUUUUGGGGUUGCCAAAAAUCCUUUCGUCAAUUUUCUGGGGCCAGACCUAACAAACUGGUAUCAGAGCUUCUUCGGAAGCUUUGGAUUUUGUGACAACAAUGACAAUAACAAUGACUGUCGUCAAGAAAUUUGACAGGAAUGUCAACUUCGGGAUGUGGCAGUUCAAGAUGGAUGCCAUUUUGGUUCAAUACGGAGUUGAUCUAGCGAUAGACGGAAUUGAGAAAAGGCCAGAGAGUGUGACAGAAGCAAAUUUCGCUGAGAUGGAUAAGAAGGCAAGAUCCAGUAUUAUCUUAAAUCUCUCUGACGAGGUUUUGCGGGAAGUAACCACUGAGAUUUCGGCAAAGGCCAUGUGGGACAAACUUAAGGUCUUGUACAUGAAGAAGACAUUUGAGAAUGGGCUUUGUUUAAAGCAAAGUUUGUAUAUGCUUCGCAUGACUGAAGGUACAUCUAUACUCUCACAUCUUGAUAAAUUUGAUUCUAUUAUUAUGGAUUUGGGAAAUAUAGAUUCAAAAAUUGAUGAUGAGGAUCAGGCCCUGUUACUUUUGUUUUCCCUUCUCCAAUCUUUUAAACAUUUUCGCGAUACUAUGAUUUAUGGAAAAGAAAUAAUUUCGUAUCGAGAAAUUAAAUUUGCAUUAAAAUCUAAGGAGCAGAUAGACAGGGAUAUUAUUAGGGAAUUUAGUGGAGGCCAUGCAGAAGGUCUGGUUGUUAGGGGCAGAACUGAGAGAAGAGAAUUUGAUAAAAGUAGAUCUAAAUCCAGACAUAGAAAUGUGGAGUGCAAUUAUUGUCAUAAAAUGAGGCACAUUAAGGCAGAUUGUUUCAAAUUGAAAAAUAAAUUGAAACAAAAGAGAAAACCUGGUGAGAAAAAUUUUGAGACUGCCGAAACUGGUGUUGCAGCUGAUGAGAAUGAAGGAAGUAUUUUCUUUGUAACUGAUGACAGGACAAGGUCUAAAAAUGGAUGGAUUUUAAAUUCGGGGUGCUCUUAUCACAUGUGUCCCAAUAGGGAUUUAUUUUCCACUUAUGAAUCUUACAAUGGUGGAAUUAUUUUGAUGGGUAAUAAUGCCGCUUGUAAUGUUGUUGGUAAGAGUACAAUUCGAAUUAAAAUGCAUGAUGGUAUUGUGAGAACGCUUACUAAUGUUAGACAUGUUCCUGAUUUGAAAAAGAAUCUCAUAUCUUUGGGCACCCUAAAGGCUCUUGGGUGCAAAUACACAGCUGAAAAUGGCGUUAUGAAGGUUUCUAAAGGUGCUCUCGUUGUAAUGAAAGCUUGCAGGGUUGGUAGCUUAUAUGUUUUGCAGGGAUCUACUGUCACAAACUCGGUUGCAGUUUCAUCAUCAUCAUCUUUGUCUGAUUCUGACAUCACCAAAUUGUGGCAUAUGCGUUUGGGACAUAUGAGCGAGAAAGGCUUGGGCAUACUAAGUAAAAGGGGACUUCUUUGCGGUCAGAGUACUGGGUCACCGGAAUUCUGUGAACAUUGUAAUUUUGUGAAGCAAAAGAGAGUUAGCUUCAGUUCUCCAGUAAUUCAUAAGACGAAAGAUACUCUUGAUUAUAUUCAUUCAGAUUUAUGGGGUCUAUCUCGUGUUCCGUCUAAAGGUGGUGCCAGGUAUAUGUUGACUUUCAUUGAUGAUUAUUCAAGAAAAGUUUGGGUCUAUUUUCUUAAACAUAAGAAUGAUGUUUACCUCACUUUCAAGCAAUGGAAAGUUUUGAUUGAGAAACAGACAGGUAAACAGAUCAAGCGGCUUAGAACAGAUAAUGGUAUGGAAUUUUGUGAAAGAGAAUUUGAUGAAUUUUGCAAGAAUGAAGGAAUUGUUCGGCAUCACACUGUUAGGAUGACGCCUCAGCAAAAUGGUGUGGACGAACGUAUGAACAAAACACUUUUGGAGAGAGCGAGGUGCAUGAUCUCUAACGCAGGGUUGGCAAAGGAUUUUUGGGUUGAGGCAAUUUCUAUGGCCUGUUAUAUUGUCAACCGUGCUUUUUCUGCUACUCUUAAUUUCAAAACUCCUGAGGAAGUUUGGUCAGGUAUUCCUGUUGAUUAUUUUGAUUUUAAAAUUUUUGGAUGUCCAGUAUACAUGCAUGUAAAUGAUGAAAAAUUAGAACCUCGAGCUAAAAAGUGUAUUUUCCUUGGGUAUGUUUCUGGGGUGAAAGGAUACAGAUUAUGGUGUCCUGAUUCCAAAUCUCCAAAAUUUAUAAUUAGUAAAGAUGUUACUUUUGAUGAAUUCUCUAUGUUAUUUUCCAAGAAGGAGUCGUCUAGUUCUUGUCAAGUAGAUAAUAGUAUGCAGAAGCAGGUGAAGCUUGAGAUUGGUAGUUCUGGUCCUUCUAUUCAACAAGUGCCAGUAGAUGCAUCUGAAUCUACUGAUAAAAAUAAUUCAGAAGAGAAAGAAUAUUCCAUUGCCAGAGAUAGACCAAGGAGGGAUAUUCAACCACCACAAAGAUAUGCAAAUCUAGUUGCAUAUGCUUUGUCUAUCGUGGAAGAAACUGAUGUAGUUGAUGAGUCUACUACUUAUUCAGAUGCGAUUGCUUGUGAUGAUUCUGCUAAGUGGUUGGUUGCGAUGAAUGAAGAAAUUGAGUCUCUCCAUCGAAAUGGAACUUGAAUUCUUGUGAAGCUGCCUCUAGGUAAGAAAAUUAUUGGAUGCAAAUGGAUCUUCAAGAAGAAAGAAGGUGUUCCAGGAGUUGAAGAUGCAAGGUACAAAGCAUGUUUGGUUAUAAAGGGCUAUAGUCAGUUACAAGGUGUUGAUUUUAAUGAAGUAUUUUCACCUGUUGUUAAGCAUAGCUCUAUUCGUGUUUUGCUUUCUUUAGUUGCCACGUAUGAUUUAGAGUUGGAGCAGUUUGAUGUUAAAACAGUUUUCCUGCAUGGUGAAUUUGAAGAAAAAUUUUAUAUGAAUCAACCUCGGGGAUUUGAAAUUGAAGGAAAGGAAGACCAUGUUUGUUUGUUAAAGAAAUCCUUAUAUGGAUUGAAGCAGUCUCCAAGACAGCGGUAUAAGAGAUUUGACACUUUUAUAUUGAGUCAUGGUUAUUCAAGGAGCAUAUAUGAUAGUUGCGUUUACUUCCGGAAGUUAGAUGAUGGUUCUUUUAUUUAUUUGCUACUUUAUGUUGAUGGCACGCUCAUUACUGCCAAGAAUUUGUCAGAAAUUCACACUUUGAAAUUGCAGUUAAGUAGUAAAUUUGACAUGAAACAUUUGGGAGCAGCUAAGAAAAUUCUUGGCAUGGGAUCAAAAGAGACCGAGGAGCUGAAAAUUUAUUCUUGACUCAAGAAAAUUAUCUUGAAAAGAUUUUGGAGAAGUUUGGCAUGAAAGAUGCUAAACCUGUGACUACUUCUCUUGCUAGUCAUGUUCGACUAUCUGCUACUCAGUCAUCACAGUCAGUUGAAGAGGAAGAGUAUAUGGCACGGGUUCCUUAUUCCAACACAGUUGGCAGCAUUAUGUAUGCAAUGGUUUGUACUCGUCCAGAUAUUGCACAAGCAGUCAGUGUGGUUAGCAGGUAUAUGUCGUGUCCUGGAAAAGCACAUUGGCAGGCUGUGAAGUGGAUUCUUAGAUACUUGCGAGGGAUUUCAAAUUGUAGUUUGGAGUUUGGAAGAAAUAAUGACACUUUGGUUGGUUUUGUAGACUCUUACUAUGCUGGGGAUCUUGACAGGAGAAGAUCACUUUCAGGUUACGUAUUUUGCAUUGGCGGUUGUGCAGUUAGUUGAAAAACUACUUUACAAUCCGUUAUAGAUUUAUCUACUACGGAGGCAGAAUAUAUGGCCAUGACUGAGGCAAUCAAAGAAGCUUUGUAGUUGAAGAGUCUGUUUGGCGAACUUAGUUUGUAUCAAGGUGUUACUACUAUUUACUGUGAUAGUCAAAGUGCCAUUCAUUUGACUAAAGACCAAAUGUAUCAUGAGAGGACGAAACACAUUGGUGUGAAAUUUCAUUUCAUUCGAGAAACUAUUGCGGAGAGAAAAGUCCUUGUUCAGAAAAUCAGUACCAAGGAGAAUUCUGUUGACAUGUUCAUGAAACCUCUUCUAGUUUACAAGUUCAAACAAUGCUUGAAUUGGGUUGGUAUUCGUUGUUGAUGAUUUGGCCCAUUGGGGCUUAUGUGGAGAAGGUGGAGCAGUUUUGCUAUUGUUGAUGUUAGGGACACGCUAAGGUGGAGAUUUAUUAAUGUGGCGUUGUCCCACAUCGACUUUUAUAUAAGGGAACCUUUCGCUUAAUUGUCUAUAAAUAUAGUGGGCAUGUGAUGGGGUUAAAUGCACCAAAAGCAAGAGAACAUUAGUGGGCUAUUUGGGCCUUUGGGUCAUUAAACCUUUUGUUUAGUUAAAUAUUUUUUGAGCUCUCUUGUGUUUUUAGAAUUAGGUGUUUUAGGCCUAGGAACACUUUCCUAAGGAAUCUUUUGUACUCUCUUCUUCAUAGUAAAAUAUUGCUCCUCCUUCGCCCGUAGAUGUAGGUCAAUUUGACCGAACCACGUAAAUUCUUGUGUUCCUGUUUUACUUAUUUCUGCUUUGUUAUUUAUUUUUUGGGGUUACCAAAAAUCCUUUCGUCAAUUUCCUGGGGCCAGACCUAACAAGUAAUCAUGGGAAGUUUAAGAUAUUUUUAUUGGAUCAUAUUACUUACCUGGUUAAAAACCUUCUUUUUGUCACAUAUGCUUUCUUGGAAAUGAUGCUGUUGAGUUAUUAAUACAUGAGAGUCAUAGCAUGCCUUUGUAAAUUUAAUUCUUGCAACAAUACUAAGUACAAUCAGAGGAAAAGAAAGAAUCACAUGUUUCUACGUCCUACCAAAGUACACAGUAGAGGUUUACCUGUUGAUUUUAUCAAAUGUAAACCAUGUCUUCUUUUCUUGUCUGCGCAGGUUUUUAACUGUUUUGGCCACCAAUUCUGCUUGCACUUUGAGGUGUUUCAUCUAGGAACAGCUCCGGUUUAUAUGGCAUUCCUAAGAUUCAUGGGCACUGAUGAAGAUGCAGAAAAAUUUUGUUAUAGUUUAGAAGUUGGUAGAAAAGGUAGAAAGCUAACAUGGCAAGGUGUUCCAAGGAGCAUUCGCGACAGUUAUUUAAUAGUUCGAGACAAUUUGGAUGGGCUAAUUAUUUAUAGAAGCAUGGCACUCUACUUCUCCGGCGGGAAUAUGAAGGAGCUCAAGCUUAAAGUGUCUGGCCGUAUAUGGAGAAAAGACAUGUAAAAAAAACAAAAAAAAAUUCAUGGUAGUGUUAUGGUGUCUUCUGUUUUUUUGGAAAAGAGUUAAUGGUGAUCUAUGUGUUAAUUUCUAGGAUUGGUGGAUGAAUUUUGCUAGAUAUUUAGUUUGUAUAAAGAUAAUGGAGGUUCUUGGAUAAUUUCAGUUUGAUAGAUUUAUUCUACUGCAACUUAGAGGUGGCUUUCCCUUGGCAUAGUCCAUUGCAACUGUGAAUGGAGUGGAAUCUGAGCUUUCUUUUGAGCUUCAUAGCUGAAUUCAUCAUCACCAAUCCCCCUGUAUUCCAUAUUAACAAGAUUAACCUCUUCCAUGAUGGCACUGGGAGAUUCAAAUGUUGCUGUUACUGCAUAUCUGUCUCCAACUUCCGCCUCAAUAAGCUUAAUAUUUUUUUGGAAAGCAAAGAACACAAGAUCCAUAUCCUUGGGUGAGUCCUCUUUUAAUUCAUGUAUAAAAAGUGAGUGGAUCACAUUUUUAGCUUCACCAACAGCAUCUCCAAUAAUAUCCUUCACGUUUUUAGGGAGCUCAUCAAAGUUCUCGUGCUGGUUUUUAAGAAUUGUUCUCAAGAAUCUCAGUCCCUCGUAGACUAUAUGCAUUUGACUGGUUACAGAAUCCAUUAAGCCGGUAUUGCAAUUAAGUAGCUCCCAAAAAUUAUCUAGGAGAGCAUCAACUAAAUUCCCCAAUCUAUGCUUAUUAGUCUCCUUUGACAAAGUGCAUGAUCCUGAUGAAUUAGAAGCUACAAGGACUUGGAUAUAAAUGUCACGGACUUGAGGAUCAAAGGGGUUGAUCUUUCUGAAAUCUUAUAUUGCACUUGGUUGGACACUUGUUCACCUUUUAUGUCAAACCAACACAUUGAAAAGAAGUCUGCUGCAUUCAAAGCCACAGAAUUGAUGUGGGAUAAGGCAGCUCCCAGUUGCCUUUGCUCAACAACUCGCAGCACAGCAAAGCGAAUCAAACUUUGGAAGAACCUUAGCUUCUCCUGGAGGUCUUUGCAUAGUUGAUAAGUCAUAAUUUAUUGCUGAAUUUAUAAUUAUUUUUCCCUUUAAUUUUAGCCAAAUAUUAUUUUAAUUGAUUGAUUCUACUUAUAUUUGGUUAAUGGUGCUAAUUGUAGGAAAAGAGCAAAACGUGACAAAAAGGGGCAAUCUUCCAAUUAAUUUGAUGGUGGCACGUUUGGGAUCGAUUUCUAAGUUCGAUUCAAACUCUGGGCAGCUUUAGAGGAAGAUUUGGAAGACUUGAAUUCUAAUUAUUAGUCUUAUGGUUGAAUUAGGAAACUUGAAAUACUUUAUUUUGUGGUUUAUUUUUCUAUUUUAGGAAACUAGUUCUAUUUGGUAGUUGAUUUCCAUUAGGAAACUAAGGAGAAAAAAGGAGCCGCCGUUAUUGACUACUGGCUCUGGCUUUUUACUCUUGCUUUGAUACAAUUGGAGGAGACAAUCAGGAUCACUCGCAUGUCUUGGAUUGGAAACCAUUGAUAGAAAUAAAAGUCCCUUGUUCGUUUCUCCUAUUGCUGACCAAAAUUGAGAAGUCCGAUUCGGUGACUUUUCCCAAUUCUUCACGCGCGGUUUGUCCUCCAUUAAUGGAGGGCUAAUUCUCUAAUCCUAGUCAAGGGAGCAAUUGACGAAUUGGUUCAACAAUUACUGUGAGAUCUAAACCGUUUUUUUAAUUAUUUUCUUCAUUUAUUGAUAUUUAUAUGUUCCCUGCUUUUAAUUGCUAUAGCCUUGUGUAUGAUUGGUUAAUGCGCAAUAAUUAAUUAUUCAUAUAGGCUAUUUUGCUAAAUAGGGGUAAUUGAAUCCGUAAUUGUUCGUUAUCUCUGUCCUAGUAGCAACUGGCAUAAUUGGGUUUAUGUCAGGGGAACAUACGAUCUAGCUUAAACAAACCAUCGUAGCGUGUUUGUUGGUUAGGAUUGGGCAUUUCUAAUUAUUAAUACAUGCUAGAAAUUAAAUCCUACGGUCAUACCUAGGGUUGUUUUUAGGUUAGAGAAAUAGCUAACGGUCGUACCUUAGCUAUCGAUAAAUUAAGGAAGGGUUGGUUGUUUAUCGCGUGCAUGACAACUAUAACUAAUCUAUUAAUAAAUGUUGAAAUUAUCUAUGAAUCGAUGAUCAGUGCAUGAACCAUUUCUGAAGUGUACUCUUGGCUGGAGCUCUCUUAAUUAUUUCUUUUAAUUAAUUAUUUUCUGCAGUUAAAUUAUUUAGUUAGCUUUUAAUUCUAAAACCCCCUAUUUGUUUUGACUUGAAAGGAAAUAAAUUUCUCACCAGUCCCUGAGGAGACGACCCUGCUUGCCAUUGUCUGCUAAUUAGUGAAUUUAGUCAGAUAAUUAAUUCGGGUAUAUCGGAUUAAGCAAACUCUUCGGGAACAUGGUGAAUCAAGUAACCCAUUGCACACUUAGAGUCCCUACUCCAGUACCUAAAAUUGAUUUUUGGCUACUUUUGGUGGUAGUUAGGUUUUAUUUAUUAUUAUUGCACAGGUUCGACACCUGUCAAUAGUUCCAGCAGAUCUUGAUCAUCAUAUCUAAGUAUGCAGAGGAGAACAUCCACCAGAUUCUCUAGAACAGAGUCGAUGAGUUCCAUCAACUCAUGCGCCGUCAGACAAUCACUAGUUUGCAACAAACUAUUCAAGAAAAUGAAGUAAAACUGCCUGAUUCUUUGCUUAAAACUUUUUAUACUACUUUGAACGCUACUAGUCAAAAUAAACCGCCGUUUAUUGAAUACUCUGUCCCUUUUCUGCUCUAUUUGAAGUUUGAGUGCAAGUUUAUGGAUACCAGUUUCGAGUUUAGACAUGAAAGAUUCAAGAUAGCUUACAUAAUCUUUGUUGUCAGAAGUGCUCCAUAUUCUGGCGCAGCGAAGAAAUGUCCUCAUGAGUCUAUACCCCAGCUUCAGUUGCUCAGAUUGAUAAACAUUUAAAUCCCAAAGGCCAUCCAGAUUUUCUAGGGCAUUCAAGACUGAAUCUACACAGUUGGAGGAGGUGGAAGAGGCCAUCUCUUGGUGGGGUGAUGGAUUGCUAAGCAGCUAUGGAGCAACAACGUUCAAAUCUUGAACAGCUAAACUAAUCGGUUGAUGCUAAACUCUAAGAAUGAAGAAGAAUUCUUUUCUGCACCUCAGAAAAUCCUUUGGCCAACCGCCUUGUUCAGCUAAAAAUGUAAUAGCUGAAGUUUUCACUCAAGUUUGAAGAAAUAAAGUGAUUUUAGUCGGAUGGAGAUCUAGCAGUCUUGAUGAGACAGUUGACCAGGGCAAAUUCAUGUGGCAUACAGUGGCUGGUCAUUUGGCUUAGUUAGGCAAUUUGGUGACAUCAAAUUGAAACUUCAAAGUAGGGCUGAUUGUGAGCAGCUCAACCAGUCGAUUUGAAUUCAAUUUGAUCAAGUUUAAGAUCGAGUUCGAAUCCAAACUCGAGCAGGGAUGCAAGUCGAGUAUCGAGUCCGAAUAUAUGAUACUCGAGUUUGACAAGUUACUUGUGGAGUAGCUUUUAAUUUAAAUUAUAUAUAUUUUUAAAUAUACAAUUACCACUAAGGAUUUAUGCUUUCAAAUAAUUUACAAGAUGAUUUGCAUAUUUAAUAAAAUUCUUUAAUGGCAAAAAGGUAAUAGAAUUUGAAGUAAAUAUAUUCAAUUUUAUUCUCUAGGUUUCGAGCUUAAAUGUUCAAAAAUGUGGUCUGAUCGAGCUUCUAUGCUUGAUGUCAGAAUCGAGUACUCGAGCUUGAUAUGGCUCGCUUUUUACUCGAGCCAUAUCAGGUCGAGUUUGAAUUUUUUAUUCCAUUUCAAUGAGUUGAGUUCGAUCUUCAAUUUUUGAACUCAACAAAGCUUGAGCUCGAGUUGAGUAUGUGUCAAUAGUGUUCAAGUCGAGCUCGACUAUAGCACUACUCGAGGUUGAUUCAACUAGUAUACACCCUUACUUCAAAGUACAUGUCUUUCUAAAGAAGGAAUUUGGUUGGAUGAGUUGAUUUCUCAUUUCUAUGAUAGAAAGUUGCCAAACACCCAAUAUGUUUUCCAACUAUUUUAAUUAAUUUUUUAUCUCACACAAACAUUUUUGGAAGUAGAAUAUUUACAAAAACUUUGGUGAAAAUAAACCAAGAAAAAAUCCAAUCAUAAGAAUGGAGGUUUUGCAUAGUCUAGUUCUCUAAAAACAUAAUCUAUAUAAGAAUCAUUAGGGUGUUAUUUUUAAUGACUAUAAUAGUUAUUUGCUUGGAAAUGUAGUGAUUUUUAGUUACGUCGUAUCGCCUCUAAUCACUUUUUUACAAUCCCUCCCCCUAUAUCACUCAAUCUGUCCUUCCACCGCUCUAAUCAUUUUCUUAUCUUAAACCUAUCAUCAUUACUAUAUAAAAAGUACCAUGAAUCUUGGUACUCUAGAGUGUGAGUGUAAGUAUUCUUAUGAUCUUAGUUUUGUUAUUCCAAUUAUGUACUUGUUAAUUAAUGAUUGGAGUUUCACAUUAUGCUCUUCUUAAUUUAUUAUGAUGAUUAAAAAUUCAUUAUAUCAUAUAUAUUAAUUUAAACGAAAAUAAUAGUUGAUGAUAAGCAUUAGAGACUGAGCAAGAUUUGAUCUUAGUUUUUAAUUUUAUCCAAAAUACCAUUCUCCCUAAUAAUCCUAAUAAUUAGAUUUAUUGCAUUUUAAUAAUAGCAAUAAUAGUAGCUAGGAAAUUAUUGUAACCUUAAUUAAAUUUGAAGUAUGAAGACAAUAAACAAACUAUAACACUCCAAACCAAUGUGUCUUUGUGCAUUCUAUUUUCAGUUUUUAUUCAAUUAAAAAUUAUUAAUUAGUCAUAGCUUAAAUAAAUUUUUAAGUCUUCAAAAAUAUUACUAUUGUGGUGAAUGAUCAUUUACACUCCACUGUUAAUAGAAUUAACAUACAAAAUGAUACAAAGAGUUCAAUUUCAAAGAAUAUUCAUCUCUUCUCUUUUUAAAAAAGGGUGUAUAUAACUUCAUAUUGAAGAAUUGCAAAUUUAACUCAACGUAACAUGAAAACUAAUACCGGUAAAGCAUGCAACUAAUAUUUAUGCAAACAAUCAUUUUUAUUUUAUUUUAUUUUAUUUUUUACCCUCCUAUCUCUCCUCACACCCUUUUCAUCCCCAACUAUCACGCACGGCAUUCGAAUUCUGAACUAGAAAGAAUUCUAAGACCCCUACCUUAACCACUAAGCCAACCCUAGUGAUUGACAAACAAUUAACUUUUGUUUAGCGUGCAAAUUCAGGUCAUCCAACUUUAAAAGAAAAAUAAAAAAAUUAUUCAUAUAUCUAAUUAAAGAUCAUACAAUUUUAGUGGUAUUAUCAUAAUUUGUUUGUCAUGGAGAAAACAAAUGAAGUAAUUAGAAGUAUCAAUAUUAUACAUACCAUUCAAAAUAUUGAUACUUUUGUCAAAUCAUUUCAUAUUUGGUCAAAUCUUUAUUUUUUAAAUGUUAAUUUUUCAUCUUCUUUCAGUCUUUAAAGCCAUUAUUUUAAAUUGAAAGAGACUGAAUGUAUCUUCAUUUGUUAAAAAUUCUCUAGAGAUUUUAUAUGAAUCUGUAGAUAUAACAUGUUGUUAACUUUUUUUGUUUUUAAAAUAAUGGUUUUAAGGAUAAUUAAUUAAAGAAGAUAAAAAAUUAAAUAAAAAAUAAACUAUGCAAAUAUUAAAUUUGUUAAAAUAAUUUUCACAAAUAAAUUUUAAUGCAUAAGAAACAUAUAUUUUAUAAUAUUAUAAUCACGUGCAAAGCACGUGACCUAUUACUAGUAUUAUGAAAAAUAUAAUCACUUUCUAAUAUUGAACUCAUUAAUCACUUUCUCAUCUUUAACCUAUCACAUUAUAAGACUGCUACUGUAUUAUUCUAAACAAUUUUUUUUUCGAUUAAUCUUCUAUCCAAACAUAGUGGCUCCAAAUAUUCGUACAAGACAAAAUAAAAAUACGAAAUGAAGCUUUGCACAUUGUUCUUGUUUAUUUUUAUUCAGUUACAAAACCUACUCCCUCUUAAGUGCCUCGCGUUUUAUCCUAUGUUUCAGCUACCCGUAAGUCCACCUCUGUCCAAAUUUUAGUACCAUUUUUUGGCUUUGGCAAAGACGAUUACUUGCCCUUGUGAGAAGCUGAAUGUCUCCACUGUAGUUUUCCCAUGCCUAAUUGAAUACUCACGUCAUGCCCUGUAUGCAUCUUCUACAGUCCAGUACCCCUAAUAGCAAGCAACCCCAUGUACCUUGUGACCAUGGCAUGACAGUCUGCAAGUGUAAAAGAACACCAGUCCAUUUAGGUUUUAGGAUUUAAGGUAUAGAGUUUAGAACUCAGGGUUUAAGGUCAUGAUGUCUGGAUUCAUGGUGACACCAUGCCCUUGAAUGAUGGCAUCCAUAUCUGCCAGGGCAAACCAAAAGUUGAAUAACAAUUUCCGAUGCAUUAAUUAGAAGUAAGAGGAGAAUGAUGAAACUUAGUCUAGUGACUAAGACUGAGAUAUCAGGAAUUAGAGGUUCUUUGUUCCAAUCCCCCUGCUGUCUCCCCAUUCUUAAAUCCCCACCCCUCUCCUGCUGGAAUUAAAAAAAAGGAGCAAAUGAUGAAAGCAUGAAACAGCCAUCAUAAAGAUUUGCCACCAUUUCGUAUCAUCUAUAUGUGCCAUCACUUAUCCAAAACCAAGGAACUCAGCCACGAACUAAAAGCUACCAACAAAGACGUCUAUCAAUACUGCAAACACGUAAGUUCAUGACCACGAGUACUACUUCAGCUGACAUUGGCGCGUAAACAGCUUUAGAAAAUCCAAUAUCCAACCAUGCAUCAUGAUAUCUGAUAUCCAAACAUAAGCAAUAACAUAGUGCAAUGACAUGGUGACUGCAGACAAAAUGUCUACCUUGGACCAGGGCCACAGCGCUUGACAUCUAAUAUCCAAACAUAGUACAAUAACAUGGCACAAUAACAUAGCACAAAGACAUCUUCCGUUUCAUCCUCUAACAAAUCCCCUUCUGCUGCCGCUAGAUAUGCUCCGAGCGCUUGCAAAGCUGUCCAAAAAUGAUACAUGUCGUCGGUAGGGGCAGGAGGGGAAGGAAUACCAAUUGAUGGAGACAUGCUGGACUCUUUCCUCUCACUGAAGUGGGAGCUAAUACUGUCAAUUUCAAAUGACUGAGUAUUUACUUCCCCAGGGCUUGAAUUGCCAAACUUCCUUGUACGUUUAGGCCUUUUCAGCUUCCCCUUAUUCAUAGCUUUUCCCCUCUUUGGAGCCACAACCUCAACAUGAUCAUCAGUUGAAUCUAACAGGAUUGCUCUCUUUCCUUUUUGAAGUUUUGCCAUCUUAUUUUCCUGCUCACACUCAUCAUCAGUAUAAAGAGGUGCCUGGCCAGAUUUCUGACUAUACUUCCCUGAUGUUCCCUGAUCAUGGAACACCUUGGUCAGCACAUGAAAUUGCAAACAAACAUUGAGCCUCUUGUUCUAAUGAAGCAGACUUACUUUAGUCAACUCAUCUUUAAAGGGUUUGAGUUAAAAAAAAAAAAAAGGAGGACACAACACUAAUAAAUUGCAAGACAAGGCCAUUGGGUGUUAGCAUGAACCAAUUAACCCAUACAGAAGCCAAUAGAUUAUACCUUGAAGUAAUUUGUAAUGCAGAGUUUCAAGUCAUUUUCGCCCGAAAUGGACUGCACACUAUCACAGAGAACGCCAGCUUUAUGUCUGGCUGCUGCAAGAAUAAAAAAGGCAUGAUAAGAACCUAUAAAUCGAUUUAACAGGCACAACUAAUCAAAAUCAGCUACGUACCCUUCAAGGAAGACCUUGUACAGGGAGGCAUGAAUAUACGUUUAGUUCAAUAUAACAACAUUCAACACGAAUAGCCAAGUAUCUGAGGAAAGGACACAAGGUGUGAGAAAAGGCAGCAAUCAUCAUACUUAUGCAAUAGCAAUGAAAUGGAGGCUACAUUUCCAAAUGAGGGCAGUAAAUGCAACAGCACAAGUAUGAUCAGUCUGGAACAAAAUUUUCAUUAUGUGCUAAUUCAGAGCCAGCUACAAUGUCACAGAGUAACAGGCAAUAGGCAUGAAACUUCCAAUACAAGCCUUUACACAUAAACUCCCAAUUACAAGGCUAAUUUCUAAGAAAUUCCUGGGGAAGUGUUACCAUAGAAAAAAGAAAAGAAAGUUAACUGAUUUAAUCCGUUUCUUUGGAUUAUAGGGAUAACAGCACAUUUUCUGUGUCCUAAUUAGUCCGAACAGAGACAAAAGAAAUCUGGCCAAAUUAAAACAGAGAGGUCGAAUCUACAAUCUUUGGAAUUUCAAGAUCUAUACAUUUAAAAUAACGUUAAUGACUAUCGAUGAUGGUCUUCUUUCAUUUAAAUUGGUAUUUGGAACCUUUUCAGUUCAAAUAUGUCUGACCUUUUCCAUAUUUCUGUCUAAUUUCUUUCCAUAACUUUCCAGAGAAAAAAAAAGUGCAUAUAAUAAGUAGAAAACACAAAACAACAUUUCAGCAAAAAAAAGAAAGAAACUUCAUAACGAAUCAGUGAUCAAAACUUGAACUUCAUAAACGUCCAUGCACUAGUCUAACGUUGGCGAAUUCUGGAACUUGCGCAUUAUAUUUACUGCAGUUUCUUGACCUAAUAUAAGUUUGCCAGUGUCAAGUGAAAAGAGCGAAUAAUCUACAACUCUAACCAUCAAAUGAUACCACCACGAGAUAGGCUAGAAAAAUUCUUCGAAACGCAGUUAAGAUCUAAGUAGAAAUUGCAGAAACCAGUUACAUUGCUCGGAAAUUUAAAAAGAACAAAAAAAAAAGAAGGGAAAAAGGAAUUGCUUAGAAUCAGAGGGAGAAGAGGGGCUUCCGAGACCAGCAUUAAACGGCGGGGACAACUCCGGCAGGUGGAUGGCUAUUGCCGGCAAAUAGUAGCGGCUGCUGUGGGGGAGAAAAAGGAAUAGAGUUUCGAAGAAAUUCAAAUGGAAGAAGAGGAGGUCCAAAUCGCAUAUAUAAAUCUUCAAACGGUAUCGUUUCCUCUAUUUAUUUAUUUAUUUUGUAAAUUCACCUGAAAAAAAAAGGCCCCUUAUUUUUUUGUGCAGAAAUAAGUUCAUCUGAAAUUUUUGUACGGAAAGUAGAUUCGAAUCUUUGUUUGGAUUGCUGUUUAUUCUAUUAGAGGAAACUAGGCCUCCCCAGCUGCCAUUAUUUUUCUUUUGUGCGUAGUUUCCUUUGUUUGGAUUGAUGUAUAUCUAUUAUCUAUCACUGUAUAAAACGCAUUAUGUGUCUUUAGUGUGAGUGAGUGUAAAUAAAAAUUUAUCUCAGUUUUUGUUAUAUCAAUAUGGGCCUUGAUACUAAUAAAUGGACAGAUUAUAUUGCAUUUCCUUGAUAAUAAUUAGUAAGAAUUAUGCUAAUAGUUACAAAGAAAACUUCCUUAAUCAACUAUUCCUAGAAUAGUUGGCCACCAAAAAAACUUUAAGAUUCAACUAUUCCUGCACUCUAAAUCCAGAAUUUCCUGGAAAAAUCUGCUAGCCGGUGCGUACGCACCCUCUAGAUUGGUGAUGAUAGAAUCUAUCUUAUCCAGCAAAAAAUAUAUGUAUACAAAGAAACAUUCUUUGAAUUGUGGUGAUUCUAGUGAAUUAAACCAAAAAAAAAAAAAAAAAAACUAAUUCAUUGCAUUUCAUCAAUAAUUAAUGUCAAUUAUAUGCCAACAAUUACAAGAACGAAAAACAUUCCCUUGAGUUAUAAUGAAUUAAAUCGAAAAAAGAAGAACAAAUUUUAUUUAUAAAUUAUAAAAAAUAUGGUCAAUCUUAGUUGUUAAUAGUGUAAGCAAAAAAUGAUAUUAGUUUCUAUGAUAUCAAAAUUACACUCCUCUUUAAUAAAUGGACAAAUUGUUGCAUUUCAUCAUUAAUAAUAUCAUAUCAAACAUGCCGGUGGUUACAAAAAUGAAAGAUUCCAUACUUUUUUAUUUACCAAAAGAAAGAAGAACAAAUUUUAUUUACAAAAUCCAAGUUUAAAGAGUACUUCAAACAUGAAACAAAACAUAAUAAAUUGGUAUUAUGAAUCUCUUAAAAAGUACCACGAAUCUUUUUAUUUCUUGAAUACAAAUAAAUUAAGUCUUAAGAGCACCUUUUUAAUAUGCGUAUAUUAGUAUUGAGUAAAAAGAAUUAAUACAAAAUAUAAUAAGAAACGGAAUACUAAGGUAAUUUAAAUUGCAAUAUAUAGAUUAUAUUUAAUGAAUUUUAUCAAUCAUAUUCUUGUAUCAAAUAAUAGUAAUAAACUACAAUUAAUGAAUAUUAUAUUCAUCAAUGCCAAUCAUAAUAAUAAUUACAAAGGUGAAACAUCCUUUGAAUUAUGGUAAUAAAAAAAUAGAUCCAAGUUAGUUUGAAUAUUGUAUAAUAAAUAAUUUUAACACCUUACAAUUUUUAAUGAUAUUAACUCUAUAAUCAUAAAGCAUGCCAUCAGUGAGAAAUACAAAUAAGUUUCACCAAAUCAAAACAUUUCUCUUCAUAGUUAAGCUAUUUAAAUUUGAACAAUGGAAUUUCAAUAUAUUCAGAUAUUAUUAUAAUUACAAUAACAUUAUAGAUCAUUUUACAAUCCACUGUUAGCAAAAUAAUGAUAAUAAUACUAAUAAUAAUAAUAAGAAGAAAAUCUCACUAAAACUAAUAAACAAUUCAUAGAAUGACAUAAAAGGGAGCAACAAAUUAUUCAAAAAUUAAAAGUUUAAACUCAAAUGGCAUAAAAAUGAACAUUUAGGUCAUCUAAAUUUAACCAAAACACAAAAAUAUUGAUACUGUUACAAAAUAAAAGUACUCUUGGAACAAAGAAUGAUUUAUUGUUUGUGCAUUUGUAUUGGUUAGGGCAAACUAAGUUCAGAAAAAGUAUAAAAUAACAUAAAUAUUAAAUAUCACAUUUUUUUUCUCAAUUACAUUUAUUCCUUCAAAAUAAUUGGGGAUAAAUUUACAAAUCUCCCCUGAGGCUUUUAACAAUUACAGAGAGCUCUCCUUAAGUUUUAAAAAUUACAUAUACCUCCCAUAUUUUUACUAUUUAGUAACAAUGUAGGUCUAACAAAUGAAAUUUUCUCUUAAAAAUUCUAAAUUGCCCUUUUGUACAAAAUUAAUACAGAAAAAUAUAGUGUACUCAAUCAUUUUCUUCCACACUUUGCACAAAUCAACAAAUUUAAUUCCUAACAACCAUCCAAACAUAAGUUCUAAAAUCAAGUAAUUGUUCAAAAGAUUCCAAAUUGCAUAUACAAUAUCAUUACUUGUCACGCAAAAAAAAAAAGAGAGAGAAAAAAAGACGAGCCCCGUUGAUAACCAAUUUUAUACACUCAAAAUUAAAUAUCAAUUCUCAAAUACCUUUUCAGUACAAGCUAAUUUGAUCUAGAACCACUAUUGCAACCCUCCUAUGGCCUUAAAAAUAUUAAUAUCUUAAAAUAGAGAUAAAUUCUACCUCCACAAUAAAAUCAUAAUAACAAAUUCUAAUUCAAUGAAAGAGAUCCUUAUGUAAUUAUUGACAUUUUAUCAAAGUUUUUUGACAACAAGUAAAAUAUGAUAAAUUUCACAUAUUUAGCUUUUCUUCCUAUUUCAAUCAUCAAUUUCAUUAUUUAUUUCUCUAUCAUUGCGAGUCUCCUCAUUUCUUUCUAAUUUGACACAUAAUCUGCUUCCUCUGUGAUUUGGUAAUUUUAAUUUCUAAUAUUAACAAAUUUGAAGAUAAUAAAAAUAGGUUAUGUUAACUAGAAAAGAGAGGAGCGAAAAUAUUAGACAAGAGAUGGAAAAAUAGAUUAAUUCUUUUGGGUUUUGUAAAUGUAUUGCCUUAAAUUUAAAAUUGUCUAUCAAGUGGAGGGCAUUAUAGGUAUUUUACCAUGUCAAGGGAGGUAAGUGUAAUUUCUUAAACUUGAGGGGAUUCGAGAGAAAUUGUUAGAAACCUCAAGGGAGGUUUCUGAAAUUAUCCCAAAUAAUUGAUUUUCUAAAAAUUUGAAAGGAGAAAUAUCUAAAAGUAUCAUGUUCACAUGCAAAGCAUGUGCUCCAUUACUAGUGAGAUAAAAAGAUAUGCUCGGAAAAUGUGAUCAUAGAAAACGUAAAAACUUUAAUCCAGACAAAUAUUUAUAAAAUCACUAAUUAGUUAUUGCUAUUAUUAUUGCUACUUUUUAGACUGUUAUAGAUAUAAGAGGGUUUACUUAUAUUGGCCUUGGAAGUCUCAUAGGCAUGGAAAUGUAGAAAUGCUUUUCUUGUAACAUAUCGCUGAGCUAUCAAGGAAAAAGAUUUGAAGCCGAGAUGUGUAAGAUCGAUGUCACAUUGCUGCUUCGGGGUACAACAUUGAUGCACAAGGACUAGCUCGCAUGAAAGGGAUUUUGCAACCAGACACCAUCUAAAAUGUCAGUUUGAUGAACUAAGGUUGACCUUAUAUGUUCCCAUUUAAUUCUUGUAAAGUUGAUAUCCAUAAUUUUAUCUUUCCAACGUUCCCAUCCACCAACUGGGAUACUUUUUUGAAUACAAAAUUGUGCCUUAGCAAUUCAGUUUUCUAAAUUGCUCUCUGAUUAACAUAAAGUAGAAGGGCUCAAGCUGACUGAUUCUUGUGAGCUUUACAGAUACAACGUGCAAUGGAAAAGUAUCAUUGGCACAACCUGUAGUCAAUUGCAGAACACUUGAGAAAAAAUAUGUUGCCUGUUACAGAGCUAAGAUACAACUUCAAGAAGGAUGCAAGCACCUAUCAGGGUUCAGCUAAUCCACAUCUUUCUGCUACAAAAUACUGGCUACUUUGAACUACAAGCAGUACGGAAGAUAUGGCAAAUUGAGUUCCAAAAUAAGUAAAAUAGCACCUCAUUUAACAUAUCUACAGAUUGCUGAAUCGGUUGGACAGUUUAACAACACCAGACAGACAAGGAAGAUCUCAGGUUUUGGCCAUCCGAGGCAGAGAGCAAAAGGGAAUUCCAUCCCGGAUGUUUUCAUUUGAUCUGACUGAAACAGGGUCUGGUUCAGCAAGGGAUCAUAGGACUUCAUUACAAAUGAUAGUAAGAGCGAGUUAUCAAGGUUAAUGUUGAUCUUUGAGUGUAAAAUCACUGCAAAACACAAAAACUCAAACUUAAGAAACUCGAGACAGCAUGCAGUCAAGAAUAAAGCCAGCACAUAGUUGCAUGACAUUUUUGUUGUAUUUGAAACACUAAAAUAAGAACUUACCAUGAAGAGAGGAGCAUCCAACAAGUAUAGAAGGCGGGGUGAGCUUAAUAGCCUUCAUCACAGCAGAUGAAAUAAUUGCAGCAAGUAGCAGCAGCCAACAAGUACGCUUCAAACUUGCAGCUUAGACUUGAUUGUGUCAGAAGAUACUAUAACAAGUCUGUGCAGCUUCACUGCAUGAGCAGCACAUCUUCCGUGGCUGCUCCCAAAAACAUUUUCAUUAUGAAUUUAUGAGAAGAUUUCUCAAGUUUUAGUUGUAAUAUGUUCAGAUUCAAAGUAGUUAAAAGUCAAAUUUGAGUAGUAUAUCUGAACUUACCGGACUCUUAGAACCAAACACCAAUUUGACGACCAACAGCUCUGAAAACUCCUGAAAUCUUUACUCCUAGAAAAUCAGAACCAAGGAAAAGUGAGACAGAAACCCAUCAUCUACGAGACUUAUCGAACAAAUCACUAAUCAAAUGGUUCAAGAAGCUUGAUAUAUGCGCCUUCAAGAGGUGAUUAAACUCUGGAGCAACUAUUUACUCCCUCUAGAAUCAUGAGUUAGGGAGCUGAUCACUUUAGCAACAAAACGAAACUCCUGGUGCGUAUUUCAUAUUGAUGGGUAAAUUGUAGGAAAUGCAAACCAAAAAUUAAUUAAUACCAGCUAUAAAAAUCUAAUCUAGUUUCAUCUAGGGGAGAGAACACAAAAAUCUGCUUGUUAAGUGCAGGAGAAAGACGUGCAGCAGAGAAUUGCUGGUUUAAAGUCUCGUAGAAAAGGUUUCUAGAAUUGCUGCAUGUGAUAUCGAAUCUAAAACGUCCAAUGCAUUUUCAACAGGUGAAACUUCAGAGUGAGCAACCAUUGAAAUCACGAGUUUAAAGAGAGUGUGCUGAUGUUAGCAAACACAACGUACAAAGGACAGUAACUGCCAUUAGUGCAUUUCAUCCAAAACAUGAUUCAGUUCACCCAAGAAAAUCUCAUUCAUUUGCCAUGUUCGAUCUAGUACAGAAACAUGGUAUUGAAUUAAGCCUCCAUUUGCCAUGUUUGAUCUUUGCAUCAGCAAAUAAUAUGUGAUAGAACGUGAGCAAUACCAAUUUAACAUUAGAAAUUAACCAAAAAGAUUGUUUAGUUCCAUUAAUUGAUAUGGAGCCGUGCAUGGCUUACUAGUGGAAAAGGUUACGAAAUAUUGUGCUUAUUCAUGAUGAAGAGAUUGAAAUGACUGACUCUGUAUCCAACUUGGCAGACCUAAUCUGUUGUUGCUUCAAUUAUCAGUUGAUAUACUUUCAAGGAAAGAGAGGAUUUUCAAAAGUGAAAGUGGUAAUUAGGAGCCAUCAGGGUUCCCAAGUGAGCUUUAAGCCUACAGUCACUGCAAAACAGAAAACCAGACUCAGGACUUCACAUAGCAAAUCAUGAGGCUAACUGGAAAUUGCAUGACAUUUUUGGUUAGUCAAUUAUUCAGAAAGCCAAAUCAAUAUUUGUUUCUGUUGUGCUUUUCUAACCUAAAUCAGUAGGAAGAUAUCAAAUCUUUCUGCUCAAUCUACAAGUACCAGAAGUGCCAUAGAAACUAUUAGUUUUUGUUCAAAACACUGAAAAAUGAGAAGUUCUAUAACAAUAAUGAUAAUGAGCAGCACCCACAAGCAUGAAAGGUAGAGAGCUCUAGAAUUGCCAUGAAGGCGAACUCUUUGAGACAGCAAGAUGCAACGAGUAGAGCUAAUUAUAACUCUUCGACUCUUAAAAUCUAAAAUCAUGGCAUUUGAACUUAAACUUCAGAAGGGGAUAGUCUACCAAGCCUCUGCUGCUUGAAGGUGGUCUUAAACAUGACAAUUUUUUAAAGGUUUUAAUUAGUGCAUUGGAUAUUGAACUUCUUAAAACCCAAUAUUAAGCAGAGGAAGAAGAUUAUUGGUAUUAUAAAUUAUCUAACAGUCAGAGUCAUCGAUGAGGUUCCCAGUUAAGUUUUGUCCCUAAAAUCACUGCAAAGCACAAAAACUCAAACUCAAGAUGGUGUUCAAAAUAGAAUAAAGCUAAUGGAAAUUUUUAAAUAAUUGCAGGUUUUCUGUCAUUGUGACUAAAGCCCCAAAAGGAGAAACUUACCAUAAAAAAAGAAGCAACCAACAAUCAUAAAAGCAGAGAGAGCUUAAAAGCCUCUAUCAAGAUGGAUUCAUUAAGAUCAGCGAGUCACAACAAGCAGACUUGACUAACUACCAGAAUGCUUCAAAACAUUGCGCUUAGAGUUGAAUGUUGGAAGAUACUCCACCAAGUUUUGUGCAACUUCAUUGCUCAAACAGUACACACCUUCCUUGGCUACCUCAAAAAUAUCUUCAUGACGACAAGAUUUCCUUUGUUUCAUACGUAAUAGAUUAGAUAUUAAAGUGGUUAGAAGUCAAAAUUGAGCAGUGAAAGAAGAGAAGCAUAUCUAAAAUUACCAAAAUUUUUAAACCAAAACAUGAAAGUGAUGACCAACACCUGCGAAAACGCCUCAAUUGACUAUUGUCUUCAUGGCUAAAUAGCCAAAAUCAAGGAAAAGUGAGCCAGAAAACCAUCAUAUAUGACUCUGAUGGAGCAAUUACUAGUCAAAUAGUUCAGAUAAGUAUGCAAGUUCAUUAUCAAGAGGUAAAAGUUCAGCCCCUUUAAAAUCACAAUUUUAAAUAGAGUGAGAUGACUUUAGCAUUAAUAACUUAAAAUCCACAGAAGCAGAUCACGUAAAAUAAACAAAACAAGACUGCUAGUUGUUCGAAACGUUGAUAGGCUAUUUGUAGGAAAUGCAGGCCAAAAGUUAUUGAGGUCUAGCCAUAUAGUUGGUGCUUCAAAAUUCUAACCUCUGUUCGUGAAGCUAUUCUUACAAAAACAAAGCACAGAACAGAAUAUGAACAGAGAUACAGUAAAACAUCAAAACACGAAACAGAACAGGUGCUUGGGGUCAUUCUAAUUGAUAGUUACAUGUAAUGGUACCAGACUUGAGCUAAUUAGGAAUGUUGGCUCUCGGAAUCGAAAUCACAAUCAGAACGCCAAUGAAAUUAAUUCAAACACAAAACGAGCUAAGAAUGGAGCUCAGUAAUGGCUUCUAUUAAUCUGUAAAAGAAUACAGAAAUGGCGGGAACAAUAAGAAGGUGGAAGAGAAUGAAGGAAAUUUUAAGAAGGAAAAAAGCAGAAUGAGAUUUGAUGCUCACUUCUGUUGAAUUACAAGACAAAUUCCUACCUGCUACGUUCCCUUAAUUCCCUAUUUAUAACUAUCAAUCUAUAACUAACAUCUGGUCCUCCAAUCGCAUUUGUCCAAGUGGCCAAGUGGCCAAGUGGCUGUGAAUUUGGUUACACGAAACUGAAAGUUGUUGCAGAACUUCAAUGGCUUCCUUCGCGUGGUUGCAGAGUUGGUUUCCAGUAAAGGCGUGGUCCUUGAUUCACGCCUUGGUUUCUUCCUCUUAGAUCACGCCUUCUUCUUUGCUAUCUUCACGCUUCCUUUUAUUACUUGAUUUACUUGUCAGCUGCUCCAUGACAAUAGUUCCCCCUUCGAUUGAAUCUUGUCCUCAAGAUUGAAACCCAGGAAAUUUUCGUCCUAUCUCCUCUGCAUCUUCCCAAGUGGCUUUAGCAGGUGAAGUUCCCCACCACUGUACCAGCCACUGUACUAUGGCUGCAUUUUUCCUUUUAACCAGCCUCCUGUCUAAAAUAGUUUCAGGUUCGACCCUCAAAUGUCCUAGUUCAUCCGUGUUGGGUAGCUGGAGAACUGGUGUAGCGUUUUGUCCUACCUUCUUCUUGAGCAAUGAGACAUGAAAAGUUGGAUGAAUUCUGGAAUCUGCUGGCAGCUGAAGUCUAUAGGCCACCUUGCCUAUCUUCUCAGCUACCUGAUAAGGCCCGUAAUACUUUGCUGAAAGUUUGGAAUUCUUCCUUACCUCGAUUGAUGUCUGUCUAUAGGGUUGCAACCUCAGAUAAACCCAAUCUCCAACAUUGAAUUCUCUUUCAGUCCUCUUUUGGUCAGCAUAUAUCUUCAUUCUGUUCUGAGCUUCCUGCAGGUUCUUUUUGAGUAAAGCAUCCAUCCGCUGCCUAUCCUUCAAAUGGUCUUCUACUGCAGCCAGCCUGGAGUGUGAAUAUGGCCCCAAGGCUAGUUGUGGUGGUGGGAUUCCAUAUAGUGCCUCGAAGGGGCUCAUAUGAAUGGCAGUGUGGUAAGUGGUGUUAUACCACCAUUCAGCAAGGGAUAGCCAAGCAUUCCAUUUCUUAGGCUCUAGAUGUGUCAUGCACCUCAGGUACAUCUCCAAUACUUGAUUCACUCUCUCCGUUUGACCAUCAGUUUGGGGAUGAUAUGCAGUGCUCAGCUGUAACUCUGUCCCCAGUAGGGUGAACAAUUCUGUCCAAAAUUGACUGGUGAAAAUUCUAUCCCUGUCAGACAACAUGCUCAAAGGCAUUCCAUGCAGCUUGUAGACUUGAUCUAGAAAGAUCCUGGCUACAGUAGGGGCAUCAAAGGGGUGUACCAGACUGAUGAAGUGGGCAUAUUUGGUGAAUCUGUCCACUAUCACCAUGAUAGUAUUCUUCCUUUCUGAGCUGGGCAGUCCUUCAAUGAAGUCCAUGGUAAUAUGGCUCCAAGAGUAGUGAGGAAUAGGGAGGGGUUGUAGUAGGCCAGGGUAUGCUGUACGUUCAUCUUUGCACUUCCUACAAGUAUCACAUUGUAAUACAGUAUCCCUGAUCUCCUUGUACAUUCCAGGCCAGUAAAACAGCUGUUUGGCCCUGUAGUAACUAGCUUGGACUCCAGAAUGUCCUCCUAGCUGGGAGUUGUGCAGGGCAUGGAUGAUCUUUCCUCUAAUUCCCCCCUUGGCCCCUAUGACUAUCCUUCCCUUAUACCUGGCCACCCCAUCCUGGUAAGAAUAUUCUGGUCUGGAACCAGGUGCGAGUAAUAAUUCACUGAUCAGCUUCUGCAUCUGUUCAUCCUCCUGGUAACUGUCCAUCACCUCUUUCAUCCAUUCAGGAGUGAUACAAGUUAGCUCAACAAGUUCACCUUCUUCUGUAUCAGUCCUUCUAGACAAAGCAUCAGCAGCUACAUUCUCCUUGCCCUUUCUGUACUGUAUUUCGUAGCUCAGUCCUAGUAGCUUGGUCAGCCACUUCUGUUGGAGAGGGGUAGUGAUUCUCUGCUCCAGCAAGUAUUUGAGGCUUUGAUGGUCUGUCUUGAUGAUGAAAUGGUGUCCUUCCAAGUAAUGUCUCCACUUGGUGACUGCUGUUACAAGAGCCAGGAGUUCUUUCUCAUAGAUAGAUAAUCCCAAAUUUUUGAGUCCCAAACUCUGACUUAAAUAUGCAAUAGGCCUUCUAUCCUGCAUUAGCACUGCUCCUAAACCUCCAUAGCAAGCAUCAGUUUCUAUAACAAAAGGUUUACUGAAGUCUGGUAAUGCCAAAACAGGAGUGCUACACAUGGCCAUCUUAAGUUUCUGGAAUGCUUCUUCAGCUUCCCCAUCCCAGUGAAAUCCCCCCUUCUUCAGAAGGUUGGUGAGUGGCUUAGCUAUUGAUCCAUAUCCUUUAACAAACUUCCUAUAAUAACCAGUCAGCCCCAAGAACCCUUUCAGCUGCUUGACAUUUCUGGGUUUGGGCCAGUUCACCAUGCUGUCCACCUUCCUUGGGUCAGCCAUUACUCCUUCUGCAGUGAUAAUGUGUCCCAAAUAUUCUAUUUGUGUUUGUGCAAAAGAGCACUUACCUCUGUUAGCAUAUAGCUGAUGUUGUCUAAGGAUGCUCAGUGUCUCCUCCACGUGCCUCAGAUGGUCUUCCAGGGAUGAGCUAUAUACCAGAAUGUCAUCGAAGAACACUAUAAUAUGUCUUCUCAACUGCUCACUGAAAAUCUGGUUCAUUAAACUCUGAAAGGUUGCCGGGGCAUUAGUCAAGCCAAAUGGCAUGACUUUGAAUUCAUAUAACCCCUGGUGAGUCCUGAAGGCAGUCUUAUGCCUAUCCUCCACCCUGACUCGGAUCUGGUGAUAUCCUGACUUUAAGUCAAUUUUUGUGAAGAAUCUGGCUCCUCUCAGCUCAUCCAUCAGUUCAUCAAUCAGGGGCAUUGGAAAUUUGUCCUUCACAGUGAGCUCAUUGAGCUGCCUGUAGUCCACACAGAACCUCCAACUGCCAUCUUUCUUCUUGACUAGUAAUACUGGGGAAGCAAACGAGCUAUUACUGGGUUGGAUUAUUCCCAUCUGCAGCAUUUCUCUCACCAGUUGCUCUAUUUCUGAUUUCUGCACAUAAGGACACCUGUAUGGCCUAAUCUGGAAAGGUUUGGCUCCCUCCUUCAGAGGAAUCCCAUGGUCAUGGCUUCUGGUGGGGGGUAGCCCUUGUGGUUCAGCAAACACAUCCCUGUAUUGCUCCAGUACUCCAUUCACCUCUGCUGGAAUCCCCUGCGAGUCAACCUGCCCUUCCUCCACUAAAUACAGUUGAGCAGUGAUUCCAUAUUCCUGUUUCCUCCUCCAUUUGGCCAGCCUACUCCCUUUGAUAGCCUUGAGUGUGAUCUUCCCAGUUUCUCCCCUUAAUUCUAUCAGCUCCUUCCCUCUGUGGAACCUCAUGUUUAGGCCCCGGAAGUCAAAUUCGAUAGGACUAAAUUUAGCCAACCAGUCCACUCCUAAUACUGCAUCACAGCUCCCUAAUCUUAGAGUAUUAAAGUGAUGUUGAAAUUUAUGUCCCUGGAUCUCCCAUUCUAGUGGCUUAUUGAGCUGUCUGGACCCCAAUCUCUCCCCAUUAGCUACCUUAACCACCAAAGGAGUACCCGUUACCUGCAGUUGCAGAUGAGUAGCUAGCCUUUCAUCCAGGAAGCAGUGUGUGCUUCCGCUAUCUAUCAACAUCAAGACUUCUUUACCCCCUAUAUUGCCUUUCACUUUAAAAGUUUUGUGUUCAGUUCCUCCUGCCAGAGCAUGAAUGGACACUUCUAAGAGCUCCUGACUUACCUCUCCCUCAAGGCAAUCACAAAACUCCUCUACUACCUUUCCCAUUCCCUCAUGGUGAUCAUCCACCCCCCCAGGUUCUUCUACCAAGAUAUACUGCAUCUGAGCUAGUUUGCAAACAUGGCCUAAAGUGUAAGGUUCUGCACAUUUGAAACACAGCCCUUUCUCCCUCCUAUAACUGAAUUCUGAGGGAGUAAUUUUCUUAUACUGGUCUGCUACAUGUCCUCCCGGCCUGUCCCCCUUUUGGAAAACAUUUCCUAUCCUUCUGGAGUUGUCAUUAGUCCAUUUAGGUUUGGUCUGGGAUGGAAAUCCCUGCCCAAUGGUUGGCUGCGGGCUGGAAUAUUUCUGUGUUAUAGGUUUCUGUACUCUUCUGAUGGCCUCCAAAUUUUUCUCCUGUAACUUGGCAACUUCUAUAGUGUCUGUUAAGGUGUGUGGUUUAGCCAUUUUUACCAUAUUCACGAUUUCACUCUUCAGUCCACUCAAAAAACAGGAUUUAUAGUAUGAAUCAGUCUGUCCAGGAAGUAUAGGCAUUACCAGUGAUUUUAGUAGCUCGAAUCUUUCCAGAUAUUCAGCAACACUCCCUGUUUGCGUGAGUUUGUUGAAUUCCUCGAUGGUCUCCUCUGGUGAGCCUCCUCCAAAUCUUCCACAUACUGCCAAGGACAACUCCUCCCAAUCGACAUAUUCCCUACCAUGGUACCUCCCAUGGAACCAGAUGUCCGCCUUAUCUCUGAAGUGAAGUUGAGCCAAGUCAGACUUCACCUCCUCAGCUACUCCCUGGAUCUGGAAGUACUUGUUGGCUCUCCUAACCCAUUCCCUAGGAUUAUCCCCCAUCAAACAUAGGGAAAUCAAUCUUAGGUAACUUAGUUCCCCCCCUAAGAUCCUGCCUCUCAGUUUUUUCCCUCCUCAGUUCCUUCCUCUGUUCAUUCCCAGAACUGCUUCCCUCAUCCCUUCUCCCAGGUUCAUUCAAUUUGGCCAUCAUUUGAGCCAUCAUCGACAUCAUGCUCUCGUACUUCUGGUCCAGGUUUUUAAUGGCCUUCUCCGUGCCUUCCUGCCUAUACUCUAUCGCCCUGACCGCCUGUUCCAAUCCAUCGUUUUUGUUAGCAAACGUCCUCACAACACUCCCUAGCUCAGUCAGGUCCUUCCUUAUCAGCUCCUCCUGUGCUUUCGUCAUCCCAAUGGCUCGUAGUUAGCUCUGAUACCACUGUAAUGGUACCAGACUUGAGCUAAUUAGGAAUGUUGGCUCUCGGAAUCGAAAUCACAAUCAGAACGCCAAUGAAAUUAAUUCAAACACAAAACGAGCUAAGAAUGGAGCUCAGUAAUGGCUUCUAUUAAUCUGUAAAAGAAUACAGAAAUGGCGGGAACAAUAAGAAGGUGGAAGAGAAUGAAGGAAAUUUUAAGAAGGAAAAAAGCAGAAUGAGAUUUGAUGCUCACUUCUGUUGAAUUACAAGACAAAUUCCUACCUGCUACGUUCCCUUAAUUCCCUAUUUAUAACUAUCAAUCUAUAACUAACAUCUGGUCCUCCAAUCGCAUUUGUCCAAGUGGCCAAGUGGCCAAGUGGCUGUGAAUUUGGUUACACGAAACUGAAAGUUGUUGCAGAACUUCAAUGGCUUCCUUCGCGUGGUUGCAGAGUUGGUUUCCAGUAAAGGCGUGGUCCUUGAUUCACGCCUUGGUUUCUUCCUCUUAGAUCACGCCUUCUUCUUUGCUAUCUUCACGCUUCCUUUUAUUACUUGAUUUACUUGUCAGCUGCUCCAUGACAUUACAAGAGUAUUACUAUUAUGUUGUAAGGAGUAAAUGAAGAGCACCAAUAUUUUGGACCUAAUACGAAAUGCUAAUGCCGCAGCUUUGAAAGAUAAUAAAUAGGACGAUAAAAAGGGAGAAGAGAAAAUUGCGAAAAUAACCAUGUGGACUUUUUAGGUUUUCUCACGAGAAGGUUAAUCAGAGGGGGAGGUGAAGAGAAGGGGAGAUUGAUUGUAAAGCAAAUUAAGAAAGGAGGUAGGAGGCAAUCUUACACGAUUGAAUUUGAUCUGAAGAUGAGUGGUUAUUAACCGGUUAUGAUUAGGUCUUGAAUGUGAGAAACUUUGGACCACUGGGAGUCGGGGCCGCUGCUCUCAGGAGUGCAUCUUUCUUUUAACAGAGGAGAACCAUAAACCUCCAGACGUUUUAGUUUGGUGAGAGUUCUCAUGGUAUCCUCAGAGGGUAGACAUCGAAGCUCUUUGAAACCAAAUAAAUAUAGUUUUUCAAGAGCAGCGAGGUUUCCGAACCAAUCUGGCAGAGCUUUUACACCUCCAAAGCCCUCUAGCAUUAGUGACGUGAGAGUGGUCACGUGUUGGAUCUGAUGUGGCAGUGACUCCAUGUGUGGCAACCCAGCUAAUUCUAAUCGACGGAGUGCAGAUGAUGAAGAGGAGGAGGAGGAUAUCAAUCCAGACCAAUCAAACUCAUUGUAAAUUGAAGAAUUUUCAUGAUCAUCUAAGAAGGGACCAAUUGCAAGAUUCCUUAAGCUGGUUAGGAAACCAAAUCCUUUGGGCGUCAUGCUUGUUUUUAGUUUGGGACACCUGUAUAAUUCCAGCUCCAAGAGAGAAGGCGUUUGUUGCAAAUCAAGCGGAAAGGAGAUAAGAUUGUCGCAACCAAUCACCUGAAGCUGCUGGAGAGAGGCACAAGAGUGUAGCAUGUCACCUGGCAGAUUCGUCAACCCAUCACAACUCCAAAUCACCAGCUCUUUAAGAGACGUAAAGUUUUGCAGGGGAUGGAGUUCUCUGCAUCUGUUGCAGCGAUAAAACUCCAAACGCGCUAACUUGGGGAGCGUUGUUGGCAAUUGCAUUAACCAUCGUGGAAAUUGAUCGCCCAUAAAAUCCUUAAUUACCAACUUCUCCAAAUUUGGGUGGGGUCGAAGGCCAUCUAACACAUCUUCAUCGUUGUAAUUGUCGCCUUCUCGAUUAGGGGCCCACUUAAGUUUCAGCCGAAAUAGAUUUGCCUUUUCAGAUAGUUUUGCUUCCUCAACUCCUUCCUUAUCCUUUACUAGUUGAAGAUUGCGUAUCUCCAAUUCGCCUUUGAGGUUCUUCAAGCUUCCAAGCUCUCCAAUUCGCCGACCCUUCUCUCGACCCACCUUAAAGAACUCUAGCGUCUGAAGGCAAGUCAAUCGUCCCAUCUCUAGCGGCAUUUGAAAUUCUUCAUCACUGGUGUUAUAGUGGAGAUGUCUCAAGCUAACCAAAUCGCACAUCCCCUUCGGAAGAUCUUCAACACCCGAGUGACUUAGCGUCAGUGUCUGCAGAUUAUAAAGCUUGCAAAGGGAGUCCGGCAAAAUACUGAUUGAAGACUGCUCAAGGUUAACGUACCGCAAAUGUAUCAGUUUGCCAAUUGAGACUGGUAGCUCUCGAGUUCUUGUACGAGACAAAUUCAAAACAUACAAGUUCUUCAACUUCAUUAACAUAUCACCAGAUAAGUCACCUUUUACAAACAAUGUAUGAAGCGAAGUUGAUAGACUCUCCAAAAGUUUUUCUCCGUCUUCUCGACCACUAGACAAGUCUAUUGCAAGGUAACGAAUCUGAUUACCAUUGUCUACUGUAUGUGUAUCCCUAUCAAUAAUGACUUUGGUAGACUUUGACAUUGACUCGGCAAGGUUGUGCACCAUAUCAUGCAUUUUAUAAC
rnacentral:lncRNA from 1 species